AGUGAUUUGAAAGUGGAAUUAUGAAAGUUAUUCUUUUGAAAGAUUUAAAUGAUAUUUACAUUAUGAGAAUUGAUAUUCUUGAUGAACUGAAAGUGAUUGACAAAUUAUAUGAUGACUCACAUGUGUUAUUAUACUUAUUUCAUCCUCUCAUGAUUAUGAUGAUUUUCUUCGGGCUAUGUAAUUCUUUUAUACAUCCUGCAUGUUUCUUAUAAAUAUUUAUGAUGAUGUUUUUUAUAAAACAGCAUACACCCCCAUACACUCGGUUCCUUUCCAUGGUACCGACCCACAUCUUCUGAUGUGGGCUGUAUUUUCUUAAAAUAUAGGUUCAGGUGUUCAGUUUCAGGUUCGACAGUGAUUCUUCGGGCACGCUGUUCUACAUCCUCUAUCGUGGUGAGUCCUUAUAUUCUGAGGACGUGAUGUCUGAUGUUGGUUUCACGAAAUUAUUUACAUUAGAUAACUGAGUAUGAGUCAGUUGGGGCAUGUCUCAAUGGCUCACUGGUUUUCUUGUUUUACUUAGCGGCUCGUCAGACUAGUAUAGAUGUUGAGAGGUGACUAAUAAGUCAUAUUUUGUUAUCUUUCUAAAAAUUUUUUAUUGUUGGAUGAUGAUUACUCUGUUGAUAUUUGACGGUUAUUUAUGGAAACCCCAUUGAUUUAUGUUGAACUAAAUAAAAAUGGCUUAAAUGGUUAGCUUGGGGCUACUCGUAGCCUCAAGCACCGUGUGACGCUCCGGGACCCAUUUUUGGGGCGUUACAAACUUGAUGUCAAAGCCUAAGAUUUUACGGUGUCCUAGGGAGUCUGAAAAGUCGCGUUAAGUAGAGUCUUGAUCACCGGUGUGUAGCGCGCCACAUCUAUGAGCAAAGGCUACAAGACAUUUUAGGAAAAAGUGUGAUUCUUUCUUUCAGAAGUCUAUCGUGCUUAAAGUGUCUCUCUCUGCUAUUGAUUUCUGCUCUUCUCUUUAAAAAAUAUGCCUCCACAUCAAACGAGAAGAAAUAAUGAUGGUCAACAACCUCAACCCGCUGACCCAUUGAAUGAAAACGUAUCUCAUGCUGAAUUUUGGACAGCCUUUUAGGCGCUGGCCCAAGCUAUUACUGCAAAUGUUCAGGCCAACCCAGUCCCAGCUCCACAGAAGUAGGGAGGUGAUUCAGCUGCUGCUAGGAUCCAUUACUUCAUGCGGAUGAAUCCGUUGGAAUUCUAUGGGUCCAAGUCUGAUGAGGAUCCAUGGUUUUUUUAGAAGAGGUACGGAAGAUUACUCAGGUAAUGCAUGUAUCUGAGGAACAUAGUGUGGAGUUAGCCGUGUGUAGGUUGAAAGGCCUUGCUUAUGACUGGGCUGUUGCUUGGAGAAAAGGUAGAGGUGAGGGAGCUGUCCCUACAACUUGGCAAGAGUUCCAAGAUGCAUUUAUGGAUAAGUUUUUCCCUUUAGAGAUAAGGGAGGCGAAGGUGGAAGAGUUUAUGAACCUGCGAUAGGGCUCUAUGACUGUUAGGGAGGACUGUCUAAAGGUCAAUCAAUUGGCCAAGUAUGCUCCUGACUUAGUGGCUGAUAAUCGGGCUAAUAUGAGUAAGUUUGUGAGUAGAGUAUCUAGUUAUAUGAUUAAGGAGUGUAGGUCUGCUAUGCUGAAUAGUGAGAUGAAUCUUUCUAGGCUGAUGACUCAUGCCCAACAGAUUAAGGAAGACAAGAUUAAGGAGAGAGAGAGAAUGAGAGGGAAUAAGAGAGCUAGGUUUGAGCAGCACAGACAGGGUCAGACUAGAUCGCAAGGAGGGAGUCGCCCUCAGUAUUAGGAUCGUUUAUCUAUGCCAGCACUGUCAACUGCUAGUGCUCCUAUGCCUAGAGAUAGGUAGGAGCAAGGUAGUAUGUCAUAUGCAUCCAGGUCCCAGUACAGUGCUGGCAGUAAGCCAAAUCAUCCCCUGUGUCCUAAGUGUGGUAGGGCUCAUUCGGGUGAGUGUUGGGGUGAGAAGAGGGGUUAUUUCUGNNNNNNNNNNNNNNNNNNNNNNNNNNNNNNNNNNNNNNNNNNNNNNNNNNNNNNNNNNNNNNNNNNNNNNNNNNNNNNNNNNNNNNNNNNNNNNNNNNNNNNNNNNNNNNNNNNNNNNNNNNNNNNNNNNNNNNNNNNNNNNNNNNNNNNNNNNNNNNNNNNNNNNNNNNNNNNNNNNNNNNNNNNNNNNNNNNNNNNNNNNNNNNNNNNNNNNNNNNNNNNNNNNNNNNNNNNNNNNNNNNNNNNNNNNNNNNNNNNNNNNNNNNNNNNNNNNNNNNNNNNNNNNNNNNNNNNNNNNNNNNNNNNNNNNNNNNNNNNNNNNNNNNNNNNNNNNNNNNNNNNNNNNNNNNNNNNNNNNNNNNNNNNNNNNNNNNNNNNNNNNNNNNNNNNNNNNNNNNNNNNNNNNNNNNNNNNNNNNNNNNNNNNNNNNNNNNNNNNNNNNNNNNNNNNNNNNNNNNNNNNNNNNNNNNNNNNNNNNNNNNNNNNNNNNNNNNNNNNNNNNNNNNNNNNNNNNNNNNNNNNNNNNNNNNNNNNNNNNNNNNNNNNNNNNNNNNNNNNNNNNNNNNNNNNNNNNNNNNNNNNNNNNNNNNNNNNNNNNNNNNNNNNNNNNNNNNNNNNNNNNNNNNNNNNNNNNNNNNNNNNNNNNNNNNNNNNNNNNNNNNNNNNNNNNNNNNNNNNNNNNNNNNNNNNNNNNNNNNNNNNNNNNNNNNNNNNNNNNNNNNNNNNNNNNNNNNNNNNNNNNNNNNNNNNNNNNNNNNNNNNNNNNNNNNNNNNNNNNNNNNNNNNNNNNNNNNNNNNNNNNNNNNNNNNNNNNNNNNNNNNNNNNNNNNNNNNNNNNNNNNNNNNNNNNNNNNNNNNNNNNNNNNNNNNNNNNNNNNNNNNNNNNNNNNNNNNNNNNNNNNNNNNNNNNNNNNNNNNNNNNNNNNNNNNNNNNNNNNNNNNNNNNNNNNNNNNNNNNNNNNNNNNNNNNNNNNNNNNNNNNNNNNNNNNNNNNNNNNNNNNNNNNNNNNNNNNNNNNNNNNNNNNNNNNNNNNNNNNNNNNNNNNNNNNNNNNNNNNNNNNNNNNNNNNNNNNNNNNNNNNNNNNNNNNNNNNNNNNNNNNNNNNNNNNNNNNNNNNNNNNNNNNNNNNNNNNNNNNNNNNNNNNNNNNNNNNNNNNNNNNNNNNNNNNNNNNNNNAUAACGUCUCCUAUGACUCGGUUGACCCAAAAGAAAGUGAAGUUCUUGUGGUCUGAAUCUUAUGAGAAGAGUUUUUAGGAGUUGAAGACUCGACUCACUUCAGCCCCUGUUUUGACUUUGCCUGAUGGUGUUGCUGGUUUUGUGGUGUACUGUGAUGCUUCGAGGGUUUGGUUGGGUUGCGUAUUGAUGUAUAAGGGUAAGAUGAUAGCUUAUGCUUCUAGACAGUUGAAACCCCAUAAGAAAAAUUAACCCACCCAUGACCCUGAGUUAGCUGCUGUUGUGUUUACUUUGAAAAUCUGAAGACACUAUUUGUAUGGUGUCCAUGUUGAUGUUUUCACUGAUCAUAAGAGUUCGCAGUAUGUGUUUACCCAGAGAGAAUUGAAUCUUAGGCAAGACGAUGGUUAGAAUUGUUAAAGGACUAUGAUAUGAGUGUGUUGUACCAUCCAGGCAAGGCCAAUGUUGUGGCGGAUGCCCUAAGUAGAAUGUCCAUGGGUAGUGUUUCGCAUGUGGUAGAAGGUAAGAAANNNNNNNNNNNNNNNNNNNNNNNNNNNNNNNNNNNNNNNNNNNNNNNNNNNNNNNNNNNNNNNNNNNNNNNNNNNNNNNNNNNNNNNNNNNNNNNNNNNNNNNNNNNNNNNNNNNNNNNNNNNNNNNNNNNNNNNNNNNNNNNNNNNNNNNNNNNNNNNNNNNNNNNNNNNNNNNNNNNNNNNNNNNNNNNNNNNNNNNNNNNNNNNNNNNNNNNNNNNNNNNNNNNNNNNNNNNNNNNNNNNNNNNNNNNNNNNNNNNNNNNNNNNNNNNNNNNNNNNNNNNNNNNNNNNNNNNNNNNNNNNNNNNNNNNNNNNNNNNNNNNNNNNNNNNNNNNNNNNNNNNNNNNNNNNNNNNNNNNNNNNNNNNNNNNNNNNNNNNNNNNNNNNNNNNNNNNNNNNNNNNNNNNNNNNNNNNNNNNNNNNNNNNNNNNNNNNNNNNNNNNNNNNNNNNNNNNNNNNNNNNNNNNNNNNNNNNNNNNNNNNNNNNNNNNNNNNNNNNNNNNNNNNNNNNNNNNACUAUGAUAUGAGUGUGCUGUACCAUCCGGGCAAGGCCAAUGUUAUGGCAGAUGCCCUAAGUAGAGUGUCCAUGGGUACUAUUUCGCAUGUGGCAGAAGGUAAGAAUGAGUUGGCUCAUGAUGCACAUUGUUUGGCUAGAUUGGGGGUUAAGUUGUUUGACUCUGCUGAAGGUAGUAUAGGGGUUCAGAGUAGUUCCGAAUCCUCCUUGGUUUCAGAAGUGAAGGAAAGGCAAUACUUAGAUGCUAGUUUGGUUAGACUUAAGGAGUCAGUCAAGCACCAAAAAGUAGAGGUUUUCUCCAAAGGGAGAGAUAGUGUGUUGAGAUUACAGGGUAGAUUGUGUGUCCCGAAUGUUGAUGAUCUGAGACAGAGGAUUAUGGCUGAAGCGCACGGGGCGCGAUAUUCUAUUCAUUCUGGUACCACCAAGAUGUACCGAGACUUGCGAGAAAUUUGAAGAAAUAUAUAGCAGAAUUUGUAGCUAAGUGUGCAACAUGCCAACAGGUUAAGGUUGCACACCAAAGACCUGGUGGUAUGAUGCAAGACUUUAGUAUUCCCACCUGGAAGUGGGAAGAGAUAAAUAUGGACUUCGUGAUUGGUUUACCUCCUUCCCGAUGCCAUCAUGAUUCCAUUUGGGUUGUGGUUUAUAGAUUGACUAAGUCUGCUCAUUUCUUGCCUGUUCUACUCAUUUCUUGCCUGUUCAUACUUCAUAUACUGCUGAGGAUUAUGCUAGAUUGUAUAUCCGAGAGCUAGUCAGACUGCAUGGAAUUCUCUUGUCUAUCAUUUCAGAUAGGGGUACUCAGUUCACUUCGUAAUUUUGGAAAGCUUUUUAGAAGGGUCUUGGUACCCAAGUGCUUUUGAACCACCAAGAUGUACCGAGACUUGCGAGAAAUUUGAAGAAAUAUAUAGCAGAAUUUGUAGCUAAGUGUGCAACAUGCCAACAGGUUAAGGUUGCACACCAAAGACCUGGUGGUAUGAUGCAAGACUUUAGUAUUCCCACCUGGAAGUGGGAAGAGAUAAAUAUGGACUUCGUGAUUGGUUUACCUCCUUCCCGAUGCCAUCAUGAUUCCAUUUGGGUUGUGGUUUAUAGAUUGACUAAGUCUGCUCAUUUCUUGCCUGUUCUACUCAUUUCUUGCCUGUUCAUACUUCAUAUACUGCUGAGGAUUAUGCUAGAUUGUAUAUCCGAGAGCUAGUCAGACUGCAUGGAAUUCUCAUGUCUAUCAUUUCAGAUAGGGGUACUCAGUUCACUUCGUAAUUUUGGAAAGCUUUUUAGAAGGGUCUUGGUACCCAAGUGCUUUUGAGUUCUGCUUUUCAUCCGCAGACCGAUGGUCAGGCUGAGCGGACCAUCCAGACCUUAGAGAAUAUGUUGAGAGCUUGUGCACUUAACUUUAAGGGAAGUUGGGAUGAUUACUUACUGUUGAUAGAAUUUGCUUAUAAUAAUAACUUUCACUCUAGUAUUGGCAUGGCUCUGUUUGAAGACUUGUAUAAGAGGAAGUUUAGAUCACCCAUAUGUUGGUUCAAGGUGGGUGAAGCGGCUGUGAGUGGUCCUAAUUCGGUAUUCGAGGCUAUGGAAAAAGUUAAGUUGAUUAGGGAAAGGUUGAAAACUGCGCAGAGUUGUCAGAAGUCAUAUGUGGAUGUUAGAAGGAGAGACCUUGAGUUUGAAGUUGGUGACCUAGUGUAUCUGAAAACUUCACCCAUGAGGGGGGAGAAGAGAUUCGGAAAGAAGGGAAAGCUUAGUCCCCGUUAUGUUGGUCCUUACAAAAUUCUUAGCCGUGUUGGUAAUGUAGCUUAUGAGGUCGAGUUGCCUUCUGAGUUGUCCUCUGUUCAUCCAAUAUUCCAUAUCUCCAUGCUUAGAAAGCAUAUUAACGAUGAUAUGGUAGUGGAUUCCUCUGUAAGUGCUGACAUUCAAGAAAAUUCAGUGUCCGAAGACUAAGGAACAAAGAAGUUCCCUUGGUCAAGGUAUUAUGGCUAAACCAAUCUAUUGAGGGUGUAACUUGGGAAGCUAAGGUGGAUAUGCGAUCCAAGUACCCGUACCUAUUUUCCGCGAACUCCGAUCAAGCCGAAGGUACCAUUCUUUCCUAAAUCAUGCACUUUUGAUAAAAGUUGCAGCAGUUCAGCUGUCAUUUAUUAUGUGUUCAGCUGUAGUUUCUUGAAUUUAUGCAUUCUAUGUUGCAUUCAGAGUGAGAAACAAUGUGGUGAUGAGUCUAACGAAUGGUUUCAUCUGUAUGCUCUAUUACCUAUCUAAUCUUGGCGUAUCCUAGCAUCAUUCGAGGAUGAAUGUUUCCAAGGGGGGGAUGAUGUAAUAUCCCGGAAAAUUUUUCGUUGAAAUUUUGUGCGUAAACGUGUUGAGUUCUAUCUUCUAAAAUGAAUUAUAAAUUUUGCAUGCGUAAUGUCUUAGAUUAUGACCCACCAUUGCGUGGAUUAUUGAAUAAUCUUUCCAACGAUAUGUGGAUCAUCCAAAACAGACACCCGAGCAACGAGUUAUGAACAUUCUGAUCGAACCAUGAAUAGUAGUGAACAGUAAAACGUGCAGGAAAAAGUACUGAGGCCUGGCGUAUUUUUGCUCCAACUUUAAACGAUCAUAAAUCCUUGUACAUAAUGAUCUGAGUGAUCUACUAUAUAUCAACAGAAAUCUCUACGAGUCCUCUUUCCGAUGAAAUUGGUUUUAUCUAAUUUGUCUAUUGGAGAAAAAGGUUAUAGUCGAUCUACUUCAACCUGUCAAAAGUGAAUUUUUGGGUCAACUUCAAACGAUCAUAACUCCUCGUACACAAUGAUCUGGGUGAAAUACUAUAUAUCAACAGAAAUAUAUGAGAGUCCUCUUUCUAAUGAAAUUAGUUUCAUCCAAUUUGGAUAUCGGAGUAAAACGUUAUGGUUGAUCUACUUCAGACUAUCAAAAUAGUCCACCAAAGGACAGAUUCGAGAAUUAGUUGAUUUUUAAGGGCAUGUUGGUCAUUAUGCCUUCACUUCAUGGACGAAAAUUGUCCAUUUAUACCUAUAUUGAGCCAUAAAAUUCAUGUUCUUCCAUCAAAAUCAUUGUGAGAACUGAACCCUAGGUCCAUUUUGAGCUCCAAAUAUCUUCCAAUUUCACCGUAGAAAUUCAAAUUUGAAAGAGCUGAUGAAGUAGAAAUAGGAACCUCGUUGGCCCUAGAAGCAACCUUUAAAGGACAAUCCUACUCUAUAUGACCAAUCUGACCAAAAGUAAAACACUAAUUCCUCCCUUUCUCACACUCCCCAUGGUGCAACUGACCAUAGAACCAUCACUAUUCUAAAACAUCGAUGCCCAAACGACUUUGAGUAAGAAGUAUUAGCCAUCGAAUAGAAGUUAGGACUCCAUCAAUUCUACUUCUGAGACCGUUUCCCACUAUAUCUACCAUUCUGUUAUUGGCCUUCAACCUCCUCUAAAUGUCUAUAUCUCUUACUAUAUCUUUCCCCUAUCUCAGCUUGCUUUUAUUUGCCUCUUCAAUUUAUAGCAUAUACACCACAAGUCUAGAGAUGUCCAUAUUUUUGUUCAACAAGACAACUUUUCUCUCCAAAAUCAAAUCAUAUGACAACCCAGAAGCAAAUUUCCUCAUUCUAGUCCUCAUGCUAUGUACUAACUCAGGAGAAUAUCGUGACAACUGAUGGAAUUUCAAGGUAACCUCAUUUAUCAUCAUCCUAGCUUGCUUCAAAUUUAUGAACUCCUUCGCUUUUGUCUUUCUCAGCUCCUAAGGAAAGAAACGAUCAAGAAAGGCACCCGAAAAAUCAUCCCAUAAAGAUGACUCAAUGUUAUCACCCUAGACUGAUCCCAUUUCUCAUACCACUGAUACACCAUAUCUUUUAACUGAUAAGCAACAUACUCCACACCGUCCAUAUAAGUAACAUGCAUCACAUGAAAAGUCUUUUCCACUUCAUCCAUGAACCCUUGAGAUUCCUUCUUAACCUUAGAACUAAUGAAAGUCAGAGAGUGCAACCUCAUAAACUGUCCAACUCUAGUGGCCUCUACAAUACCAACAGGACCUGGCUGUUGUGAUUGAGAUAUCACUAAUUGGGUCAACAGAUAAAUAAGUGAUGAAACUCAACAUUGGUAAUAUCUCUAUGAGGUUAACGAGCAUGAGAGUCACCCUCAGAAGUAGGAUUAGUGGAGACCAAUGGGACUCUUUGGGGGCAAUCAGUAGCAGUGACCCUAGAUCGGUUUUGUACCCAGAAGUAGGAUGAGGUUUGUCCAUGUUAUCCUUAAAUGGAACAAAAGAGUUUACACUAAUUUCAAAUCUUCUUGGAGGUAUGAUUUAAAAGGAAAGCAAACGGGAAUUAGAGAGAUUCAAGACCUUAGACUCUAUAGCUCAAAAAUUAAAAAAAAAAACAAGAAAGGGAAAUACUCCUAAAUUCCUCCUAGCCUCUCCCUUAUAAGUGUGGUGUGCUACACACCCAUUAAAGAGUCUCUACUUGACAUGACUUUGUGGACACCUAAUUGACCAUGAACCUAGGCUCUGAUACAAACUUUGUCAUAAUUCGAACCAGGGCCUAGGCAUGACGGGCAUCUUAAGUUCAUCGAGCCCAGAUACUACCCUAAUUUCUUAGUCAACAGAACACAACACACACUAAUAUGGAUUGAAGUUCGAACAUAUAACAAGAUAGAUUAAAAUAAGUUCAAAGAUUCUAAGUUAUAUUAAUAACCGCCAACCAACACCCAUGCACCCCACAAGUUCAAAAUCAUUAAGAAAGCAUGAAGAAUGCAUAAUAAACCAGGGAAAAUUAAUUUAGGAACCAUUCAUGUCAAAGGCCUCAACUAUAUCAAAACCCUUAUUUCAAAUCCAUAAAAGUAACCAUGUAUAUUGAGUUUAAGGGUAGAGUCACAUGCCUGAAAUACCCAAGAUUAUGGAGAGAGUUCAACCCUUGAAGCUCUACUUGACCAACAUUUUGGAAAUCCUAAGUUUUGAUACUCGAGAGGAUUUGAGAGAGAAGAGAGUCUAUUUGAUGUGUGUUAUGGAUAAAAAUAGGGCCCCAAGUAUGUUUAUAAGUCAUGGAUUAUUAUUGAAAUAUAAGGAAAAUGUAUAAAUACCCUUAUUAAAAAUUGGAAACUAAGCCGCCAGUCGUUACUGGUGACCUUAUGACUGUAGGAUCACCUUACGACUCGUUUCCUCUUAGUUGUAGUAUAGAUAGUGUCCCAAACCACCAACUCUGGUAUGAUUAUGAAAAGUACCUUAUGAUUCAUGACAACUCCAUACAACUCGUUACAUCAUAGUCGUACUCAGGACAUAAUACUUGGGCAUCAUACUAGUUUUCUUACGGAAAAGACUAUACGAGUCAUUUAGUGUCCUUAUGACUCAUCAUAUGGUAGUCGUUGUCAAAAUAGUAACUUAGAGAAAUCUCAUUGGGCACGUUAUGAAUGGGUCCUAUGACUCAUAGUGACUUUCAACAACUCGCAAGGAGAGCCGUAGUCAGCACCUGGGGAGUUUUAACCAUCUAUCCCCAAAAGAUGAAUCAAUGUAUCUCUGAGAAAUGAAGAAGGAAUAAAUCCUGGGGGAGCUUGGGUGGUCCCUGGCCCACCACUGGCUGGGGAAAAAGAAUCUCUUGCUCAGGAGCGGGAAUAAGGUCUAGUGGAGGACCCUUAUUCGGGCCCCUAGUGGCGAACAUAUCUCUAGGUUGUCCAAGACCUCUGGGUCAUCCACGAAUAAGAGUAAGAUCCUUAGGCUCAAUUUCGGGACCCUCAUCUACUGUAGAGGUAGCACGUGGCCUGGCCAUUUGCGAAAAAGUAUAGUUAAAGGAAUACUUCUACAAACCAACUCAGACUCUUAGUAUGAUAUGAGUGAAAGAAGUGAAGAACUCCAAAGAAUUUCCAUAGCCUCUCAAAGAUAGGAAAUGGACAGCAUCAUUUUGAUCUGCACGACUCUACUUAAAACUUGAUUUUGUACCAACAAUAUCGGUGCAGCCUAGGAUCUGAUACUAAUUUGUCAUGACCCAAUUUAUGAGUCCUGAUGGCACCUACUAAAUCCUGUCAGUAGGUAAGACAAACUAUAACUUGGAGCUAACACAAUGGGUUAAUUCGGUAGGAAAUGCCCAUCAUAGGUGAAUUUAAGAACACAAUAUAUAAAUAAAGUAAAAGGGGACUAGAUGGAAUAAAUAGUCAAUACAAGAUACCAAUCCAUGAUCUGGUAGAUCCAGUACAAGAGCAUAAGACAGUAUCAAUACAACUCAAAUUCUAGAAUAUCAAUACAUUUUUCUCAAAAUAAAAAAACUGAAAAUAAAGAUAGAGGAAAACAGGUGACUCAAACUCCAAGAGCUCACCCUAUCUCUAAAAAUCAAUCACUGUACGAGCGUUUAUCAACGAUGGAAACUAGUACUUAGAUCUUCACCAAAAAGGUACAGAAGUGUAGUAUGAGUACCAAAACAAUGGGUACUCAGUAUGUAUCAUCAGCUGACUGAACUAAAUCAUGAUAUAAGUAUGAUAAAAUGUAAGAUAACAAUACUAAGUCAAGGUACAGAAACGAACCUGAAUCACCUCCAACAUCGUUGUACAUAAUAAGUAAAAAAUUUGGAAUAAUGAUGUAUCAUAAAGCAUAAACACAAGCAACGACAACUACAAAAUUGGCUCCCAUAUGCCAAUUGGUGUGGAAAAGUAAAGAACUCGUCACAGCCUCCCAUACGACUGAAAAGUACACUUAAGACAAGAAUAAGAAAUUAACCGACAUUAUAACUAACCUUCCUGAUCUUAAAACCAUCAUUCCACAAUUUACCCAUAUUCCAUCAUGUUACCAUCAUCUAACAACCUUACCAUCACUACUCACUAAUCACCAUUUACUAGGCAAUAAUCAUAUAUUAAUCAAUAUAAUCAUUUACUAAAAUCCAUCUAAGUUAUACCACAUUUUAAUCAUUUUCUCAUUAUCAAACUUAGUCAAAUUUCUACCUUCAAUAUCACACCCCAAUAUUGUCAAUCAGAGAAAAGUAUGUCAUCAUAGCAUAAAAUGCAUAUUCAAACUUGAACCGAUAAUAUAAUAAAUAUCUGCACUUUAACCGGUAAAUAUAAUAAAUAUCCAAACUUGAAUCGGUAAAUAUAAUUAAUAUUCAUACCCGAACCGGUAAAUAUAAUCAAUAGUUCCAUAGUCAUCCUCUGGACUCGGAUCAGUUAUAUAUAAUUAUCAACAUAAUCAUCUUCCGGACACGAAUCGAGUGUGUAUAUACAUACAUAUAUAUAUAUAUAUAAACCAUAUCAUAAAUGGUAUCAUCAAUAUUCAUAAAUUUCAUAGUCAUUAAGCAUCAACCCCACAUUAACCAACAUAGCCAUCAAGUAUCAAGAGUUCCUAAAAUUACUUUAAUACAUAUUUCCAAGAGUCUAAUGAGUGUAAUGAUUUUACCAAAGCUAAUAUGUGUCAUAGCCUAAAGUGGGUUAAGAGUCCACUUUUAAUCUUUAAGUUCCAUGUUAGGCAAAUUUCUAAUCGAGUUAGGCUUAAGGUAUUUAAAUUCGCUUUUAGAUGUAAAACAAGCCACAAGUAGUCCUAAGGUAGAGAUUCUACUCAAGCACUUUAACUAAGUCCAAAGAAAACUAAGGCAACCUUCAUUACUAUAAGUAACUAAGGCCAAACUUACCCUAAGCAUGAUUUACUUGAGUAUCUUACUUAGUCUUGAGCAAUCUAAGGCAUUCUCAUGCAUGAGUAAUGAAGUCUAAUGCACUAAAGUUCAAGGCCACAAGUUAAGUAUUUCAAAUCUAUAGUUUCAAUUAAGCCUACACAAUACCAACUAAACCCAAGUCUGUCAUUUCAUCAAUCCAGCACCUAGACCCAUCUCAAAUACAACACAAUAUCAUAAGAAUACUAUGACAGCUCAACAUAACAAGGGAUAAACUUUGUUUACCUUGAUGUCGAAGAAAGCUCAACGAACAGCUAAAACUUUGCUUUUCCCUUUUGAGAAGCCUCCCCAAGAUGUAAAGCUAUCAAAAACACAUUCUAAUCAUCAACAUAAGAAUAACGAUACUCAUAUUGCACCAUUGUGCUUUGGAUCCAAAAAUGACACCAAAAACCCCAUAUCGGUCCUACUUACAAAAAUUAUAUUUUCGAGACCAACCCAAUAUUCAUACUGAUCAAGGAAUCAUAACUCUCAUGAAUGGGUGAAAAGCAAGCUAAAUUAGGGAUAAAAUCAAGUCCUAAGAAUUUUAGAAUUUUGAGAAGUUAAUCAAGAAAUUCAACCAUGAAUUUAGAGGAUUCUUACCUUAAAUACGUAGGAGAAUCAACAAGAAAAUGGUAAUUAAGCUUCUCAAGAACUCAUAAGCUUUAAUUUUAAUCUUUCACACUCUUUAGGGUUUAACUUUCAAGAGGCAAAAUGAAAAAUAAGCUAAAAUCAUGAAAAAUGGGGCUUUAUAUACCCAGUCCAGGUGCUCGAGUCUUACUAUCGCAGACCUGCAAUAUACGAUUGAAUUAUCUAGGAAACUGCAUAAGCACUCACGAUAGCUACCAUCCAACUGUGAUCACAUCACUUUGACUGCCAAGGGUACCGUAAUCGUGACCCUUUUCUGGCGAUCACCGGCACACCAAAUAGUAGGAGAAACUUGUAAAUUUCAAGUUUUCAUCAUGCCCUUGGAUUCAGAAUCCCUUAUACGCAAAUGAACAAUGAAACCAGUUUAAAUAUGAUAUUCCAGACCCAUAGAGCAAUUUGACUUUUCAACCGAGGUUGUUUCGACCAAAUGCGGGUCCCACACCUAAAUUUUUAAUUUCUUCAACUUUUGACCAGUAUAUCGAAAUGAGGCUGGGUGCAUCGGGACCCCAACCAUAGGUCCACCUUGCUUAAAAUUGAUAUUUUAGAUUUGAUGGCGUAGUCAAAAUUUGCAUACGAGAUUGUUUUACUGAAGUUUUUACCUGUGACUAUUUGGAACCAACGACGACUUCAAAAUAGGGAAUUAUCUCUAAAUCCUGGUAGAGCUUGAGUGGUCCCUGGCCCACCACUCACUGGGGAAGAAGAAUCUCUGGCUCAGGAGCGGGAAUAGGGUCUAGUGGAGGACCUUUAUUUGGGCCCUUAGUGGCGAACAUAUCUCUAGGUUGUCCAAGACCUCUGGGUCGUCCACGAAUAGGAGUAGGAUCCUUAGGCUCAAUUUCGGGACCUUCAUCUUCUGUAGAGGUAGCACGUGUCCUGGCCAUCUGCGAAAAAGUAUAGUUAAAGGAAUACUUUUACAAACCAACUCAGACUCUUAGCAUGAUAUGAGUGAAAGAAGUAAAGAACUCCUAAGAAUUUCCAUAGCCUCUCGAAGAUAGGAAAUGGAUAGCAUCAUUUUGAUCUGCACGACUCUACUUAACACUUGCUUUUGUACCAAUAAUACCGGUGUAGCCUAGGAUCUGAUACUAAUUUGUCAUGACCCGAUUUAUGAGUCCUGAUGGCACCUACUAAAUCCUGUCAGUAGGUAAGACAAACUAUAACUUGGAGCUAACAUAAUGGGUUAAUUCGGUAGGAAAUGCCCAUCAUAGGUGAAUUUAAAAACACAAUAUAUAAAUAAGUAAAGGGGGACUAGAUUGAAUAAACAGACAAUACAAGAUACCAAUCCAUGAUCUGGUAGAUCUAGUACAAGAGCAUAUAACAGUAUCAAUACAACUCAAAUUCUAGAAUAUCAAUACAUUUUUCUCAAAAUAAAAAGACUGAAAAUAAAGAUAGAGGAAAACAGGUGACUCAAACUCCAAGAGCUCACCCUAUCUCUAAAAAUCAAUCACUGUACGAGCAUUUAUCAAUGACGGAAACUAGUACUUAGAUCUUCACCAAAAAGGUACAGAAGUGUAGUAUGAGUACCAAAACAAUGGGUACUCAGUAUGCAUCAUCAGCUGACUGAACUAAAUCAUGAUAUAAGUAUGAUAAAAUGUAAGAUAACAAUACUAAGUCAAGGUACAGAAACGAACCAGAAUCACCUCCAACAUCGUUGUACAUAAUAAGUUAAAAAUUUGGAAUAAUGACGUAUCAUAAAGCAUAAACACAAGCAACCACAACUACAAAAUUGGCUCCCAUAUGCCAAUUGGUGUGGAAAAGUAAAGAACUCGUCACAGCUUCCCAUACGACUGAAAAGUACACUUAAGACAAGAAUAAGAAAUUAACCGACAUUAUAACUAACCUUCCUGAUCUUAAAACCAUCAUUCCACAAUUUACCCAUAUUCCGUCAUGUUAAAAUCAUCUAACAACCUUACCAUCGUUACUCACUAAUCACCAUUUAUUAGCCAAUAAUCAUAUAUUAAUCAAUAUAAUCAUUUACUAGAAUCCAUCUAAGUUAUACCACAUUUUAAUCAUUUUCUCAUUAUCCAACUUAGUCAAAUUUCUACCUUCAAUAUCACACCCCAAUAUUGUCAAUCAGAGAAAAGUAUGUCAUCAUAGCAUAAAAUGCAUAUUCAAACUUGAACCGAUAAUAUAAUAAAUAUCUACACUUUAAUCGGUAAAUAUAAUAAAUAUCAAAACUUGAAUCGGUAAAUAUAAUUAAUAUUCAUACCCGAACCGGUAAAUAUAAUCAAUAGUUCCAUAGUCAUCCUCUGGACUCGGAUCAGGUAUAUAUAAUUAUCAACAUAAUCAUCUUCUAGACUCAAAUCGAGUAUAUAUAUAUAUAUAUAAACCAUAUCAUAAAUGGUAUCAUCAAUAUUCAUAAAUUUCAUAGUCAAUAAGCAUCAACCCCACAUUAACCAGCAUAGCCAUCAAGUAUUAAGAGUUCCUAAAAUUACUUUAAUACAUAUUUCCAAGAGUCUAAUGAGUGUAAUAAUUUUACCAAAGCUAAUAUGUGUCAUAGCCUAAAGUGGGUUAAGAGUCCACUUAUAAUCUUCAAGUUCUAUGUUAGGCAAAUUUCUAAUCGAAUUAGGCUUAAGGUAUUUAAAUUCGCUUUUAGAUGUAAAACAAGCCACAAGUAGUCCUAAGGUAGAGAUUCUACUAACUAAGGCCAAACUUACCCUAAGCAUGAUUUACUUGAGUAUCUUACUUAGUCUUGAGCAAUCUAAGGCAUUCUCAUGCACGAGUAAUGAAGUCUAAUGCCCUAAAGUUCAAGGCCACAAGUGAAGCAUUUCAAAUCUAUAGUUUCAAUUAAGCCUACACGAUAUCAACUAAACCCAAGUCUGUCAUUUCAUCAAUCCAGCACCUAGACCCAUCUCAAAUACAACACAAUAUCAUAAGAAUACUAUGACAGCUCAACAUAACAAGGGAUAAACUUUGUUUACCUUGAUGUCGAAGAAAGCCCAACGAACCGCUAAACCUUUGCUUUUCCCUUUUGAGAAGCCUCCCCAAGAUGUAAAGCUAUCAAAAACACAUUCUAAUCAUCAACAUAAGAAUAACGAUACUCAUAUUGCACCAUUGUGCUUUGGAUCCAAAAAUGACACCAAAAACCCCAUAUCGGUCCUACUUACGAAAAUUAUAUUUUCGAGACCAACCCAAUAUUCAUACUGAUCAAGGAAUCAUAACUCUCAUGAAUGGGUGAAACACAAGCUAAAUUAGGGAUAAAAUCAAGUCCUAAGAAUUUUAGAAUUUUGAGAAGUUAAUCAAGAAAUUCAACCAUGAAUUUAGAGGAUUCUUACCUUAAAUACGUAGGAGAAUCAACAAGAAAAUGGUAAUUAAGCUUCUCAAGAACUCAUAAGCUUUAAUUUUAAUCUUUCACACUCUUUAGGGUUUAACUUUCAAGAGGCAAAAUGAAAAAUAAGCUAAAAUCAUGAAAAAUGGGGCUUUAUAUACCCAGUCCAGGUGCUCGGGUCUUACUAUCGCAGACCUGCAAUAUACGAUUGCAUUAUCUAGGAAACUGCAUAAGCACUCACGAUAGCUACCAUCCAACUGUGAUCACAUCACUUUGACUGCCAAGGGUACCGUAAUCGUGACCCUUUUCUGGCGAUCACCGGCACACCAAAUUUCAAGUUUUCAUCAUGCCCUUGGAUUCAGAAUCCCUUAUACGCAAAUGAACAAUGAACCAGUUUAAAUUUGAUAUUCCAGACCCAUGGAGCAAUUUGACUUUUCAACCGAGGUUGUUUCGACCAAAUACGGGUCCCACACCUAAAUUUUUAAUUUCUUCAACUUUUGACCAGUAUAUCGAAAUGAGGCUGGGUGCAUCGGGACCCCAACCAUAGGUCCACCUUGCUUAAAAUUGAUAUUUUAGAUUUGAUGGCGUAGUCAAAAUUUGCAUACGAGAUUGUUUUACUGAAGUUUUUACCUUUGACUAUUUGGAACCAACAACGACUUCAAAAUAGGGAAUUAUCUCUAAAAACUAAACAAACUGCUCGAUAAUCAAACUUUCAGUCUCAGCAAGUCAUAAGUGACUUGGGGCAACUAUUGAAAAGCUCUAUCGGCAAAAAUAUGAAAAAUAAACUGAAGGAUCAUUACAUAUAAUUACAAAAAUAAUUUCAUGUAUUAAUGGUUGAAAUUCAUGAAAAAUAAUUAAUUUUAUCCGUAUUUGUCUCAUGUGUGCCUUUAGUUCAUACACAAAUUGUCAUAAUUCAAGCAAAAUGCCUCAAGUUUAUGAAAAAUGCCUCAAGUUCACCACCUUUCAAAUAGGCUAGAAUAAUGCUUUGAUAAGUCAAACAUUAGGUGUAAGGGAUCGUUUGAUAGAGUGUAUUUAAAAAAAUAAUACAUGUAUUAGCUUUGUGUAUUGCUAAUAUCUUGUUUGGUACACGUUUUUAUCCUAUAUAUUACUAAUGGUUGCAUUAGUUAUACUCUAUAUGGGCUUGUUUGGUAGAGUGUAUAAGAAUACUGUAAAAUAUGGUGUAUUAGUAAUACUUGUAUUAGUAGUGCUUGCGUUAGUUAUGCUUACAUUUUUCUUUUGCAAUAUUUAAUUUUGUGUAUUAAAAGUAACAUGGAAAGCAUAUUAUUUUUUUAAAAAUAUUUUUUUACUAAAAGGCCCUCCAUAAAUAUGGUGGAAAGGAUGUAGAAAAGAUCUUGCGGGACAAUUGUGACUUUAACCAUACUUAUGCAUGCAUUAGAAUCCAUUGCAUUACUAAUACCAUAGAUUUUCAUGUAUUAAUAGUGCACUUUUUAAUACCAAAUAGAGUGUAUAACUAAUGCAAUUAUUAGUAACACAUAAGAUGACAAAGUGUAGCAAAUAAUGUUUUAGUAAAACACAAAACUAAUGCAUGUAUUUUUUAAUGCACUCUACCAAAUUAUCCAUAUUUGGUAUUAAGGAGUGUAUUGCUAAUGUAUGGAAAUCUAUGGUAUUACUAACGCAACGGAGUCUAAUGCAUGCAUUAGUAUAGUUAAAGUCACAAUUGUCCCUCAAAAUCCUUUUCACAUCCUUUUUACAAUAUUUGUGGAGGAUAUUUUGUAAAAAAAUAUUUUUUUUCUACAAUUAUACAAUUCAUUUUAAUUUUAAUAUAUUAAAUCAAACACUGCUUAAGAAAAAUGCAAGAAUAACUAACAUAAGCAUUACUAAUACAUCAUAUUUUGUACUAUCCUUAUACACCCUACCACAUGACCCCUUAAUGUAUGAACCUCAAACAUUGUGUAUCUAAAGUUGAUUUACCUGUUGAACUUUAGACAUUGCAAUACUACAUAUUUAAAAUCAUUCAAGGGAACACGAACAAAAAAAAUAAAAUUUGUAAGGAUAUAACUUAGAUGAGAAUCCUGAAAUAGGCUAUCAUGCACUUCCCUCGUUUGAAGCAGGCAUGGGAUCACCCCAUAGUGAGUAUCUUUGAUUUUUUAUUCCCCAUAAUAAUUUUUUUUAAAUAGUAGUCAUCUUCUUUUUUUUUUUUUUUUUUUUUAUGUCUAGAACAAUUCCCUUUUUAUCACUCUACAUCUCCAAUAUUUUUUUCUCUCAACCUCUAUUUGUUUUUUCUUCCUUUUAUUUUCUCUUUUUUUCUUUUUCCUUGUUUUUUAUUUUUUUAUUUUCCCCUUUUUCCCUUGUUAUAAUUUGCUUUCUCAAUCUUUAUUUUUCUUCGCUUUUUUUCUCAAAUACAAUUUAUUUUUAUUUCUCGUUAUUUUUUCUUUCUUUUUUUUUUAAUUUAUUUUCUCAACCUUUAUUUUUUUCUUUUAUUUCAAUUUUUUCAAGUCUUAUUUUUAUUUUUUCUUCUCAUUUUUUUUCUCAACCUUUUUUUUGUUUUUACUUUUCUCUUUUUUCUCAUUUCUCUUUUCUUAACCUUUAUUUUUUUUCUUUUUUCUCAAUCUAUAUUUUUUCUUUCAUCUUCUUUUUCCUCAACUUCCAUUAUUAUUUGCUAAUGAACAAAAAGUUGGAUAAUAUACAAAGAGGAUUUUAUUUCUUUAACAUUGAAGGAAACUUAAGGGUAUGACAUAUUGUUUGGAAAUCCUUUGGACUAAGAGUAUGUUUGGUAUGAAGGAAAACAUUUCCUGGAUUUUUUUUUAAUUUUCUCAUGUUUGGUUGGCUUAAAUAAUUCAAAAAAUAUUUUCCAAAUGAACUUAUUAUGCUCAAAUUUUAGGAAAAUCACUUUCCUUCAAAAGGUAAGAAAAACAUCUUUCAAAACUCUCUUUCAAUGUCAUACCUUAACUUUUCACCCUAACCCAAGUCUCGGUUCUGAUUCUUGACACUAAUCCAAGACCCAACUCCCGAUCCUGAGUACCGAUUCUCCACUUGGGACCAGACUCUUGACCUUAAUUUGAAACCCAACUCCCAACCCCGUUAGAUGAAUCCCAACCCGAGAUCAAACUCUCAACCCUGAUCUAAGAUAUAACACUUAGGAUUUGACCUCGACUCGAGACCUAACUCUCCCAACCCCCUAUAGCCCUCACUCAACCCCCCUUCUUUAAUUUUUCUUAAAUUUAACUUUUAAUUUUUUAUUUUUUCUUAGACCACCCCCACUUUCAAAGAAUUAAGCUUUUUUAAUUGAUCUUUUUUAAAAAAUUCAAAAGUUCUUUCUUACCCUACCCUCUACCACGUAGUUUGACCACUAUCCCUAAGAAAUUAAUUUUUUAAAAAAAUAAAUUUCAAUUUUUUCUUACUCCACCACUACCCCUACUCGAUCAUGUACUACCCAUCCCAAUUUUUUUAGCUCUUAAAUUUCUAAAAUUUAUUUUUUGAAAAUAAUCAAAAAAAAUUCUUACCCACCCCUUUUACCCUAUUUGUUCUUAUUUUUUGUGUUAAAUAUAUACAAAUACUAAAAUAUAUUUUCCUAAAAAGUAUUUUUCUAGUCUCUAGCCAAACACAAAAAUGUAUUUUCUGAAAAAAAAAUUCAUUCACCAAUAUUUUUCAUAAAAUAUUUUUCGCUCACCAACCAAAUAUGAGAAACAAGUAUAAAAACAACUUGUUUUCCAUGAAAAAAUUUUCUAGAAAAAUAUUUUCGAUGGAAAAUAUUUUUCGUCAUACCAAACACACCCUAAGUCUUACCUCUAAGGCAAAUGUUAUAGGACGUCUCAUAAAUAAGGACACAAUGUGGCAGUGUCAAGUCUUGAUUGUGGUCAUAACUUGAUACUUCAAAAUCCUUGACCGAAGUCUUGCCUCUAAGAGAAUAGUUAUAGAGUAUUUCAUAAAUUAAGACAUAAUAAAGUAGUAUUAACUGAAGGGGAGCCUUGAAGUAACUGAUAAAGUUAUUGUCAUACGAUCAUGAGACUACGAGUUUAAGCCUUGAAAAUAGCUCCUUGUAGAAAUGUUAGGUGAGACUGAGUAUAAGAGAUCCUUGAGAUCGGGCCCUUUCCCAAACCCUGCACAUAAUGGGAGCUUAGUGUACCAGGUUGCCCCUUUUGUUUUAAUAAAAUCGUGUUACCUCUUGCCUAUGUGGAAUAAAUUUUUUUGUGGGAGGUCCUUGGUCUAAGUCUUGCCUUUGUGGCAAGAUUUAUAGAGCAUAUCAUGAAUCAAUACACAAUGUAGUAGUAUCAACUUUUGCCCAUGGGCCGUAACUUAUUCUUCGAAAGUUAUUGGGAUAAGUCUUUCCUCUGAGGCAAGGUCCAUAAAACAUCUUAUAAAUCAAAACACAAUAAGGUAGUGUCAACUCUUUCCCAUUAGGAAUAACUUAUUAUUUGAAAGUCCUUGGUCUAAGUAUUGCCUCUAAGGAACGAGUUAUAGAGCAUCUCAUAAAUUAAGACACAAUAUGCUAGUAUCAAGUCUUACUCAUAGGGCAUUACUUGAUUUUUAAAAGUCACUAGGCUAAGUUUUUCCUCUAAGGCAUGAGUUAUAGAGAAUCUCAUAAGUCAAAACAUAAUAUGGUGGUGUCAACUCUUGGUCAUGCGACUUCACUUGUUGUUUAAAAGUCAUUAGGCUAAGUAUUUCCUCUAAGGUAAGAGUAAUAAAACUUAUAAUAAAUUAAGACAUAAAGUGGUUGUUUCAACUCUUGUCUGUGCAGUGUAACUUAUUGUUUGAGAGUCCUUGGGCUAAAUCUUGCCUCUGGAUAAGUCAUUAAUUUGAUGACUUGUUAGCACUUUUUAGUCUUAGGUUAUCAAGUUUUUUCUAUUUAUUUAAGGUAUUUCUCAUGUUAUAAUGUUCAUUUGUGCAGGUAAAGGUUGAAAAUAAAGUUGAGCAUAUCACAUGAGUCAAUUAGAGUGUUAAAUAAAAGAAAAAAGCUUUAAAAGUUCAUUUGGACAUGCUGGGAGCCACCUGCACAUGUACAAGUAGACCUGCGCACACAUAUGUCCAAAUUAAAGAAUCCAGUGUCAUCUAAGCUAGUGACCUACGUGCGCAGGUGAGCCACAUGUGUUGGCAUCUACUCCAGUUGGUAACCAGUGUGGUGUUAUUUUUGUAAUUUCUAUAGAAUGUGAAUUUUGGGUCUAAAUAUGGGUUUUCAGCUCUAAACCACCAUUCUUGUACUUCUAAAGCUUGAAACAUUAGAGUGAGACUCCAAGUGUGAAAUUAGUGAAUUUUCUCUAGUUUUAUUAAAUCCAAAUCUUCAUUAUUACACUAAAUUAUGAUUUAAUGAAAUAAUUUAAGGAAAUUUGAGUAAAUCUCUUCUUUCUCUCUCUGUGAGUAUCUAAUUUCUUUUUUUGGGGUUAUGCUUGAAUAAGUUGUUAUUGUUAUGUGGGUGUUGAUUAUUUGUCUUCUGAAUUAUCUAAUUUAUAUAGGUUUACUCCCAUUCCAUGUGUUAAUUGAGAACUAGAGGUUGCUAACUCUAAUUACCCAUGAACCCUUAUCAUCCUUAACAAAGGAGAUGAGGGUGAGGAAUGAGUAUAAACAAUAACUUGAUUUGCAUCUUUUAAUAGUAUCUCUUUGACAUAAGGAUACUAAUUGAGGUCAUAGAUUGCUAAAAUUGUUACACUUAUGAGGUGUUUGAAAGAACCAUUUAUGAGAUUUUGGUGUUUGAUUGACAAAUUGAUACUAAAUACCUAUAAUUUAUCCUACCCAUGACUUUUAGCUAAAUUAAGAUAAAUAUUCAAUUACCCACACAUGAACCCACACUUAGAAUAGCAUAACCCAAAAUCUUACUCUAUAUUUGGUUAAAAUCUAGUUAUUUGUAAUUUUGAAAUUGUAUUCUCACUAUGAUAAAAUUGUUAACUCUAAAAGUGUUCAAAUACCCCCCGGCAAUUUUACUUUCUUGUUUUAUUUGUAUUGCAUUACAAUUCAACUUCUAGUUGCUUCUAACACUUAAUCUUGAAAUUUAUGCUCUCAUUCCCUGAGUAUUCUACCCCAACUCUUGUUUGGUUAACUAUAUUAACAACGAUCGCUUAUACCUUAGGGGUGUAAUGUGAGAACCAUCAAAUUUUGACCUUGUUGUUGGAAAACGUAACAUAGUUUUCAUUCUUGUAAUGUAACUAGUCACUUUGAGACUCUGUAGUGUUUAUUUUACAUUAUUUGUUGUUUUAAUUCUUUCUCAGGUGACAACCAUAGUUUACACAAUACCAUGAACCAAAAUGAUAGCAAUCUCGGUACUUUUGAAAGGUAUCUCUAGGAUGGUGAUCACCUAAGGGAUACAGGCUAGGCUAGUGCCAUUCAUAUACCACCAGCAGCUAGAAAUGAAGUGGUUCAUGUUACUAACAUGAUGCUUUAUUUUCUAUAAAAUAAAGGCUCAUUUGGGGGUCAACCCCAUAAGCAUGCCAAUAUACACUUGAAAAUUUUCAUUAAUGUGUGUCUUCCAUUUGAUAUCACCCACAUAUCUUAAGAAUCAAUCCGUUUGUGUCUUUUACCGUUCUUAUUGAUAGGAGAAAUGGUCUUAUGGCUGUGAGAGUUACCCGCGGGAUCUAUGACUUCAUGGUUUGAGAUUACAGAAGCAUUUUUGGAUUGGUUCUUUCCUUAUUCAUGGAUGUUGCAACUAAGGAUGAAAUCAUCAACUUUCUUCAACUUAAUGGUGAACUAUUACAUAAGGCUUGGCAAUGAUUUAAUGAGAAGAUAAUUCAAUACCAAAAUCAUGAGGUCCUAGAUAAAAUGCUUCUUCGAAUCUUGUAGAGGCUUCGGACCAAUUUAAUAAGACUGUAGCCUAAUGCACUCGAAGGAUAUAUUAUUAAAUAAUCUUAUAAUGCUGUCGUGGUUUUACUAGAUCAAGUGACCAAGAAAAGUUAAGGUUUUCAUACAAGAGAUAUCGAGGUAGCCAUAGAGGCUCCCUUCACAUCUUUUAUAAUCCAAGAACAAAGGAAAAAAGAUGAAUAAAGAGAUGAGAACAUGGCUAAAGUGAUGACUCAACUUGAUCUUUUCACCAAGCAUGUAAUAGGGGAUCCUCCAAAGGCAGUCAAUGUCAUUGCUUUUAAGAGUGUUAAAUCAUAUAAUAAUGAGGAAAUAAAAUCUCUUGAUGAGGAAAUUUGAUUCUUUUUGAAUCAAUUUGAGGGGGUCCCCACCCUACUUAUCAAAGAAUAAGUGCGAAUCAAGGUUGGAAGGAAAGGGAUCACGAAUAUAAAAACCAUUAUUAAAAGGACAACGAUUGUGAUAGAGAUUGGUGUGACGAAUAUUGUAAUAAAUAGUGUGAUUAAAGAGAUAAGGAGAGAUACCAUCAUCAAAAUAUUCCUCCAUAUGAUAGGACCAAGGGCAAGAAGUUAAGCUCCAUUGAUCCAAAGAAGUUCAAAAGUAAAGAUGUCCUUUCUCAUGUCUUAGCAUGUGUUGAAGUAAGUGAUAUCAUGUUGACAAAUAUGAAAAGUGAUUUUCCACAACUUAAUAAAAUGGUAACCUCUCUCUCAUCCUCUAUAAAGCAACUUGAAACUCAAUUGGGCCAAAUAUCAGCUUAUCUCAAUGCAAAGAUAAAAAGUGGAUUGCCUAGUGACAUGGUUGCUAAUUCUAAAAAUGAUGCUCACAUCAUGGCUAUUUUCACUAGGAGUAAUCAAGCUCUUGGCAAAAAUGUUGUUGAUCUUAAUGAAGACCCUAAUUAAAGAGGUAGUGAUGAAUAAGCCAUUGGAAAGAGAAUGUGGCUAGAAAAGUCAAAUGAUGAUGUUUCAAAUCUUAAUGAGCCAUUACUGAAAAUCCAAAGGUAGUGGAAGAAAAGGUUGGGAGUUAGGAAGCACCAUAACGGUUGAUUGUAACGCUCUAAAAUUGACUAAAAUUAUGAUUGUCUCUAUGCCACAAAUUAAAAUUCCUCUCCUAGUUAUGCAAAGACUCAAGAAGAAAGAAGAUGAUGCCAAGUUCAAGAAAUUUCUUGAAAAAUUUAGUGACCUAUCAGUGAAUAUACCAUUGUUGGAAACUUUACAAGAGAUGCCCAGGUAUGUUAAAUUCAUAAAGGACUUGGUCUCAAAGAAAUGAGUCAUGGAUUUUGAAACUAUUAAAGUGACACACAAUUAUAGUGCCAUCAUGUCUAGCUAGUGGUUGUGAAGAAGAAAGACCCAAAUCCAUUUAAUAUUCCUUAUUCUAUUGGGGUGUACAAGUUCAAAAAAUCAUUGUGUAAUCUUAAGGCUAGUAUUAAUGUGAUGCCAUUUUGAAAGAUACGUUUGGGUACCCCCAAGCCUACCAUAAUGAGGCUUUUAAUGGAUGAUCGAUCUAUUCAGAAGAUCAUGUAUGUGUUGUAUGAUUUUCUUGUGAAGGUGGACUACUUUAUCUUUCUGAUCAACUUUAUAAUUCUAUAUUGUGAAAUUGAACAUAAGGUCUCUAUCAUUAUUGGUACUCUAUUCUUGGCUACAGACUAGGCCUUAGUUGAUGUUGAAUAUGGUGAAAUAAAGUUUUGGGUGAACAAUAAAGAUGUGUCUUUUAAUGCGUGUAAUUACAUAAAACAACCUAUGAAUUUGCAAGUUGUUUCGGUGAUCGAUAUGAUUGAUGAAGAGGUGACUAGCACCAUAGAGGUGGAUCCUUUGAAUAACCCCUUGGUGGGUGUAUUGUGGAACUUAAAGAGUAAGGUUGUUGAAGAAUAUGAUGAGGUGGUUUCUUCAUUGACGAACCUUGGAUCUUAUAUUAAAAAUCCUUGUAAGUUGGAUCUUGAUUUGAAAAAUUAUAAAAAUACACCCACCAAACCUUCUAUUAUUGAACUACCUCAACUUGAACUUAAUUCGUUGCCUUCAGAUCUUGGGAGUAUUUCUUGGGUGAGAACAAUACUUUUCCAAUCAUUAUUGUGGAUGAUCUAUUGCCCUAGCAAGUGGAGGCUAUGCAAUCUAUCAUGAAAAUGUUCAUUAUUGCUAUUGGGUGGAACAUAGAGGACAUCAUAGAGAUUUCUCCCAAAAUUCGCUCUCAUAAAGUCAAAUGGGAGGUUGAUCAUAUUCCUAGUGUGGAACAGCAAAGAAGGCCUAACCCACCAAUGCAAAAUUUAGUCAAAAAGGAGAUUAUCAAAUGGCUUGAUGUAGAUUAUCAAAUAGUACGUGAGUUAGUCCAGUCUAAUACAUCCCCAAGAAAGGUGGUAUAAUGGUAGUCCCAAAUAAAAACAAUGAUCUUGUUCCCGUACAUUUGGUCGUAGGUUGGAGAGUAUGUAUCGAUUAUCGUAAAUUGAAUUCUCGGACCGAAAAAGAUCAUUUUUUUAUGUUUUUAUGGACCAAAUGUAGGAUUGAUUAGCCGAGCGUGGAUGGUAUUAUUUUCUUGAUGGAUAUUUGAGUUAUAAUCAAAUUUUAAUUGCACGAAAAUAUCAAGAAAAUACCAUAUUUAUAUGUCCCUAUAGGACCAUAACCUUCAAAUACAUGGCCUUUGCACUAUACAACAUACCCACUACCUUUCAAUGGUGCAUGUUGUCUAUAUUCUUUGACAUGGUAGAGGAUACCACAACAGUGUUCUUGGAUGAUUUCUACAUUGUUGAUGAGUUAUUCAAAUAUUGACUCGAUCAUUUAUGUAAGGUACUUGAGUAGUGUGUGGAGACAAACCUUGUUUUGAAUUGGAAAAAAAUACCAUUUCAUUGUCAAAGAAGGCAUUGUGCUAGGCCUAAGAUCUUGGGUAAGAACAUCCAAGUCGAUCAAGAAAAAGCUAAAGUGAUUGCUAAAUUACCUCCACCUGUCAUCGUGAGAGGUGUUAGAAGUUUUCUUGGUCAUGUUGGGUUCUAUAAGUUUUUCAUUAAGGAUUUCUUACCCUUUGCGCAAAAUCCUUGAAAAAAAGGUGAAGUUUGAAUUUGAUGGUGAUUGUUUAAUAGCUUUUAAUUUAUCAAGGAGCUUCCUGUGUCGGCUUCUAUCAUUGUGGCUCCAAAUUGGUCCAUGACCUUUGAAUUAAUGUGUGAUACGAGUGUUGUUGUAAUAGGUGUGUUGUUGUGCCAAAUAAGAGAAAAGUUGUUCCACCCGAUCUAAUAUUCAAGAAAAUCAUUAAAUGAUGCCCAAAGUAAUAAUAUGAUUAUGGAACAAGAGUUGCUCGCUGUGGUAUAUGCUUUUGAAAUAUAUUGGGCCUAUUUGUUGGGUACAAAAUUGGUUACAGACAUAGACCACAAAACUCUAAGAUAUCUUAUGUCAAAGAAAGAGGUAAAACCUCGAUUAAUUAGGUGGAUAUUACUUUUACAAGAAUCAAGUUUCGACCACCUCCCCACCUUGAAUCCAAUCAUGGGAAGUUGGGUUAGAUCAAAAUUGAUGAAACCUUCCCCGGUGAACUAAUCAUGUCACUUUUGAGAAGUAGUGAGCCUGGGUAUGCAGACUAAGCUAAUUACAUUAUUAGUAGUUUGAUUUUUAAUGAUCUUAAUCAUUAUCAAAACUAGAGGUUCUUAUUUGAUGUAAAGAAGUACUUUUGGGAUGAAUGGUACUUGUUUAGAGAGUGCGCAAAUAGAAUAAUUUAUUGAUGUGUUAUGGAGUUAGAAAUUUGGGGUUUGUCACUCUUCUCAAUUCAUUGGACAUUAAGGCGGUAUUAGAAUGACUGAAAAGGUUCUUCAAAAAGGAUACUAUUAGCCUAAUCUCCAUAGAGAUUCUUAUGAGUUGGUCAAGAUGUGUCUUCAAUUCCAACUUCAAGAGUGCAUUUCAAUGAGGCAUGAGAUGCCUCUCAAGCCUAACCUCAAGUAAAAUUAUUCGAUGUAUGGGGCAUUGACGUUAUGGACCCUUCGUGAGUUUAUAUGGUAAUAAAUAUAUCUUGUUAGACAUCGAUUAUGUCUCUAAGUAGGUGGAGGACAUUGAUCUACCGAACAAUAAAAGAAAAAAAUGUUAUUUUCUUCUUGAAAAGUAUAUCUUUACAAGGUUCAGAACUCAAUGGGCAAUCAAUACUAAUGGUGGUUCACAUUUUUGUAAUAGGGACUUUGGUGCAUUGCUUGAUAAGUAUGGGGUAAAGCAUAAGGUUUCUAUCAAUAUCAUCUCAAAACUACUGGCCAAGUUGAGGUUUUAAAUCAAGAAAAAAAGUCCAUCUUGGAGAAAACCGUGAAUGUUGGCCGUACAAAUUGGGCACAACAACUUGAUGACGAUCUUUGGGCAUAUAGGACAAUAUAUAAAACUCCUAUUGGCAUGUUUCCCUACCAAUUGGUUUUUGGAAAGGCUUGUCACUUACCCUUUGAGUUGGAUCGUAAAGCUUUAUGGGCCUUAAAUAAGUUGAAUAUGAAUUGGGAGGAUGCCUCUAAGUUAAGAGUAGAUCAACUAUAUCAGUUAGAAGAUUUUUGACUCAAGGCAUAUGAGAUAUCGAUGUUCUACAAAGAUAAAUAAAUGUAUGACAUGAUGCUAAGAUCUUAAAAUGAGAGUUUUGUACAGGUGAUGAUGUGUUAUCUUUAACUCAAGAUUGAAACUCUUUGCGGGCAAGCUAAAAUCUAAGUGGUCAGGCCCAUUUACGGUCUCAAAUGUCUAUCCAAGUGGGGCAAUCAAAUUAGAGGACCAUGAAAAGUGGAGGUUCAUUAUGAAUGGUCAAAUUUUAAAGCAUUACUAUAUGGGUGGAACCAGAGUGUCUAAGGUUGAGUCACUUCAUUUCAAGGAUGCCAAGCGAUGAAAAAUGUUGUGCCAUGAUGAUAAGUAUGGCACUUCUUGGAAGGAAACCCAAGGUUCAUUCUUAUUUUUUAAUAGUUGUUUGAGUACUAAUUGUUGGUUAUUUAGGGUGUUUGUAGGUGAUAUACCAAGGUAGAAAGCGUGAAAUUAGGUUCACGUGCUCAAAACCAUGUCUCACAAUGAUAAAACCACUUGUGAACACAUUCUUUGCACCUGCCUGUGCAUAUGUACAUGCAUGUGGCAUUAAAAAUUGAUCAAAACUGAAAUGUAAACUGCCUUGGCAUACACCAGGAUCCUGUAAGCCUACGCAGGCAUAUGUGUGCGUAGGACAGUCGCGCAGGUGACCUAGUUUCUACCAAGCAUACUACCACCUAUGAAUGAUCCUGCCCAAAUUACACCUCCAAGAAAGUAUAGAGCGGCCGCAUGUAAAAUAUAGAACCCAACCAGGUUGGGUCGAUUCCACAAGAAAUAGGUUGGAAAUCUAUCAUGAGCUUGCUGAUGUAAUUAGAAAUUAUGGAAAGUAAAUAAGAGGGGGGCUGUAAAAAUAAGAGUAGUAGUGACAAUGUUGAGCAAUUAGGGUUGUUAUCAAUAUGAGACGAUCACUAGGAUUGUGUUCCCCCCAACAUUAUAACUUCAUAGACUGUUUGUACUUAUUAGACUAUCUCGAUGCCUAGCAUGCAAAAUCUAACUAGUUAUAUAUCCCCUAACCAUCUCUCAACUUUGGUUUAAGUGAAUUUCACUCAGCUCUUAUCGGUCUCUGAGUGUCGCAUUACUAAUGCUUAUUUUAUGACCUCAUAUUAACUAUUUCCUCCCGGUCUUAAGUUAAUUAGAUGAAGUUUGACAGCUUUAAAUUACUUUUGUUAUCUCCUUUUCCUAAUCUAUUCCUCUAUCUUGAGAAAGUAUUGAAUAUGGGCGAGUUUCUAAUGUUUACAACCGUUAAGAAAGCAAUGAAAGUGAAAGAGACCCCAGUACAUGUAAGAACACCAUUCAAGAAUGACUUUGCACUUAACCUGCUUUGUUAAUCUAUCAGGGUUCCCACAACCCUAAAUAUGGGGUUUAACUACUCAUGGUUGUAAAAACAAACAUACAUUCCAUAGAUGAAAGCAUAAAACAAACCCCUUUUCUGUCUUAAAAUUGAUCAAAACUGAAAUGUAAACUGCCUUGGCAUACACCAGGAUCCUGUAAGCCUACGCAGGCAUAUGUGUGCGUAGGACAGUCGCGCAGGUGACCUAGUUUCUACCAAGCAUACUACCACCUAUGAAUGAUCCUGCCCAAAUUACACCUCCAAGAAAGUAUAGAGCGGCCGCAUGUAAAAUAUAGAACCCAACCAGGUUGGGUCGAUUCCACAAGAAAUAGGUUGGAAAUCUAUCAUGAGCUUGCUGAUGUAAUUAGAAAUUAUGGAAAGUAAAUAAGAGGGGGGCUGUAAAAAUAAGAGUAGUAGUGACAAUGUUGAGCAAUUAGGGUUGUUAUCAAUAUGAGACGAUCACUAGGAUUGUGUUCCCCCCAACAUUAUAACUUCAUAGACUGUUUGUACUUAUUAGACUAUCUCGAUGCCUAGCAUGCAAAAUCUAACUAGUUAUAUAUCCCCUAACCAUCUCUCAACUUUGGUUUAAGUGAAUUUCACUCAGCUCUUAUCGGUCUCUGAGUGUCGCAUUACUAAUGCUUAUUUUAUGACCUCAUAUUAACUAUUUCCUCCCGGUCUUAAGUUAAUUAGAUGAAGUUUGACAGCUUUAAAUUACUGUUGUUAUCUCCUUUUCCUAAUCUAUUCCUCUAUCUUGAGAAAGUAUUGAAUAUGGGCGAGUUUCUAAUGUUUACAACCGUUAAGAAAGCAAUGAAAGUGAAAGAGACCCCAGUACAUGUAAGAACACCAUUCAAGAAUGACUUUGCACUUAACCUGCUUUGUUAAUCUAUCAGGGUUCCCACAACCCUAAAUAUGGGGUUUAACUACUCAUGGUUGUAAAAACAAACAUACAUUCCAUAGAUGAAAGCAUAAAACAAACCCCUUUUCUGUCUUUGCUCUGAACCCUAUUUUUCUAAAAUAUCAACACAAACAAACUUCAUGUCCCAAAAGAAUACCUACGUACUUGCAUAAUUUUCUAAUUUUAAGCAUAAAAAAUGUCAUGAAACCAUGGCACAUCAACACCAUCAACUUAGAACAUUUUCAUGUCCUUAGGCAACUAACACAAACUAAACAAACAUGAUGGUUAACUAAAAGAAACCAACAACAGUCACCUCACUUUAGCUCAAAUUUCUUACCCCCUCUUAUUCACAAUUUUCAAAACUACUAUGUGUAUCCUUGUUGCAUAAUAGCAUGGCACAAAAGAAAUCAAGUGAUGACAUUAGAUUAGAAACAAACAACCAAGCAUGUAUGCAAUUGACACUACCCGAACAAAUAAGUAGUUAACAAUACAACUCAUAUACCCUCACGCCAAGAAAAUCCCAACUCUUAUAGUAUCAUAAUACAUACCAAUACAAGUACUAUAUCAAAAAACUCACGCUCACAAUGAAGUUCAAAUAAUGUGCAUGAAAUACCAUAGGCUUGCCCUUAUUUUCUAAAUUUUAGUUUUUCGGACGGUUGGACUAGGGUCAUUAUAGAACUUUUAUCAUCUUGUAAUGUAGGCUUGGGGGCAGGUAUAUUACAUAUGGGAAAUGGUUAUUCACCCUUCUUGACACUACACGUACAUUGUUGGCUCCACUACUUAACCAUAUUUCUUUUAUUCUCCCCUUUCUCCUUUAUUUUUAUUCAAAUUGGGCGAGGUUUUGUUCUGUUUUUUGUAUUUAUUAAUUUUUUUCUAUUUUUUUCUUUCAUUUUUUCUCUUUUCUACUACACCUAACCUUGUUUUAUUUUCUUUUAUUCAACACCUUUCUUUAUACCCAUGUUCAACUACACACUCUUAUAAUAGCCACUCUCAACUUACACAAUUUCCAUAAGUUGAGGUACAUAGUGUCCAAGGAGGGACCAUGGCAAAUAUAGGUUCAUCGUACUUAAACAGGGAGGUGAAAAGGUUAAAAUAAGAAAAUAGGUCACAUUAGGCUCAAAUUAGGGAUCACGAGAUACUUAUUCUUAUUUGGCCGGGCUUUUAGGCUAAGAGUGGACUUAUUUAAUCAUGGCUUAUGAUCAUGUCCCAAUCAUCUUAAAAACUAAGAAAGAUUAAUUGGGAAAUUUAUGGAUUAAAUACACAAAGUGAACAUGGUAAAUACCUCAUAUACACAUGGUACAAGAUUAUAUCAUCAACUACAACCUAUUCGGUUCAUGUAAUGCUAAGCUAUGAUUAUUCUGUCCCUAAUACUAAUUUGAUGACAAGACUUAACAAUGGUCAUAAUAUAUAUUAACAACACACAGUUCACAAAAUUUUUUUGGGGGAUAUCAUUUUCCAAACACAUACAAACUCAUAAAACACAAAAAUCUCACUACAACAAGGUUACUAAUUUUUCUCCUAGUCAAAAAACAUAAACCAUAACAUAUAUAACGACCACAACUCAAAAAACCUAGACAUUCUAGAUCUACUAUAAAAACUCACUUUGGAGAAAAAGACACGACAAUAAAAACCUCGAGAGGAUAUUUAGACCCACAAGUAGCCCUUCCCCCAUCAAAUAAGCAUGCAUUAUCCCUAAUGCAUUAGGCCACUUCAAAGAAAAAGAGUUAAGAACAUAUUUAUGGCACCUUAGGUAUGUAGAUCUAAUGCCAAUCAGAAUAACAAAAAUUAUCUCAAAUUCAAAAAUAAUAAGACACCUUAGGUUGCCUCCCAACCAGUACCUGAUUUAACGUGACGGCAUGACCUGUGGAUCUUAACUACAUAAACCUCAUCAAUAUAGCCAUAAUUUUGGCUUCCAGGGUCUCAAUAUUAUUUAUUACCAAAAACACCCUCAUGUCAGUUAGCUGCUUCAUAGUUCUGUGAACAUUGAAUGUGACUUCUUAAUUAUCUAGCCUGAACUUUAGCUCACCCCUUUCCAUAUCCACCAAUGCUCUACCUGUGGCUAAAACAGUCACCUUAAAAUUAUAGGCAUCUCAAAUCAAUCUCACAAUCCAAGAUAACAAAGUCAGCUAGAAGUAUGAACUUGUCUACCUUGGCCAAAAAUCCUAUGAUAUUCCCACAAGCUUCUUAACUAUACGAUCUGCCAUCAGUAACCGCAUCUUAUGGGUUCGACGGGUAUCAAGCCUAAUUAUUUGAACACUUCCAGUGGUAUCAAGUUAAUUCUUGUACCUAGGUCAUACAAAGCCAUGACAAAAUUAGAUGACCCAAUAGUACAAGGAAUAGUGAAAGUCUAGGGUUACUUUUCUUUUGCAUAAAAGAUCAAGAUAUAAUCAGAAAAUAAUAGUGCAAACGACCAACAUCCUCAUAAAUGAUAGUUAUUUUCUUUGUCACCAAAUCCUUUAUAAAUUUUGUAUAGCUAGACAUCUAUUCUAGAUAUUCAAGAAGAGGUAUGUUCAUAGUCAACUCCUUUAGCAUAAAAUAAACUACUUAUACUUCCCUUCUUCGAGUUUCUGCUUUAAUCUUUGAGAGACACUUGCGUGCACAGGUUUGGGAACAAGAAACCUUGAAGAUAUUAAAUUUUUGGGCUUACCAACCCGGUAAGCUUAAAUGAAAAGACAUAAAUUGACCCAUUCUCCCUAAACAUAAAAUCUUUCAACAAAUCUUUGCUCUUAAUAACCGAUUUACCCCUCUUUCCAUAUUACAUUUUCUCUCUCUUCCAACUUUAAAAGUUCUUCACUUCAAGUUCACAAAUUUUCUUGUACUUCACCAAAAUUUAAUGAAACACCUUGAAUUUCGGCCCUUAAAAAUUUCCUGAGCAUUGAGCUCACUACCCUAGUUAUGAUUAGUUGUAGGGUGUCUUAAAGAGUCAUUGGGAUGAGUCCUAACCAAACCAGUAAGUUUGUGGAAAAAUUAUGCUCUGAGUAUGAGUGGCUCACUAAGAGUCGUAAUGAGAUAUUAUGAGUCGUUAGGUAUAAUCAUAGGGUGUCUAGUUUAAGUCCCAAAUUUGGUACUGUGUUGACUACGACUAGACCUAAAGAGUUGUAGGGUCACUAUAUGAGUGAUGCCAUUGAGUCAUAAGGAUAACAAUGAAGGGUUCCAUGGUGGUACUGCCAUGGUUACGACUCAUGGUGAUGAGCCAUUAGGAAUGGUUAUGAGUCAAGGGGCUGACUCAUAAUCAAAGCCAACACUUUUUAGCUUUUAAGUUGAGGGCAUUCUAGACAUUUCCCCUCUUAACCAGAUAGAACCCAAUGACUUAUAACCUCUUUUAGGGUGUCAUUAUCUCUCAGAAAUAUCUAAGUAAAUCCUAAAAUACUCUGAAAUCCUCAAGGAUAAAAACACUUAGGUUUUCAAAAGAUUGAUUAAUUAGCGCUCUCAAGGGUGAUUUCUCUUCGUACAUCUUACUAUUAUAGGCAUGUUAGUCUUUCCUCGUUAUUAGUUUUGUAAAAACAUGUGAUUUAAAGUAUUGUUCAUGAGAUUAUUAUGAUAGUUUAGAAACAAGGGUUGGAGGGUUUUGAACGUUUAUGAAUUGAAUAAUGUUUCUCAUGGUUUAUGUAUGAUUUCCAUGUUUUAAAUAUGGUUUUGAACUUGUGGGUGCAUGGUUAUGGCGAAUGAACCAGGGAAUUAUGAUUUUCCUAAACUUGUGGCUUUUAAAGUGGUAAUUAGUUAUAGUUAUGAGAAUUGUGGGAAUUUGUAAAAUUUAACUAGUCUUGAACUAAUACAUGAUAUAAAAGGUAUUUGAAAUAAAAUGGUAUGAUUUAAUGAGAAAAAUAAAUCAGUGUUUUGCAAUAUGUAUUAACAAAUAGAGGGAGUUAUUCUCUCCAAGUUAAUAGGAAUUGUUUUGGCAUAUUGUUGUUACCUUGAAAGUGUAGUUGGUAUAAUGAUACCAACAUUAUAUGGUUUAAUGUGGAAUAUGGUUAAUUGAAUGGAAAUGUGUGAUACUUAUUUUAAUUGGGCUAUAAUAUAAGUUAUGUAGCUGAGUCAUGAAAGUGGAGGUUUGGGUGAUCGAUACUGGAAAUCAUGUUUGCCGAUAUGGGGCUCAAAAUGACUAAGGAGGGUCGUGUCCCCCCUUAAUAUUAUUUCAUGAUUAGGGAGGUUCGAGUCCCCUAUAAAUCAUUAUAUGAUUUGGUGCUUAAGUCACCUAGGUAUAUGUUGCAGGGUUUGAGUCCCCCAUGUAUAUAUAUAUGAGAUUAUUCUCUGAUUCGUGUGGCUACACGCACUGGGGCCCGACUAGGGGUGAGAGUUGGGGUCCAUAUAGCCCAUGGUUACUAUUAUAUAAAGAUUGAGCUGCACAAUUUAGGCUAAUAUUUUGAAAAAACAUUUUAAGCCUUGUUCCCUAUCUUGACAUAUGAUAUAUACAUAUAUAUAUACACAUAUAUAUACAUAUAUAUAUAUAUACAUAUACAUAUAUUUACAUACAUACAUACAUAUAUAUAUAUAUGUUUAUGCAUUUAAUUAUGUGAUUGGUUUUGAAUGAUUUCAAAUUAUAUUGAUUAUAUCAUUAUGUUAUCCUUAUCCCCAAGUGUUAGGCCAACAUUUACCCCACUAACUAUCUUCGGAUAUUGUAUCCCUAUGCAAUGUUGGAACUGGUCAUACUUCUACCCCUUCUGCUCAGUGACUUGUAUUUGGGAUCAGCUUGCGAGUCAGAUUGAAGUGGUGAGCUUUCAUACUUUUUAAGACCCUAUUUCAUAAUUAUGGUUUCCUUUACAUUUUGAUUAUUUCUUUGGAUUUGGUUUUUGGGUAUUGCCGGGGGUUUGUCUCAUCACUUUAUUGAUAUUAAUUUUUAGAGCAUAGUUUAAAAGGUUUUGUUUGGACUACUAUGGCUAUUGAGAGGAAUCAGUUCUUUGGUUGGCCGAUUGUCGAUGGUUGGUUUUGGACAUGCAUUUAAAAUUUCAUAGACUAUUUUACGCUAUCUUGCUAUAUGCUCAGCCGACCUUAGGGUAUGGUGUAUUUUUUUUAGUUAAGUACAAGGGGUGAUCUCUGAUCCACGUAUGAGUUGAAAUACCUAUAACGUCCAGGCCCUAGUUUGAAUAGUGACAAGAUGGUAUCAGAGCUUAGGUUUGGUAUUAUUGGGUGUCCAACAAAGCCAUAUCGAGUAGAGUCUCUUUUAUGGGUGUGAAGUAUGCAUCACUUAUAAGGGAGAAGGUAUGAGGCAUUUAGGAAUAUUUUCUUUUCUUGUUAUUUUAUUUAAAGCUACAGAGUCUAAGGUCUUGAGUCUCUCUAAUUUUUGUUUGUUUACUUUUUAGAUCAUGCCUCCCAAAUGAUCUGAAGCUCAUGGAAAAUCUUCUAUCCUACUUGAGGACAAUGUUGAUGGGACAUGCCCUACUUAUAUGGUACAGACCCAGUCUAGGGGUCCAGUUCUUGGUUGCCUUUUUAGAGUUCCACCGGUUCUCUCUAGUCCUCCUUAAGCUCCUUUUGAUGAUGUGUUGAAUGCAGAAUUUAUCAGUCUAUUCAUAUGUUAGCUCAGUUGGUAGCUUCUUAGUCUGAGUGUGUAAUUUUUGUUACUCUAUCUUCUAAGGCCACAAGGGUUGGCCAAUUUAUGAGGAUGAGUCUUUCUAUGUUCACUGAUGUUAAGGUUGAGGAGGUUCUUUAAGGUUUUAUUGAUGAAAUAGAGAAGAUCUUCUAGGUUAUGCAUGCUACUAAUGUGGAAGAUAUAGAAUUUGUAGCCUAUCAGUGGAAAUAUGUAGCAUACCAAUCAUAUGAGGAAUAAGAACAACCUACGAAAGAUGAUGCUGAAUCCGCACUGUGGAAUGAUUUCUCUAGUGCAUUUUUUUAGAUGGCUUCUUUUCUUGGGAGUUUAGAAAGGCAAAAGCAAAAGAGUUUGUUAAUUUGAAGAAAGGCAGGUUGAUGAUCAAGGAGUAUUCCUUAAAAUUCCAUUAUUUUUCCCGAAUUCUCCCGAGUUAGUGUCUAACAUAUGGGCUAGAAUAAGGAAAUAUGCUUCUGGGUUGUCCCGUGAUUUGAUUCUAGAGAGUAAGGUUGCCUUGUUGAACAAGGAUAGGGAUAUCUCCAGAUUGGUUAUGUAUAUGUAGCCAGUUGAGAAAGAGAAAAAGAAGCAGGCAAAGAUAGAGGAAGGUAGAAUAAGAAGUUUAGAUUUUCCAAUUAGGGUGGAGGUCAACAACAGAGCAGCAGAGAUGGUGGAAAAUGGUCUAAAAAUAAGUGGGGAGUUAUGGUUCCUACUCUACGGCUAGUUCUUCUUAUUUGUAGUCAUCAAGUAAACAUUAUUCCCAACAUGAUAAUGGGUUUAGGGCAGAGGAUACCCAAUCUCAGGCUGGUAGGGCUCAAUUUUCUCUAUCAUAUCCUACUUGUAGAUUCUGUAGGAAGGUACACCAUGGGUAUUAUAGAGAAGGGAGGAAUAUGUGUUUUAAAUAAGGUCAUAUUGGUAACUUGCAGAGGAAUUGUCCUUUUAAGGUUGCUUCAGGGGCAAAUAAGAUUCCUAUUGCCACUUCAUCAGCUCUUACACCAAAGGGUGCGCUUCUACUUUUAGUACCGAUACUGGGUCAAAUCUCUUGUAUGCCCUUUCUACCCACCAGGACUUAGAGAAAUCCCCCGAUGUCGUCACUAGUAUGUUAUAACUCUUUUCUCGUGAUGUAUAUUACUUGUUGGAUGUAGGCUCUACUCUUUCUUAUGUGACCCCAUUUUUGGCUGUGCAUUUUGGUUUUGAUCCAGAGUGUAUCCCCAAAUCUUUUUAUGUUUCUACCUUGGUGGGUGACUCUGUGGUUACUAUAAGAGUCUGUGGGGGUUGUGUGGUAUCUGUUGGUAGUAGAGAAACCCUGGUAGAUCUAAUAGAGUUAGAUAUAGUUGAUUUUGAUAUCAUAUUAGGGAUAGACCAAUUGCAUUCGUGCUAUGCCUCACUAGAUUAUCAAACUCGUAGGGUCAUGUUUAAAUUUCUUAAUGAUCCAGUCAUUAAGUGGGAAGGAGGUUCUUUAGUGCCUAAGGAAAGAUUCAUAUCCAUAUCUUAGAGACUAAAAGUUGAUUUCCAAGGGAUGUCUUUAUUAUUUAGUCCUAGUUAAGGAUUCUAACUCAGAGGGUCCUUUAUUGACGUUCAUUCUUAUGGUUAAUGAAUUCCCUAUGGUUUUUCUUGAUAGUCUUCCUGGUGUUCCUCCUGAUAGGGAGAUUUAUUUUUAAAUUGACCUUGUUUUGGACACUCGUCCUAUCUCUAUCUCUCCCUAUAGAAUGGUUUCGACUGAGUUGAAAGAGCUUAAGGAGUAGUUGAAAAACCUUCUUAAUAAAGGUUUUAUAUAUCACAGUGUGUUGUUGUGGGUGCUCUUAUUUUGUUCGUACGUAAGAAGGAUGGUUCAUUUUAAAUGUGCAUCAAUUACCGUCAGUCUAAUAAGGUUGCAAUAAAGAAUAAGUAUCCUCUUCCCCAAAUUGAGGAUUUAUUUGACCAACUUUAGGGUGCUAGAUAUUUCUCUAAGAUUUAUCUCUGGUCGGGUUAUCAUCAGCUAAAGAUUAGGAUGACAGAUAUCCCUAAGAUUGCCUUUCAAACCUGGUAUUCUCAUUAUAAAUUCUUAGUUAUGUCUUUUGGUUUGACUAAUGCCCGACAACACUCAUGGACUUGAUGAAUAGGGUCUUCUAUCAGUUUCUAGAUUUUUUUGUUAUUGUGUUUAUAGAUGAUAUUCCGGUGUAUUCCAAAAGUGAGGUGGAUCAUAUCGAUCACCUCCGUAUCGUGUUAUAAACCUUAAAAGAUCAACAUUUGUAUGCUGAAUUUUCUAAGUGCAAAUUCUGGUUGAAGGCUUUUAUUUUCCUAGGUCAUGUUAUUUCAAGUGAAGGGAUCAUGGUGGAUUCGCAGAAAGUUAUAGUGGUUAAGAAGUGGCCUAGGCCCAUGACUCAAACUGAUAUUUGGAGCUUCUUAGGUUUAGCUGGUAACUAUAGGAGAUUUAUGGAAAGUUUCUCGACUAUAGCUUUCUAGUUGACUAAGCCGACCUAGAAGAAGGUAAAGUUCUUAUGGUCUGAUGCUUCUGAGGGUAUUUUUGAGAUGCUAAAAGAUAAUUUAACUUUAGCUCCAGUUUUGACUCUGCUCGAGCGUACUGAUGGUUUUGUUAUCUAUUUUGAUGCAUCCCGUGCAGGACUUGGUUGGGUGUUGAUGUAGCAUGGUAGGGUGGUAUCCUAUGCUUUUAUGCAGCUAAAAGUUCAUAAGAAGAAUUAUCCGACCCAACACCUGGAGUUAUUGGUUGUGGUGUUCGCACUAAAUAUUUGGCAUCACUAUUUGUAUGGAGUCUAUAUAGAUCUCUUUUUUAUCAUAAGAGUUUGCAAUUUGUAUUUACCCAGAAGGAGUUGAAUCUUAGGUAAAGUAGGUAGCUUGAGUUGCUGAAAGACUAUGACCUGAGUCUCCACUAUCACCUAGUUAAUGCUAAUGUGGUUGUUGAUUCUCCUAGGAAGUUAUCCAUGAGGAUUCUAGCUCGUGUGGGUGAGGAUAAGUGUAAGUUGAUGAAAGAUAUUCACCAUUUAGCUAACCUUGGAGUUUGUCUCUUAAACUCUGAGAAUGGUAGGGUAUUUGUGCAAGAGGUGGCGAAGUCAUCCCUUAUUGCUGAAAUAAAAAGGAAACAGAUACUGGAUGCAGUCUUAAUAAGGGUUAAGAGAGAUGUGGGUCAGUAAAAGGUUGUCGCAUUUUGAGAUUGAUUGUGAUAGUUUCUUGAGGUACCAAGGCAAAUUGUGUGUUCCUGAUGUAGACAGGUUGAGAGAGAGGAUCUUGGCCGAGGCUCAUGAUUCGCAUUAUGUAAUUCAUCCCAGUUCGAUAAAGAUGUAUCGUGAUAUUAAGGAGAUUUAUUGGUGGAACAAUAUGAAGUAAGAUGUGGCCAGUUUUAUGGCUAAAAAUACAUGGUGUGUCAACAAGUGAAGGUUGAGCUCUUGAGGACUUCUAGGUUGACUCAAGAGAUUGAACUGUUGGUAUGGAAAUGGGAGAUAAUUAGUAUGGAUUUUGUUACCUAUCUUCUUCAGUCUCAGAGUCAGUUUGAUUUGAUUUGUGUCAUCAUGGAUAGGAUGAGUAAGUCUGCUCACUUCUUGCCAGUGAGGACUAGUUGUUUGACAAAGAAUUAUGCAAAGUUGUUCCUCCAAGAGAUUCUGAAGUUGUAUGGGGUGCAUAUUUCUAUCAUGUCAGAUUGCGUUACUCAGUUCUCAUCAUACUUUUGGCAUUUAUUUUAGCGAGGUUUGGGAACUAAAGUGAGCUUUAGUACUACUUUCCACCCACAGUCAGAUAGGCAAUCAGAAAGGACUAUUCAAAUAUUGGAAGAUAAGCUUUAGGCUUCAGAGAUUGACUAUGGUGGUAGUUGGGUUGAUUAUUUUCCUCUUAUAGAGUUUGUAUAAACUAAUAGCUACCUCUCUGGUAUUGGGAUGGCUCUAUUUGAGGCAUUGUAUAGUAGGAGGUGUAGGUAUCCUAUGGGGUGGUUUGAGGUUGGUGAGGCAGAGAUGUUUGUCCAUAAUUUAGUUCACUAAGCAAUGGAGAAGGUAAAGGUAAUGUGAGAGACUUAAAGUUUCCCAAAGUAGCCAAAAGUCCUAUAAGGAUAUAAGGCGUAGGGAGUUAGAGUUUGAGGUUCUUGAUUGGGUUUUCUUGAAGGUAUCUCCCAUGAAGGGAGUAAUGCAGUUUGGGAAGAAAUGGAAGCCCAGCCCCUGAUAUAUUGGCCCGUACUUGGUCAUGAAGAGGGUUGGUAAUGUUGCUUAUGAGUUGGAGUUGCCUCCUAGUUUGAGAUUCAUUUAUCCGGUGUCAUAUAUUUUGAUACUGAGAAAGUGUAUGGGUUAUUUUUUGAUAGUUAUUCCUUUGGAGGAGGUGGGUAUUUCAGAUUCUUUAUCGUAUGAGGAAGUCCUGAUUAAAAUUUUAGAUCGACAAGUUUGUUGGUUGUGGAUAAAGGACGUAGCUUCGAUAAAGGUUCUAUGGAGAAACCACAAGGUUGAAGAGGCUACUUAGGAAGCCGAAGAGGACAUGAAUUCGGAGUAUCCAUUUUUGUCUUCCUCUCUUGAUAAUCGUUUGUAAGGUAUGUGUUAUUCUUAACAUCUUCAUUUUCUGACUUUGUUAAAGAAAAGAGUGAUUUCCUUAGCAUCCUUAUUUCCUGAGUUUGUUAAAGGUAAGAGUAGGGAAAUAUAGAGUUAAAUCAUGCUAGCAAUUUUCUUAUCCCAUUAUUCGAGGAUGAAUAAUCUAAGUAGGGGAGAAUUUAAACACCCAAGUUUUUGGCCCUUGAAAAUUUCCUGAGCUUUAAGCUCACUGCCCUGGUUACGACUAGACCCCAUGAGUCAUAGGGUGUCUUGAUGAGUCGUUGGGACAAGUCGUAACAAAAAAAAUAAAUUUGUGGCUUGAUUCUACUUUGAAUAUGAGUGGCUCACUAAGAGCCAUAAUGAGAUAUCAUGAGUCAUUAGGUGUAAUCAUAGGGUGUCCAGUGUAAGCCCCAAAUUAGGUUCUGUGUUGACUAUGACCGGACCCUAUGAGUCAUAGGGUCCCUUUACAAGUGGUGCCAUUGAGUCAUAAUGAUAACCGUGUAGGGUGCCAUAGUGGUAAUGCCUUGGUUACGACUCGUCACCACGAGUCAUAAAAAGUGGUUAUAAGUCAAGGGGCUAACUCAUAAUCAAAGGCGACACUUUUCAGCUUUUAAGUUAAGGGCAUUCUAAACAUUUUCCCUCUUAACCAAAUAGAAACCCAUGACUUAUAACCUCUUAGAGGGUAUCAUUAUCUCUCAGAAAUAUCUGAGUAACUCCUCAAAUACUCCGAAAUCCUCAAGGUCAAGAACACUUAGGGUUUUCAAGAGAUUGAUCAAUUAGGGCUCUCAAGGAUGAUUUCUCUUCGUACAUCUUACUAUUACAGACAUGUUACUCUUCCUUCAUUGUUAAUUUUGUAGAAUCAUGUGAUUUAAAGUAUUGUUCAUGAGAUUAUUAUGAUGGUUUUAAAAUAAGGGUUUGAGGUUUUGAACGUUUAUGGAUUAAAUAACGUUUCUCAUGGUUUAUGUAUAAUUUCCAUGUUUUAAAUGUGGUUUUGAACUUGUGGGUGCAUGGGUAUGGUGAAUGACUAGGGAAUUGUGAUUUUCCUAAACUUGUGGCUUCUAAAAUGGUUAUAACCCCAACUCUAUAAUGGAAAAUUGGUUUUAGUUAAGAGAACUGUGGAAUUUAUAAAAUUGAACUAGUCUUCAACUAUUGCAUGAUAUAAGAAGGUAUUUGAAAUACAAUGGUAUGAUUUAAUGAACUAAUGGAUUUAAUGUUCUCCAAUAUGUAUUAUGAACAAAGGGAGUUGUUCUCCCAAAGUUAAUGGGAAUUAUUUUGGCAUGUUGUUGUUACCUUGCAAGUGUAGUUAGUAUGACGAUACCAACAUUAUAUGCCUUAAUAUGGAAUGUGUUUAAUUGAAUGGGAAUGUAUCAUACUUGUUUAAUUGGGCUAUAAUAAGGGUUGUGUAGCUGAGUUGUGAAAGUGGAUAUCCGAGUGGCUAUACUGGAAAUCACAUUUGCCGAUGCGGGGGUCAAAGUAACUAGGGAGGUUUGAGUCCCACUUAAUAUUCUUUCAUGAUUAGGGAGGAUCGAGUCCCUCAUAAAUCAUUAUAUGUAUAGGUGCUUAAUUCACCUUGGUACGUGUUGGAGGGUUCUCUGAUUCGGGCUGUUACAUGCACUGGGGCCUGACUAGGGGGUGAGAGCUGGGGCACAUAUAUCCCAUGGGCACUAUUAUAUGACGGUUGAGCUACACAAUAAGGUUUUGAAAUAGCUUGUAAGCCUUGUUACCUAUCUUGGCAUGUGAUAUAUAUAUAUGUGUGUGUGUGUAUGUGUAUGUGUUUAUAAAUAUAUAUAUAUAUAUAUAUAUAUAUAUUUAUGAAUUUGAUUAUGUGCUUGGUUUUGAAUGAUUUUAAAUUGUUGAUCAUAUCAUUAUGUUAUCCUUAUCCUCGAGUUUCAUGUUAGCAUUCACCCCGCUAAAUAUCUUCGGACAUUGUAUCCCCACACGAUGUAGGAACUAGUCAUACUUCUACCCCUCCUGCUCAGUGACUUGGAUUCGGGAUCAGCUAGCGAGUCAUAUUGAAGUGGUUUUGCUUCCAUACUUUGGAAGACCAUAUUUCAUGAUUAUGGUUUCCUUUACAUUUUGACUAUUCCUUUGGAUUUGGCUUUUGGCUAUUGUCCGGGUUAUGUCCCGACACUUUAUUUAUAUUUGGUUUUGGAUCAUAGUUUAGAAGGCUUUGCUUAGACUACUAUGCCUAUUGGGCGGAAUUGGUUAGGUUGUUGGCCGAUCGUUGGUGGUUAGUUAUGGACAUACAUUUAAAAUUUCUUAGACUAUUCUACGCUAUCUGGACGGUCACGACUAGGCCCUGGUUUGGGUGGUGACAUUUAACUCCAGGGAUACUAAAUUGUGUUUUCUCUCAUCCUUGUCAUUAUCAAAUUGCAUUAAAAAGGUAUGUUCACUUGUGUAAAUUUGUUUAAGCUUCUCUUCAAGUUUUAAUGGUAGUUCAUAUUUCAUGAUACUUUGUGGCUAUAUUGUGAUUCAUUUAAGUUUCUUUUGAUGAAAUAUGGUUGUUGGAAUGUAGAAUGUCAAAUGGGUGAGAUGUUUUUAUAUGAUUAAAGGUGCUGAAGAAUAUUUCCUUGAGAUUAUUGCAAACUCAAAUGCAUGUUUGGGGUAUCUUCACUGAUAUGGAAUCACUUCCAAUCCAUCAAGCUAUCAUUUGGAACUAGUGCAAGAAUUUUAUGCCUCUUAUGUAUUUUCCACAACCAACACAAAUACAAUCCAUUGGUAGUGGGACAAUCAUGCCUUCAUAGUGUGGUGGUUUGGGAUUCGAAGUUCAAUAUACCCCACUAGAAAUCAAUGAAAUUUAUUUUGCUUGUGAUUAGGUUUUUGGGGUUGAAUUCAAGAAGAAGGUGCUUGUUGGGAAUGAGGGUUUUCCUUGUAUAUUCUGGGUGAUUGCAAAAAGGCCCCAUCUAUAGGCCAAAUGGCAUUGGACAAAUCGAGCGGCGGAUACUUUCAAUCUGAGCUAACAUUGGCUUGGAUUUGUUAGUAAUAGCCUACUUCAUUCACAGAAUAACCAAGAUCUCACUAUAGAGCUGGCUAUCAUUGUUGGUUGCAUCAUGAAUUAUAUUAUAGUUAAUUUAAAGGAGUUGAUUAUGGAAAUGAUCAAGUUAAGGUUAAAGAAACCGGGUAAUUCAUUUCCAUUUCCUUCUCUUAUUUCAUUGCUUUGCGUUAAGUAUAAGGUUUUGUUCUUUUGGAAAAUUGACCAGAGGGUUAUUUGCACUAGUGCGAUUGACAUUAAACAUUGCCAAAAUGAUAAUAAUUCCACAGGGAUUAAGAGGAAAGCUUCGGUAUUGGUGGAUUCUUUUGUGGGAGAGUUGCCUAGUUUAGACGGUAUGGAUAUUCUUUUGGUCCCUUUACUUGCUUUGGAUGCUCCCAAAUUUCUAUUGACGCUCCUCCUUUUUCAAGCACCUCACCACCCUAUUGACCUACCCAACCGCAUCAGUCUUCCACAAUCACAUUUUCCAAAGUUGCUUUUAUGAAAUUAGCAAACAAUAAUACUAUUAUUCAGUUAGUGCUGACAUCCCGUAGUUUAUUUAGACUGCUAUUGAGCAGAGCUUAGAACCUCUAUGUGUCUAAAUGAAGGAGUAUGAGUAUAUAUUAGCCAUAGUAGAGGCUAAAGUAGAUUGUGAGGUGGUUGCAUCUUGAAACAUAUAUCGUUAGAUUAUACAUACAAUGCAUAGGAAUAGAUUGCUAGCAAGAAAAACUUAUGUAGUUAUGAAGUUAUAGGGAACACAGUCCUAGUUCAUUAUUCUCAUUGAUUUUCUCAGCAUAAAAUGAUAUUUUGCUUACUUAUUACUUUAAUUUACAAACUCUUGAUUUGUUUUCUAAAUCUCCCCUUUAAAAAAUAAUAAAUUAAUAGUCUAAAUAACCACAUCGAUUUAUGUCCUAACCAUAUUCCUCUUGGGAUCGACCCCAACCUAGUUGGGUUCUAUAUUUGUUUGAUGACUGCUUUUUACUUUAUUGUGAGGUGUAAUUUGGGUGACAUCAAUCGAUGUGUCGUAGAAUUACAACACAAAAUAUGCUUAAAUAAAAACUCUUGCAAAUCCAAAGCUGUUUUUAUCUAGAUAUGAUAUGUUUAUUGAGUUUUGCUAGAAAAUAGGGUCGGAAGUUAUUGGAAUAACAAAAGAAGAAAAAAUGCACAAGUAAUGGAAGACUGCCUGUAUAAUGAGUCAUUGGGUUAUGAUACGGCUCAUCAUCCAGUUCGUUGUGAGAAUAAAAAGGUUAGUGGCUUCAAGGAUAAAAAGGUAGGUUGACAACUCGUAGGGCCAGGCUACGAGUCGUAGGGAGAGUUCUUUUGAGAAAAUUAGGCAAGGCAUUGAGAGAUGCCUACUUGAUGCUAAAGAUGAUGAGUGUUGGUGAUGACUCGUAGGGUAUGACUAUGACUCGUGUUGACUAAUUGUUCUGAGCAUUUGAGAAAAAGAUUUGAAACCUUGAAUAUGAGCGUAAAGAUCGAGUGAGUCAACCUAUGACUCAUUUAGAUACCCAAUAUGUCAUCAUUAGCAGAAGGAAUUUUAGGCUACAAUAAAGCUAAAAGGUUAACAAUGAGUCAUAGUCAGUCUAUAUGAAUCGUUGUCAGAGGCGUCGUCACUGCCGACUUAUGUAGUGCUAUUUUGUUUAGGAAAACUUUAAUGUGUCUAUUAAUACCCUUGUUUGAUCUAUUGUUUAGGGUUACGUACUUAUGUAUUAUUUUGAGGUACUAAGAUACAUUAUUGCUCUUCGAAUCAUUGAUAAUGUUUAUUUAGGGUUUCUAAUCAAUUUCAUAUUUCAACUUUUCAUCUUAUUCUUAUAAGUACAAAAUUAUGCUUUCAUCUAUGGAAUCUUCUUGUAUUCUUAUGAUCAUGAGUAUCUAAACCCCAUAACUAGGGUUGUAGGAACCAUGAUGAGUUAACAAAGUAGGGUUAAGUGUGAUGUCCUUCUAGAUUGGUGUUCUUGGUAUUUCCUUCGGUUUGAUUAUUAUUCUUAAUCGUUACAUAUGUCAGGAACUUGCCUGUAUUCUAAAUGUGCUCGGGAGAGUGGUAGAGAUUUAGAAAAGGAAAUAACAUUAGUAAUUUAAAGCUAUCAACCUUCAUCUAAUCAACUUAAUCCUAAAUUGAGAUAGUUAAUCUGAGAUCACAAAACAAGGGUUAGUAAUGCGAUGCUCUAAGUCCAAGAGGAGAUGAAUGAAAUUCGUCUAAUCCAAGGUUGAGAGAUAGUUAGGUGAUACGUAUCUUGUUAGAUGUGUAUGCAAAAAAUUGGGAUAGUUUGCUAAGUAUGAAUAACCUGUGGAGUUAAUAAGUCAUGAGGAACAUAAUCUUAGUACUUGUCUCAAAUUGAUCAUAAUAAAAUUAACCAACAAUUGUUGCUAUUACAACUCACUUUUAUAAAAAAAAAACUUCCAUUUACAUAAUUCCCAGUUACAUCAGCAAACUCUUGAUAGACUUUCAGCCUUUUUCUCAUUGGAUUGACCCAAACUAAGUUGGGUUCUAUUUUUAUUCGACAACCACUUUAUACUUCAUUGCAAGGUGUAAUUUGGGUGAAAUCAAAUUUUGGAACCAUUGCUAGAGAAUCCAAUUACAAAUUGAUAUAUUGAGUUUGUUGAAGAUAUUGGUUUCAUUUGUUGAUUUCUGCUCUCCUACUAUUUAUAGGGAACACGCUGGUAUAUGCCCAAUAUUCAGAGUCAAGGAAAUCCCCUAAUUCCAUUUGAUCUUAAGAUAACUCUAAGGUAAAUUUCAAAGUGAAAAGAGAAAAAAUUUAUGAUCAAGAAGCUUGGCAUAUAGGGGUUCAGGAUGACCCAACAAUACUGAAUCAUCCACUUUAGUAUGAUGUUUAGGAAAAUAUGGAUCAAGUUAUUGCUUAAUUAAUGUCUUAGGAAAUUUCUAGAAAAGUAAAUGCCCAAUGAGCAGCUAAAUAAUAAAGGGCUAGAUAGUAAGAGAAAGAUCGACUAGCUACAUUUGAAAGGAACAAGAUGAGAAAAAGUCAGAGAACAAUAGCCCAUGCAACACUAUCUUUAAGUUUAUAAUGAUCUAGAAGAUUUAGGGUAUGUUAAACCAGUUGAAACAGUUCAAUCAUUUCUCGAGAAUUGACCUAGGGGACUAAAUUUGAUAUUAUGAAUGAAAUGAUCCAGUUAUUGAACUUGAUGACGGUGUUUUUUGCUUUACCUACUGAUAAUGCAAGCAUUCACAUUAUGAACUUUAUGGGGAUCUGUACUUCAUACAACGGGGUGAGUCAGGAGGCAAUACGACUGAGAUUGUUGCCAUUCUCCCUGAUAGGAGAAGCUACAUUAUAGUUUGAAGAGCUUCUCUAUGGAUCUAUAACUACUUGGAACAAGUUGAAGACUCAAUUUUUGGACUGCUUUCCACCCUUCAAAAUAUUGUAGUUAAAAGAUGAGAUAUAUAACUUCCACCAUUUGCAUUUAGAGUAAUUAUAUGAGACAUGGUUGAAGUUCAAUAAGAAGCUUCAUAGCUUGCCAAAUUACAAAAUUAUCGAAAGAAACUUUUUUGAGAUCUUCUAUAAAGUGUUGAAUGCCAGUAUAACAAAAAUAGCUGACACGCUCAUUGGUGGAGCAUUCACGAGUAAAAAAGUGGUAGAAGGUUCUCGAUAUCUUUGAUCAUAUUACUAAAACCAAUUGAGGGUGGCAUACUUGGAAGGCAGAUAGGUUAGUUGGUACUUAUGCAAUUAGUUCCUCUAGUGAGUAGAGAGCAUUAGACGAGAUAGUAGCUCAAGAGGUAGCAUAAUUGAGGACAGAGAUUAGCCUAUUUAUGAAAUAAUUGUUAGAUAUUAGAUCAAAAAAGGUAAAUGUAGUGGGUUCAUGAGUCAAAGCUUAUAGACAUGAAGAGCAAACUCUUAUUAAGAAGCCAAGUAUCUUGAUAGACAAAUAAUGGGUUUUCAAGCCAAGUGCCAAAGGUCUAACCAAGAAAAUUGGAACUCUAGGUAAGGAAAUCAAGGUUGGAACUAUUAUAGAGACAGGUAUAUGGAUAAGAGUAGUGAGCGUGAUGGUGACUGGAUAAGGAAAGAUGACAAUAAGGAUAAGGGUAGCCUUUAUAUUCUAGAAGAGAACCAAGAUGCUGAGUCUAGGAGUUUGAGAAUGGAAACAUUGCUUGCAAAGCUUGUGAAGAGUUUAGAGAGCCAAAAAAGUUGCCAUAAGGAAAUUAAGGCAAAAAUUUUGGGGUUUAUCCAAAGGUUGAAUUGUAUGCAACCGCUAUUAAGUAACUUGAGAGAUAAUUUAGGUAGACGUCUAUCACCUUAAACUAGUAUCAACCAAGCACUCUUCCUCGCAGCACUAUUUAAAAUUCAAAAAUGACAAUCAUUGUCUAGCUAUCCAUGCCUGUGAUUGAUGACAUGAGGAAUGACCCUAUAGACAUUAAUGAUGCAGACAAAGAUGAAUAGAAAAAUUAAUGAUGAAUGAUGAGGCAUCUUAGAAGCCUAUAGUUGUAGAAAAAAAAGUUGACACUAUCAAAAAAGGGUAAGGAGUUCAUACCAGCAUUGAAGGCCAUUCCCCAACCUUCUUCACUUUUUUUCCCAAAGGUUGAAGAAGAAACCCAAAGAAGGAAAUUAUUAGAAGUUUACUUCAAUGCUAGAAGAGUUAUCUAUAAACAUCCCUCUUAUGAAAUCUCUAGAUCAAAAGUUGGGUUAUAUAAAGUUUAAGAUGGAUUUGGUGACCAAGAAGAGGAGGAUGAGUUUUGAGCAUGCUGGUAAUUUACACCACUUUAGCGCCAUUGCCUCUUGAUCUUUAGUUUUAAAAAAAAUCCUAAAGUAUUCACCAUCCCUUGUACUAUUGGGUCUUAUAAAUUUGCACAAGAUGUAUGUGAUCUACAAGCUAGCAUUAACUUGAUGUUGCUAGUCAUCUAUAAGUAGUUGGGAUUGGGGUUAUCUAAGCUGACCUCUAUGAGACUUUUGAUAGUGGAUCGCACUGUGAAGAAGUCAGUUGGUAUCUAGUGUGAUGUAUUGGUAAAUAUAUCCUCCUUCAUAUUUCCAACUAAUUUUGUAAUUCUUGAUUGUGAGUUUGACGUCGAAGUCCCUAUCCUAUUACGGAGGCCUUUACUAGGUAUGAGUGGGGCAUUGAUUAGCAUGGGUAUAGGAUAAAUGAAGUUCAAACUUAAUGAUGAAUAGGUCACAUUCAGUGUGUUUCAAUUAAUAAAGUAGCCAAAGGAUAUGAGUGUGACUUCUGUGAUUGAUAAUUGUAGAAGAAGAUAUAUUGUUCAUACCCAUUAAGACAAGGCUUGGUUCCGAGGCAUUCAUAGCUAUAAUGAUAAAUUUUGAUAGUGAAGGUAUUGAUGGAUAUGAUUAGGUGGUGAAUUCACUUGUGGGUGGAGGUUAAUACUCUUAUGUGCUAAAGAAGUUGGAAUUUGAUAUUACAAAUAGAGUGACCCUUCUGUCCAAACCAUCUAUUGAGGAGCCACCAGUUUUUGAAUUGAAAGCCCUUCCUUCUCAUUUGUGUUAUAUGUUCUUAGGGUCCAACAACACGUUGCCGGCUAUUAUUGCAGUAAAAUUAUUAGAGUGGCAGGUUGAGGCUUUAGUAUCGGUUUUGUAGAGGAUUAAGAGGGCUAUUGGCUAGACUAUUAUUGACAUAAUCAGAAUUCCAUCCAGAAUUUGCACUCACAAAAUUCAGCUUGAGCCAAAAUUAUACGUAGAAUUUAUCAUCAAUGUAUAUUAAAUCCACCUCUGUAAGAUGUUGGGAAGAAAGAAAUCAUCAAGUGGUUUUAUGCAGGUGUGGUUUAUCCAAGUGCUAACAGCAAAUGGGUGAGCCUGAUUCAGUAUGAUCCAAUGAAGGGUGGGAUCACUAUGGUUCCCAAUGAGAAGAAUGAUCUCAUUCUUAUGAGACUAGUCACUAGAUGGUGAGUAGGCAUGGAUUAUAAGAAGCUGAAUGUAUAGACCUAGAAGGAACACUUUCUAAUUUCAUUCAUGGAUCAGAUAUUAGACCGUAUUGUGGGUAGAGGAUAGUAUUUUUUUUCUUGAUGAUUAUUCAGGGUACAAUUAGAUUUCUUUUGCUCUUAAGGACCAAGAGAAAACCACUUUCACUUGUCCAUAUAGAAUUUUUUUAUUCAAAAAGAUGCCAUUUGGUCUUUGUAAUGCUCCCUCAACUCUUCAACGUUGUAUGAUUUUUAUUUUUCUGAUAUGGUAGAGGACGUUAUUGAGGUUUUCAUACAUGAUUUCUCAGUUGUGGGUGAUUCAUUUGAUGAUUGAUUGACUCAUUUGUCCAAUGCCUUAGAAGGAUAUAAAGAGUGAAAUUUAGUCCUAAUUUAGGAGAAGUGUCACUUUAUGGUCAAGGAAAGGAUACUGCUUGGGUACAAAAUUUUGAAGAAGGGAAUAGAGGUUGACAAGGCUAAGAUUGAGGUGAUUGAAAAAUUGUCUCCUUCAAUUUUUGUGAAGGGCAUUUGGAAAUUCUUAGGUCAUGUAGGUUUCUAUAGGUGAUUCAUCAAGGACUUAUAGAAAAUUACAAAUUCAUUAUGGAAAUUGUUAGAGAAGGUGGUGAAAUUUGUGUUUGAUAUGUUUUUCUUAAAGCUUUUCAGUGCUGAAAGAGAGGUUGACUUCAACUCCUUGUUGUGUCCCCUGAAUGGACUCAACUAUUUGAAGUGAUAUGUGAUGCUAGUGGCAUGUCCCUAGGAUAACUUUUAUGAUAAAGGCGAGAAAAGAUACUUCAUCCGAUCUACUAUGCCGCCAAAUCAUUAAAUCCCACACAACAUAACUACACAGUGACUGAAUAAUAAUUACUUGAAGUAGUGUUCACUUUUGAAAUAUUUUGGUCCUACUUGAUUGGAACUAAAGUCAUUGUGCACACUAAUCAUGGUGCUCUUAGGUACCUUAUGAAGAAGAAAUAUGCAAAACCGAGGUUGAUUUGAUGGGUACUUCUACUAUAGAAAUUUGAUUUCGAGGUUAAGAAUCAGAAGGGCACUGAAAAUCAAGUAGUAGACCAUUUGUCAUGCCUAGACAAGGAAGAGAUGAUAAAAUUAAGGGAUGAGAUUGAAAUUAAUGAUGCUUUUCUAGAUGAGCAAGUCUUAGCAGCAUCACUAGACAUAAUCCCUUAGUUUGUAGACUUUGACAAUUAUUUGGCAACUGAUCUCAUUCAAGAAGAUAAGUUGUUUUAGCAGUGCAAGCGAUUUAUGCAUGAGGUGAGAAAGUUCUUUUGGGAUAAGCCAUAAUUUUUUUGGAUGUGUACUAAUAGUGUAAUUCAGAGGUGUAUUCUUAAGAUUGAGAUGAUAAGUAUUUUAGAGAAAUGUCAUUCGUUCCUAGUUGGGGGUCGUUGGGGGUCAUCAUAGAGGUACUCACACUACCCACAAAAUCUUGCAAUGUUGUUACUAUUUUCCUACAAUCUAUAAGAGUACACAUGAUUAUGCCAAGUCCUAUGACCAAUUCCAAAGGCAGGGCAAUAUUUUAAGAAAGCAUGAGCUUUAUAUGAUACCUAUCCAUUGAGCUUGAAUUGCAUGAUGUUUGGGGUAUUUAUUUAAAGGGACUAUUUGUGAGUUCACAUGGAAUGAAAAAUAUCUUUGUGUUUGUCGAAUACACUUCAAAGUGGCUGGAAGUAGUUGUGCUUCCAAACAAUGAAGGUAAGAGUGUCACAGUAUUCUUAAAGAAGAAUAUUUUCUCUAGAUUUGGUACCCCCGAGCAAUCAUAAUGAUGGUGGAUCUCACUUCUGCAUUUAUCUCUUCAAAGACUUACUUGAGAAAUAUGAUGUGAAGCAUAAGGUUCCAACACCUUAAAAUCUACAAUAAGUGGGCAAGUUGAGGUCUCCAAUUGGGAGAUAAGGUCUAUUUUGGCAAAGACUGUGAAUGCAAAUAGGAAUGACUGGUCUAGAAAGCUAUGUGAUGCAUUAUGGUACUACCAGAUGGUAUAUAAGACUCCUAUUGGUGCAUAUCCAUAUCAAUUUGUGUAUGGCAAAGCAUGUCACUUUUCGGUUGAACUUGAGUAUAAGGCACUAUAGGCACUGAAAAAGUUAAAUUUUGAGUGGAGUGAGCACACUUAUUGUAACGAUUCGAGACUACCCCCUAAUCGUUACACGGUUUUCACGAUCCUGAAGGACCACAUUCUAACCUUCUACUGAUGUCUAUACCUGAGCUCUGCAUAAUAUAAUAUAAUAAAUAUGGAAAACUGGCAGAAAACUUGCCAUAAGUUUCAAAAUAUCCGAAAUACUCAAAACUGAAAACUGAAUACUAAUACAUCUGUCUGAAAAGCCUCUGAACUGUCUAAGUUGUAGAGUUGAUGGGACAUGUCCCCAAAUAACCCCGUCUACUGAAAAUAAAUAAAAUCUUAUGCGAUAGUAAAAUAAGUAUCAUCUUCGAAUAAAGAGGACUCACUGUUAUGUCUACUGCUGCUGACUGGGACUGAGCUGCUAAGGGUACUCUGGAUCUCGUGCCUCUGAACCUAUGGUGUAAAGUAAAACACCAUAGUGCAAAUGAGUUAGUAUAUGGGAACAUAUUGAGUAUAUAAGAUGAGGUAAGGCUAAAUGCAAGGGCUUAUGCAUGAACAAUUACUUAACUGAAUAAUCAUGAGAGUACUGAAUGAGAACAUAUGCAUAGAUGCACAAACCAUAACUGAAAUCAUCGUGACUCUGAAUAUUGAAACAUAGAUACUGCUUUACUGAUGUCUGAACUCAAUACUAAUACUGAGAUACUGAAUAACUAAAACUUCUGAUACUGAUAACUAAGUAUUGAAGUUGAGAUCAGUCUUGUCUGGUGAGUGAUCUCUAGAACUGAUGAUACUAAAGAUAAUUAACUGAAUCUACUCAUAUUAAUAACUGAGAUCUGAGCUUGCUACAAUUAAAUGAUGAUCCCUGAAUCUACUACCAAUGAUAAGAAAUGAUUAUGUUUGAGAUCAGACCUAUCUAAUAGAAGAUCUUUGAAUUUGAUAAUGAGAAUACUCAACUGAAUCUGAGACUGAGAUCAGGCCUAUCUAACGGGUGAUCUCUGGAUCUGAUAAUACUGAUACUAAUUAUCUUUAUGAGAGACCAGGCCUAUCUAGCGAGUGGUCCAUGAAUCUAUGGAACUAUCUGAGUUCCUUACGGAGAUGGGUGACUAUAUCUGAUAGUCUUAAUUUCUGAGUUCUACUCUGAAGACUGAUACUGAAACUACAACUGUGGGAGUUCUCACUUAACUGACCUGCCCCAAAUCUGAACUGGUGGGGUCCAACCUAUAACUCUAGCUGGAAGGGUGUCAAUACCAUGCCAUGGGUAAAGAGCUCUACUCUGGUCAAGCCUCUCUAACGGGUGACCCUAAACAAGAAGUCAAGCCUUAAUCCAAUAGGUGACUCGCAGUUCUAGAGUUCAAGGAUUUCUACUAAUGACUCUGCCUCUCUAAUGAGACGGCUGUAAUCCCUGCACUCGCUCGGUUCUAGCUCCUACUCUGAACUAAAGGACUCUAAACUGAUUCUUAACUGAACUUAAACUGAGUUGAACUGUUACUGAUCAAAUUUCUCAAAUGAUCUGACUGAGUUAAGCUGAGUUAACUUAGUUCCAUUAUCUGAUGGAAUACUACUGAAUCUCUGAAUAGAUUACUUGAAUGCUACUGAGGUCUGAACUGAACACUUGAAUACUACUAGAUCUGAGCUGAGUACUGAACUGAGGCUAGAAUACUAACGAUACUGAGAUUACUGAGAUUUCUUAAAUUAUUGAGAUUACUUAAGUUCUGUAAUUGUUUGAGAGUUCUGAGUUCUAUAACUCACUGAGUUUUGAGAAUCGUGGCUUGACUAAGAUUAUCGUGAAAACUAACACUGGCUCUAGACUGCAGCUAAUUUGUCGGGUACAAAUACCCCCAGGACUCGGUGACAUAAAAGUAAAACAUAACCAUUCUUGAAUAAUCAUAACCAUGGGCAUUAAUUAACUAUCACAAUCACGAAAGCAUCUCUUCAAGCAUUUAGAAAACCACAAAUAAGUGAUAAUAUAGGGACACAUGCUAUUAGCUCAUAGUCCAUUCAACAAGAUCUUGCAUCAAACAUCUAGAAUGCAUUAAAGAAAACAUAAUUGGGGAAUUUUGUGCUAUCAUGUCACAAUUCAUUCACUAAGGAUUUUCAACAAACACUUGGCAUACAUGAGCUUGCACACAAUUGGGGAUUUCUGGUCAACCUGCUAUAAUGGCUCUAAUUCCUUCACAUAAGCAUUUUAUCAAACAUAUGGGGAGAAUGUUUUGAUUAUUCAACAAUUUCUAUACUCAAUUGACAUAAACACAUCACUUAACAAACAACUUGAAGAGGAUUUAACAGGAAUAUCACAUACUAGGGCCAAAGCUUGAAAUCUUGUAAACAAAUCAUGAAUUAAAACUCAAUACUAACAUGAACUUCAAUUUCAAUUCACAUGAAUCAUGAAAAAUCAUAAACAUAAGAUCUUUGAAUUUAGAAAAAUGAUUCUUGAACUUCUUGGGUAGAAGAGACCCAAGAAUCAACAUCUGCAUACCUUAGGAAACGCUUUCUUGAAGGCUCUUGGAGAGAUUCUUGAUUUUUUUAGGAAGGGUUUGAAUCUUUUUCUUAGGUUUUUAAUAUUGAAAUAAACCCUAAUUUUGAUGUUAUGGAUGAAUGAAGAGUUAUGUGCUUUGAUUUGACAUGAUUGGAUGUUAAAUAGGGUGGAAAAAAACCCAAAAAUCCCUUUAAAACGGCAUUUCAACUCUAUUUCGGACAAAACUGAAGGUCUGAGUGACGGACCAUCACUCUGGUGACUGACCGUCACUCCAACCAUCAUUUUUGGGCCAUAAAAUGGCCUUACUACUUCAGUUGUGACGGCCAAAGUGACGAUCCAUCGCUGACUUGAUGGUCCGCCAGCUUGCCCGUCGCUCUUGGGCAGCUAUGACAACUCUUAGUAAAACAGCCAUAACUUUUUACUCCGAUGCCAGAUUUUGGCAAAAUUGGUAUAGUUGAAAAGAUAAUUCAAUUAUAUUUCUCUUGGUUUGUCAUGAGAUCAAAAAUUAUUUUUAUAAUGGGAGAUAUGCUCAUUUGAAGUUGACUAUGGCAAUGUCCUUCUCAAGAAUUCAAUCGGUAAGGGAUGUUUUGAUUCGUCUAAUAGCGAGGACUUAUUUAUGGCAUUAAUAUAUAUCAAACAUGAUCAUAAAUCUACCAAAUUUCUAAGAUUUAUUCCUCAUAAUCUUGAAGCAUGGUUCUACUAUCAGUUGGGAUUCUUGGGGUAUUACACUUAUGAUUUGAAAAGAUGAAUGAGAUAGAUGAGUUUUGGCUCCAUACUUAUGAGAGUUCAGACUUAUACAAGGAAAAGAUGAAAUUGUAACAUGAUAGAAGAAUUAAAAAGAGGGAAUUCCAACCUAGUAAUUUGAUUUUGAUGUAAAAUUCAAGACUUCGCUUGUUUCCUGGAAAGUUGAAGUCUAGAUGGUUCGGUCCAUUCACCGUGGUGAGAGUAUUUAUUUCCACAUAGUGAAAUUGAGAUAUAACAAGAUGGUGAUGUCCCAUUCAAGGUGAACAAACAUUAUGUUAAGAAUUAUAUGGGAAACACAAAAGAUUUUAAGUUAUGUGGGGAUAUAAGCCUUGAUGAUGUUUGAGUAGUAAAAGGAGCUGAGUCAUGCUACGACGUUAAAUCAUAUGCUUCAUGGGAGGCAAUUCAUGGGCCAGUUGAUGAAGUCUGAGUACUCAACUUGGCCAUAUUGUGUUGUGACAUUAAAUUAAGUGCUUCUUGGGAGGAAAUUCAUGUUUUGUACUUAAUUAAGUUGAAGGGUAACAUGUGUGUUCAGAUGUGCAGAGCUACACUAUGUAAGAAAAAAACAUAGGAAGUUUCUGGUUUCAAGAUCAAACGAGUGACACUAUGACUCGUAAUUCCACUCAGUGACAAGUGACCAGACCCGUUGGUAGGAGGAAAAGAUAAUCAGUUCAUGGAAAGUCAUUGGAGUCCCUACAAAUCUCAGAACGAUUCAUAGUCACUGACAACAACUCGUCACCUUGAGUCGUAAAGACUAGGGACCCAGGUAAGUAUAUUAGCACUAGAGGGAGGUGUUAAUAACAAGUAGUAAAUGGCCACAAUUCUUUUUUUGAACGUAUGUAACUCCCUCUAUCUCCCACAACAGGCUCUCCCACUUAAAAUACACUUAUAUCCUUAUUAAAUCAGCCCAUCUAGAAUCAAAACUAUUUCUAAAUCUCCCAUUAUCUAAAGAACAUAGUUAAGUAAAAGUGAAGCAUCCAAGCAUCAUUUGUUGAUUUGAAGUAAGUACUCAAAAAAUUCCUUCUAAUUUCUCGUUGUGCUUGAUAUUUUUGUGUAUUUUUUCUUUGGAUAAUUUGCUUGAACUUGACUAGGUUUUUGGGUUAAUCAUAUAAUAUAUAAAGCAAAGUUGAUUUUCAUGCAUAAUAGGAGUAGUUAUAAGACGGAGAUGAUUGAAAGUAUGGGUAGAUAACGCUCAUCAUACACGUCAAUUUAGUGCAAGGCGGUCGUCGUUAAUAUAUUUACCCAACUUUGGAGUCGGGUUCAAAUCCAUAGGGAACAAUGUGAGUGGCGAUUAAACUCAUUUGAAACUAAAGCUACAAGUUAAAUUCAAAUAACUGGUACGAAAAGACAAAAUGAGGAUUUUUAAUGAUUGAACAGAAGUUAUUAACACUUCAAUUUUCCUUAGAACUCAAAUCUUAAACUACAAUACUUCAAAUCAAUGAUAUAGAGAAACUAGAGUUGUGAUCACUAUGAUUAGUAAUCCUCCAUUGAAUAACAGUUGUAGUAUUGGAUUCUCGUGACUUAUGGGAAACACCAAAUUAUCAGUUUUGACAGUCCAUCUAAGUGUUUCUCAACCAACCUAGAUGUUGAACUCCCUAAUUCUCUUGAACUUAGGAAAUCAUUCUAUUCAUACUGAUUUUAUCUCGAGUUGAUCAAUCUUGUUACAGCAUUAAUCAUUAGAUGAGAAUUUAACCUUCCCAAAUCCUCGUUGAUAAUUCACUUCUUACUAGGGUUGAUUUCUUAUCUCAAGCAAAUCAACAGUAAGCAAGGCCUAUUAUUUGCAACCUAUAGAAACUAAUUAAUACAAAAGAAUUAUGAAGAUGUUCCUACAAUCACUCGAACCCUAACCAAUUAUUAAAUCCAUAGAGGAAUAAUCAUAGAUCCCACAACUCUAGUUGUGGGUUUUAGUUCCACAUGAGAAAGAAAGAGAUAGCAAUAAUUAUAUUCAUCAUUCAAAGUAAUUAAACUUACAAAAGAUGAAGUAUGAAGUUGAUUCUCUUCCAAGUUCAAGAGAAAAUUCCCACAACCAAAUCAAAGAGUUGAAAAUUAAAUUCUAAGUUCAGAGCCCCCAAAGAGAGGUGAACUCCUUUGGAAUAAGUUUUAUGCCCCAGAUAUGUUUAGCCUCCCCAAUGAAACCCUAGAAGCUUCUAUUUAUAUCCAUAACUUAAGAAAAAUCUGAAAUUAAAAAUUUAGAAUUUUUCUUUUAGGUGACAACAUGUCUGACGGCUUAUCAGAGUUCUGAUAGCUUUUCAGAACAUGUCGUCAGGCAUGCUUCAAAUUUUUGCCUUCUGCUUAUGUGUGACGACAUUCUUGACGGCUUAUCAGACACCUGACGACUUAUCAUAGACAUCAUCACAUCUUCACUUCAUUUUCUCAAGCACUGCCCAAGCCUGACGACGAGCCUAAUGGCUUAUCACAACUCUGACGGCCUAUCACAGAUUGUCGUCACUUCUUCCAGUUGAAUCUCAUUCUCUGUCUAAGGCUAAAGCUGAGCCUGAUAACUUAUCAGGGAGUUGACGAUUUAUGAAACAAGUCAUCAAGUACACUUCUAUUCUUAUUUUGCUCAAAACUUAACUCUUUUACUUCCAUUAUUGCCGGUUCUCUUGCAUCUUAACUUCCACUGCAAAAUCAAAGAUAAAACAAUUAAAAAUGAUAAAAGUUGCUUAAGACUUUACAAUUAUUCUCAGUUAAAAGCCUCAAAUGUGUUAGCAUCUGCUCACACAUCAACACCCUCAACUUAAAACAAUUGUUUGUCUUCAAGCAACUAAAAUACAACCAAGAGGAUACAAAGUACAUUUGGCAGUCAAUAAUCAAUAUUAUCUCAAAACCAUCUUUACCUUCUCCAAGGUCAAUUAAUUCUAAAUCAACUGUGUAUGCUACUGAAGAACAACAAUGGGACACACAAGAAUCAAGAUAUGGCAUCAAUUCAGCAACAACAACCAUGUAUGUAUCAAGCUUACACUAUCCAAACAAGUUAGCAACUAACAACGUAACCAGUGUGCCCUCACUACAAAAAACUCCCUCCUCACUCAUGUCUAAACUCAAGCAUGUCAAUGCGGGGACGGUCAAGAGACACUCACUCACAGAAAGAACUUCCAGCCAAUAUAUGCCAAAUACCAUAAGCUUGCCCUUAUUUUCAUUACCAAGGUUUUCAUACAUGUAAGCUAGGAUGAGUAUAGGUCUUUUUCUUCGACUUGUAACGUAGGAUAAGGGCUGGUAUGAUACUCAAUGAUAUUUAAAAUGACUAACCCUCCUUGGCACUACACUAUUUUCUAGGGUCUCACUUAUUAACCUUUUUCUAUUUUUCUCUUUUAUUGAUCACACAUAUUCAGGAUGGGUGCGGUUUUUUUGACAAUCAUUUCUUUUUUUUCACAACUUUUCUUUUCUUAUUUUUUUUCCAUCAUACCCAGCUUUUUAUUCUUUUCUUUUAUUCUAAUUUUCUUUAUACUCAUUUUACAUCACGCACCCCUAUGGUAGCCACCCUUAACUUAGGUUAUUUACCUAAGUCAAAGUGCAUAAUGUCCAAGGAGGACCAGGGCUAAAACAGGUUCAUUGUGAUACAAAUAGGAAGGUGAUAAGUAUAAUAAAAAAAAUAGCCAUUCAGGCUCAAAAUCAGGAUCAAAGGAUAUUAUUUACACACAGAAGGCCAUUUAGGCUAAAAGUGGACUAAUAUCAACAACAACCUAUGAUCCUUUCCUAGCCGCUACCCUACAAUCAAGGCAAGACCAACCGGGUAAGUUCUGGAUUUAACAAACAAUGGGAACUAGGUAGUAUCUCACACACACAUGGCACAAAGGUACAUCACAAGCUACUACCCAUUCGGUUCAUGCAAUUAUUUAGUAAUGGUUAUCAUGUCACUAGUACUAAAGCCAUAACAAGAUGCACAGUGGUCACACAUAAAUGCAUAUCACACAGUUAUAAAAUUGACCAAUGGAGAGGUGUUCAAAAUCAACAAAAACAUGUUAACUGCCUAAGGUACUUGUAUUUCUCCUAGUAAACUACAAUAUUUUACAACAAAUCACAAUACACCUAAACAUUCCGGCUCUACUAAAAACAAGACUCCGGAGGGAAAAGGCACAGCAACAAAAACCCCAAGAGAAUAUCAACACCCAUAAGUAGCCCCACCCUCAACUUAAAAUCAUGCAAUGUCCCCAAUGCGUCAAACCAAAACAAGAGAGUUAGAAACAUGUCUGUGGCACCAUGGGUGCGAAGAUCUGAUGUCAAUCACAUAAUAUGAAUACAAACAACAAAAUACCUUAGGUUGCCUCCCAAGAAACGCCUAAUUUAGUGUCGCGGCAUGACCCAACUCAGUUUUUUUGCUACAAAAAUUAAAAAAUCGAGUAAUGGAUUGAGCAUGGUAAACCACCUGGCCUUAAAGUGAGGUGUGUUUUUAUGUUGCUUGUCUAAUUUAAAAUCAAGAAUAUAGGAUUCUUGUUCCUCAUCUUCACACUUUUCUACUAUUUUAAAUGAUUCCACAGACAAGAUAUCAUCUAAACAUAAUGUAUAAAAGUGCUUUGAAUGAGGCCCAAUCAAUCCUACUUCAAAAUUUACACUAUCUACUACACACUCACUUUUAUUUACCUUCUCGACAUCUUCACUUCGAAUUAGGCUAGAGUCUUUAUUAGAGAUUUUCUUUGUUUCUUCUUUUGCCUCUAGCACCAUGUCCUCAAUCUUGGCAUCAUCUCUCAUAGUUGGUUAGGUUGGUUGGGAAAUCACUGAGGGUUGCUCAACAUCAAACUCAACAUCAAUAUAGGGUUUUUGCUCCUCAUCUUUACACUCUUCCAUUAUUUUAAAUGAUUCCACAGUAAAUAUAAUAUAGAAGAAUGCUUUGAAUGAUUGACCUCUAUAUCCAUAUCCUCAUGAAUGAUUGGCUUCAUGUCUUGACACAUAUCAUAUAUGAUAUCAUACGUUUCUUUCUGGAGAUACAACAUUCGUUGAAACAUAGCUUCAAUGCCACUCUUCCCGGUGCUUUGUUCUUUAUUUUCUUGACCAUAAGACCUAUCAAACUCAUAAAAAGAACUAGAAUUUAGGUUAGCGCAAUAGGGGGAGGGGGCAUUUGGGCAAUCACUCUAAUUUCCAUCUUCAUCACCACAUAAAGAACAAUCACACUCCCUGUAGGAUGGUGAUGGUGCACACAUCUCUCUCUGGGGAGCAUAUCUACAAUCUAGACAAAAGUAAGGUCCAUCACAAUAUGGACAUGGAUCAUCAAGAUAAGAUUUCCAACCACCAUGCUCAUGUUCAUUCCAUGAUGCCAUAGUAAUAAGUAAACUAAAAUAAAAAUCUACCUAAUACAACAAAUAAAAGAAAACUAAAAACAAAUGUUUACAAGUUUGAAUUCAAGUAAGUAGGCUAAAAUUCAAAACCAACUCAAUACGCCAAAUUGUUACCCGACAACGGCGCCAUUUUUGAUAACGCUCAACUUAUAUAUCAAUUUAGUGCAAGGCAGUCGUCGUCAAUAUAUUUACCAAACUUUAGAGUCGGGGUCGAAUUCACAGGGAAUAAUAUGAGUGGCUAUUAAACUCAUUUGAAACUAAAGCUACAAGUUAAAUUCAAACAACCGGCACAAAAAGACAAAAUGGGAGGUUUUUAAUAAUUGAACAAAAGUUAUUAACACUUCAAUUCACCUUAGAACUCAAAUCUGAAACUGCAAUAUUUCAAAUCAAUGAUAUAGAGAAACUAGAGUUGUGAUCACUAUGAUUAGUAAUCCUCUAUUGAAUAACAGUUGUAGUAUUGGAUUCUCGUGACUUAUGGGAAACACCAAAUUAUCAGUUUUGACAGUCCAUCUAAGUGUUUCUCAACCUACCUAGAUGUUGAACUCCCUAAUUCUCUUGAACUUAGGAGAGCAUUCUAUUCAUACUUAUUUUAUCUUGAGUUGAUCAAUCUUGUUACAGCAUUAAUCGUUAGAUGAGAACUUAACCUUCCCAAAUCCUCGUUGAUAAUGCACUUCUUACUAGGGUUGAUUUCUUAUCUCAAGCAAAUCAACAGUAAGUGCAACCAAUAGAAAAUAAUUAAUAUAAAAGAAUUAUCAAGAUGUUCCCACAAUCACUCAAACCCUAACCAAAUAUUAAAUCCAUGGAGGAAUAACCAUAGAUCCCAUAACCCUAGUUGUGGGUUUUAGUUCCACAUGAGAAAGAAAGAGAUAACAACAAUUAUAUUCAUCAUUCAAAGUAAUUAAACUUACAAAAGAUGAAGUAUGAAGUUGAUUUUCUUCCAAGUUUAAGAGAAAAUUCCCAUAAUCAAAGCAAAGAGUUGAAAAUUAAAUUCUAAGUUCAGAGCCCCCAAAGAGAGGUGAACUCCCUUGGAAUAAGUUUUCUACCCCCCGAUAGGUUCAUUCUCCCCAAUGAAACCCUAGAAGCUGUUAUUUAUAUCUGUAACUUAAGAAAAAUCCAAAAUUAAAAGUUUAGAAUUUUUGUUUUAGGUGAUGACAUGUCUGAUGGCUUAUUAGAGUUCUGAUAGCUUAUCAGAACAUGUUGUCAGGAAUGCUUUAAAUUUUUGCCUUCUGCUUAUGUGUGACGACAUUCUUGAUAGCUUAUUAGACACCUGACGACUUAUCACAGAUGUCGUGACAUCUUCACUUUAAUUUCUCAAGCACUUCCCAAGCCUGACGACGAGCCUGAUGGCUUAUCACAACUUUGACGGCCUAUCACAGGUUGUCGUCACUUCUUCCAGCUGAAUCUUAUUCUCUGUCUAAGGCUGACACUGAGUCUGAUAACUUAUCAGGGAGUUGACAACUUAUUAGAAAAGUCAUCAACUAUACUUCCAUUCUUAUUUUGCUUAAAAUUCAACUUUUUUACUUCCAUUAUUGCUGGUUCUAUUGCAUCUUAACUUCCACUACAAAAUCAAAGAUAAAACAAUCAAAAACAACAAAAGUUGCUUAAGACUUUGCAAUUAUUCUCAAUUAAAAGCCUCAAAUGUGUUAGCAUCUACUCACACAUCAGUUAUAUGUUAACUGCCUAAGGGGAAGCCUGAGUACCCUCAGGAAAUAGUAUGAUUAAGCAAAGACAAUUUGAUAACCCAUUUUGAUAGUUACUACGAGAUAUUCUAUGAAUUUUUGACAUACGUGAUAAGUCAUCUUAUGACUCGUAGUGACUAGCAACAUGGGUGGUCAUCAAUAUUCAUUUACUAGUGUCUCUAUGAGUGACCCUACGAGUCUUCAUCAUACCUUACAACUCAUCUCUUGACUCAUAGUGAUUGAGAAUAAGUUAAAAAUUUAAUAUUUAUUUACUGGUCACCUACAAGUUACCUAACAAAUCAUCAUGUCACUUAAUAAAUCAAAGGGUGAACCCAUAGUGAGUACACCUGCUAGCAGGGACUUCUAUGAUGGUUUACCCUACAAGUUUUCUAGUGACCUAACGACUCAUAGGGUCACCAGUAAAAGUUUCCCAGCGCACCCUCACACCCUACGACUAUAACAGCGACUCAUAGACGUAUGACUACAAGUCGUACCCUAAUUCAUAGGGAUGUAAUGCACUUUUAAUUUUUAGUUUUUGUUUUUUUUUCCUUACUCUUUCUAGUGUAAAUAAUUAUAUUUCCAUCAUAGGCAUGAUGGAACCAAAGAAUGAUACCACUAAGGGGGCCAGGAAAACUCCCAUGAAAUAGGCUCAGGCCACUUAUCAACAGAGAGGCAAUCCAUCUAACGAAGAACAUGAGUCUAGUGGAUCCAUUGAGGAAUACCCCAUAUUAGGAUUGAUUGAUUAAUGAAGUAGCUUACCUCAAUACUGGAAGUCUAAGACCCAAAUAAAUAUUGUAAGAUAAUCACCACAUAUUUUUCUCCCCAGUUUAAAGAGGGAAAAAAGUUUAGGUCUUUCUUGGAUAAUAAAGAAAAGAGGGAGAAAAGUGCCUCAAAAAGUAGAGAUAAUGGUGUAUUUGGCCACAAAUCUGGAUAUCAAGAAUUAGAAUCUAGUUCCAAAUAAGCUGAGGGUAACGAGCAAAAAGCUAUAAGUGAUAGUGCCCUAGUUGAGAUCCCGCUUUCUUCUCAAGACCAGCCUGGGUUACAAACUGAGGCUGCCCCUAUGCUAGUUGUUAAUUGAUGGGGGUACCCAGGUAUGCAAGAGUUAUAUGAGCAAUACUAUACCAUUAUCCCAAAAUAGGAAAACAAAAGACAAUAUUCUAUCUGGAGCCAAAAAAUUUUAUUGGAGGCAUAUUGAAGAUGCUAGAGUUUGAGGCCUUAUUCAAAAAGUAUCAUUUCUAAUGAAUGACUCCAGCAGGUAUAUUUUGUCCCUACUUUGGAAGCUUUAUGCUACCUACUAGAUGUAGCUAAUGCAGAUACAUCUUCAAGGUUUUGCAUGGAAGGGUGGUGAACCAUUGCAUUCAUUAAUGAUUUGAGGAAUUCAGCUGAGUCUCAAGACAGACAAUCUCCCAAUUCUUGCAUGGUGUUAUGUUUGAGCUUCCCACCAACACUUCAAAAAUUGAUCACCAAAUUAAAGAUAUAAAAAUGGUUAAAACUAAGAAAAUUGGGAUGGAAGAUAGACUAAUACAUCUAAGGUAGAUUGUAUGUACCUGCACAAGAGAAUGCACCAUGGGUUAUGGGGUCGUCAUCAUAGAUUACUAAGGGUUGUCUUAACUGUACAGCAAAAUCUUGGUGGACACUAGUUUGCCACUGAUUGAGUUUGAUAACUGGAGACAUCCUUCUGAGCCCCAACAAUGUUGCACUGGUAGAAGGUAUUAUAGAGGCCUAUGAUAUUGGCAUAGCUAAGAUUAUUGCUUGGGAUAUUCAUGAUAGGGUUUUAGCACCGGCACAAGUUUAGCCUUCCCAUGUCUGUUGAUGAGAUAUGCUUAGAUGAUAGGGAACCUAUGUUACUAAAUGUGGUUAACUUUGUGAUGGUCCAUUGGACCACUAAUUUUGGGAUCGAUUCGAGAUCAAGCUAACCAAAUUUCAAAGCCAAGGUGAGUGCAAUAUUACUUCAUGGAGAAUUUUAAUUUAGAAUACAUAGGGAUAUUGAUACUUUAGGUUUUACAGACCUUGGGGACACACAGGUUGAAAUUGCACGACCCGAGCUAUAGGUUUUUAUGGAUGUUAUGGGUUCCACAAAUUCUAAGUCACCACAACACCAACUCCACCUACCUUGAGACCAUCUACACCACUCUCAUCUGAUGGUGGAUAUGUUUUUGUCUCUCAAGAUCUUUUGAGUGAUGCACUAAAAUGCUUAGUCACCCACGAGAAAAAAGUGACAAAUAUUGUUGAAGGAGUGCAAUAAUUGGUGAAUAAGAAGAUUAAGGAUGACAUAUGUGGUAUGAAAAUGAGGUUUGAUAGCUUUGAGCGAUCAAGAAUCUUGAAGGGAUCCAUGAGAAGUUGGCUGUAUUACGGGCUGCCAUAGAGGAUAUAGCCACAAGGCCAGAUCCAAUUGAGGAUUGCCUAACAUUUGAGGUACGAAAGGUAAAGUUUUUGAAGAAGGUGAUGAAAGAGCAAUUAAAAAGAGAAAAAUGAGAUGUGAGAGAUAAGAGAUGAGAAAAGUCAUUACUACAAGCCAUAGAUGUCACAAGACCAGUUGAGUGAGAUUCAUGAGAUAGUACCGAGGGUUGGUAGCUCCCAAAUGGGUGAUACUAUGGCUGCAACUGCUGCUAAUAUGAGUGGGGGUUCAAUAUUGACCCCCAAGAUUACUCCACCAGUAAGUGCACUGGACACAACCAGUGACCAUGUUAAUUUGAGCACCUCGGCCACCGCUUGGGCCACUAUUACUGAAAAUAGCGCUCAAUCUGAGGCCCUAAUUGAGGAGUAUUUAUGAUUCAGUUCCUUGUACACCAUAAAUAUGUCUUCACUCCCAUGUUUUAGUUUUUUCAUAUAUAUACUCUAAGGACAAUGCAUCAUCUUAGACUCAAGGGUGGGGGUAUACCACAAUUGAGGAUUUUUGUUAACGUGUUUCUUUUACCUUGACUGUACUAUCAUAGUUACCGACAUAUUUAGAUGUCCUUACUUUUUAUUAUUUUGUUUUUUUUUGUUUGUUUUACUUAGAGUAAUUUAAAAGAACUUGGUGCAGUCUAAUUUAAAUAAGCAUGCUUACCUGUUUUAUCUUUAAUUUUAAAAUAAUACCCCUUCAAAAAUCUUAUUUAUGAUGUAGUGUUUGAAUGUAUUAGGUUGUAACCAAUGUAGUAUCUAGACAUGGUAUUAGAAAUUAUAAUAGUAUAUCCUGGCUAAUCUAACAUGAAUUGAAUAGGAAGCAAUUUAGACAAAGCCUUGAGUGAGAAAGCUAUGUUACCUACUCGUUGUGUGUUGUGCCAUCUAGACCUUAUCCAAUUUGUCUUGUUAUAAGCUAUAGGAUAGAAGGUUAGGAAAUGAUCGUAGGUCUUAUUUGAAUUAGUCAACGUUAGCCUAAAGAAUCAACCAAAUGAAGAAAGUAUCCUUUGAUCCCAAAAUUUAAGCCUUAAAGUGACCAAUUUUCAUUAACCCAUUCACCUUCCCAUUUAAAAUACAAUGAACCUAUUUUGGCCCUAGUCCCUCAUUAGACACUGUGUAUCUCACUCAGGCAAAUGUUCUAAAUUAGGGUUAUUAUAUGGGUGCUAACUGAAUGCGGGUAUGACGAAGAAAGUUUAGAAAAAAAGGGAAAAAUAUUUGAGUGUGGCAUAAGCAAAUGAAAAGAUGAAAAUAAAUAAAUAAAGGAAAAGUUGAUCUAAAAAUAAACCAAACACAAAUUUCAAAAAGGAAAUAAAAUAAAGAAAAAGGAAGAAAAGGAAAAGAAAAUAAGAAAGUGGAGGCAAGAGUAGUGUAGUGCCAAGAAGGAUUAAGUCAUUGUACCUAAAUAAAUACUUUUAUUUGAUCUCUUAUUUAGGGUUAUGAACUUAUACAUUAUUUUGAGGUUCUAAGAUACAUUAUUGCUCUUGGAAUCAUUGAUAUUGGUUUUUCUUAAGGUUUUUAAUCAAUUUUAGAGUUCAAUUUUUCUUCUAUUCUUGUAAGUAUAAAAUUAUGCUUUCAAUUAUGGAAUAUCUUGUGUGCUUAUGAUCAUGAGUAUCUAAACCUCAUAACUAGGGUUGUGGGAACUAUGAUGAAUUAAUGAAGAAGUCAAUCUAGAUCGGUGUUCUUGCAUGUAGUAAUAUUUCCUUCGAUUUGAUUACUUUUUUUACGAUUGAAAAUGUCAAUAACUCGCAUGUAUUCUAAAAUUUAUCGAUAAAAAAGUAGAUAUUGGAAAAAAUAAAUAACAACAGUAAUUUGAAGCAACCGACCUUUAGCUAAUUAAUUUGAGCCUCAACCGAGAUUGUUAACCUGAUAUCACAAAAUAAGGAUUAGUAAUGUGAAGCUCUAAGUAUGAGAAAAGAUGAGUAAAAUUCAUCCAAACCAAGGUUGAGAGAUGUUUAGGUGAUACAUAUCUUAUUAGAUUUUUCUUGCAAGACAUCGAGAUAGUCUACUAAGCACGAAUAGCCUAUGGAGUUAUAACUCAUAGGGAAUACAAUCUUAAUAUGCGUCUCAUAUCGAUCAUAAUUCAAGUAACUAGAAUCUAAUACUAUUACAACUUAUGUUUACAAAAAAACUCUUUUAUUUAUAUAAUUCUCAAUUACAUCAGCAAACUCUUGAUAGAAUUUUGGCUUAUUUCUUGUGAGAUCAACCCCAAUCGAGUUGGAUUCUAUAUUUGUUCAAUGAUCGCUUUACACUUUAUUAUGAGGUGUAAUUUUGGUGACAUCAUGUCAUUGAGGGCUGAUCUUUAUAGACUAUGUGCAUAGUUUCACACCCUACAACCCUUAUUCGCUCUUGAUAAGGCAGAGAUUGCUAUACCUCUGGAUCAGUACUUUCUUUUGCUGAUUUUGGUGGACAUUCGCAUAUGGUUGAUGAGGUUAGAAUUGACUUUAGUAAGGGGCUCACCUAAGCCCAAUAGGCUAAUAUUGAAAAGAAACAAUCUGAAGAUAAUGAGCAUGCUAAGAUGGUUGGGGCUAGCUUUAGAUCCUAACCUGCUGAUUAAGUGCCUUUUGUUUUUUACACCAGUUAUAGGAGCCCAGUCUGACGAGGCUCCUAGAGUUAUUGUACCACUAUCUACGGAUGUGGACCUAAGCACUUAGUACACCACAAGUAGUUUUUACCCUCCUUUUCUCUCUCUUUACUUCUGCAUUGGGACAAUGUAAUGCUAUUUAAUAGGGAUGGAACAUUCUUAUUUUAUAUUUGAUGGUCUAUACUUAUUUGAUCUGAUAGAUUGUAUUAAUAUACUUUAUUUAUCAUUUGAUAGUGAUUUAGAUUUCACCCUCAUAGAGCUUAUUUAUUUAUGUUGACAUUUAUGUGGAUUUGGCCCUUGUUAGGUAUAUUGGUGAUAAUAUCGGAUAUUGCCCUCCUCAAUAUUAUUAUAUGCUCUUGAUUAUGAUUCGAUACCCAAUUGUGCUUUUCUUGGUGUUGAUUUAUGUUUUGGGUGAUGCCUUUAAACAUUUUGUGCAUUGUUCUUUUAUUCUUUUGUAAAUACGUGCCUAAUAAACUUCAAGGGUUUUCUUCAAAACUAGGUUCUUUCCCACAGAGCAAAUUUUGUUUUCUUUUACUUUUAUUUCUUAUCUUUACUUUGGUCUAUUUUCUUUGUCAAACCGAGUGGUAUUUCAGCCGUGAUAGAUGAUGAGGUGACAUUCUUAGAUGAAUACCUAAUACCUAAUAUUUUGAGUCUAGAUUCAAGUUGGAGUCAGCAAAAGUUUGAAAAAUUUUCUCAAACGUCAUUAGCAAGCAUUUUAAUGAUUUUGAAAAAAUGAAAAAUGUAGUUUUCUUUUUGAAACAAGCAAGGAGUUUUUUGAGCUUUCUCUUGAGUUGAGACUAUUAAAUUCAAUUUAUGGCUCUUCCUUUACAAGGAUGAGACUUUGAUCGGAGUAACUUAUUAAGUCUAUUUGUACAAAUUGGUGGGGGGACUAGUUUUCCACUUUAUGAGUAUGAUGCCUUGUAUAGUGAGGUGUUUGACUAAUUCUAAUAUAUACGUGUAUUCUAGGAUUAGCAACACGUAUGUAAUGACCUUGUAGGUUAUUUCCUCAAUUUACAUGUAUUUUCGGCAUUUUGAGCCUUUCCACAAUAGCUACAGGUCAUUUGUGACUUACUAGAAUAGUUGGUUUGAUUAUCAAGCAGUUCAUUUGGGUUUUAGGCUCAUUCCCAAUUUUAGAUCUUUCUUUUUAAGGAAUUGGUCUCGGACCAAGACUCCUAAUAAACAACCUCAGAUGGGAAUUUCGAUAGUUCCAUCAACUUUUGAACAUUGAUUUUGGGCUAGGGGGGCCAUUGGUUCAAUUCCAAAGGCUUCCGGACUCGUUUUGGUCUAUUAGGUGAAUUUUAUGAAAAAUAGAAUUAUAGGUGUGCACCCUACAUUUAGUCAAAAUAGUCACGAAUGAAAGUUUCGAUGGUUCUAUUAAGACUGAAAUAUUAAAUCUGGUAUGGUAGCAAGUUAGUUUGUGUGCAUGGGAUUUUGAAUGAAUCUCGAGCACUCGAUCAGAGUCCAAUUAGACUUAGAAAAAUCAGGUGCAUGGCAUCAGUUGGUGCAACCGCUUGAGCGGACCUUUGACCGCUUAAGUGGUGGUUGCUUAAUCGACCAGUGGGUUACUUUCUAGCCAGCCUUUUCUGUUUAUGAUCGCUUAAGCGAUGGCCUUAUUUCAUAAGUGGAGGUCGCUUAAGAAGCACUCGAUCACUUAAGCAAAGACUGGAUAUUUAUGAGGGAUUUCUUAAGUCAUCAUUUGAUCUCUUAAGUGGUGAUCUCUUAAGUGAUCAUUGGGUUGCUUUAGUAACAUCUGUACGGGAUUAAAUCCCCUUCUUCACUUAUUUUGUCCCUCAUUUCUUAACUCCUUUCCACCAUUUUGAAAUCAUGUGACAUGAGAAAGUAUGGGAAAUCAUCUAUUGAAGCUAAGGUAAGUUAACCCAACACUCCUUAGUUAUUUCCCAUUAUUUUGCCCAUCAAGUUUCAUCUUUUUUCAUUAUAAAUUCUUAUAAAUUAGGUCUUAAAAUCAUUUGACUUUAGGAGCUAAUUUGGGCCCUUAUUUAUGCUCCAUUUGAGCUUAACUUUUGAGAACAUUUCUUGUCCCUUGAGAGUCUACGUGAUGGAUUUAAUUUUGGGUUCCAUUUGCGGGCCCAGCAGGAUCAUUCUUGACCCAAAUUCUGACUCUACCUUUUAUAUAGCAAUAUUGGUCUCGAUUUACUCCUAAUGACAUAUAGGUAAUUAUUUUAAUAUUAUGGUGGUAUUUUAGGGUCGUGGAGUAAAGGUGAAUGCUCAUAAAUAAUUCAAGACUUAUGAUUUCAGCAUCGAGGUAGACUUUGAUCUAAUUUACUUUACGAGAGGUGUACGUGUAGAUUGCAUGUUAGAAUGGGAUUACCGGAUGUGAUUAUAACUAGUACAUCAUAAAUUUGCCUAAUUAAGAAGUGUGGGGAUAGAAGGGUGACCCAACCCUUAGGAUGAGAUGCUUGUUAUGGCUAUAGAAUCCAAUCACCCUAAAUUAUAAGCAUGUGAUCAUAGUUGUAUAAGGUUUAUUAUUUCACUUAGUGAACUGGACCAUAGUUUUUCAGAAUUAUAGUUUUACUAUUUAUGCUAUUUAUAUAUUAUUAGGCCCGAGGAUAUGGCUAUGAUACUUUUUUGGUUUAAUUUGUAAUUUUAUUCAUCAAUCAAAUUAAAUUCCACAUAAAUAUGGACCAACCCAUCCAAUAAUCUAACAACAAAAGAAACUAACAAAAUAAGAAAAUCGGACCAUCCCACUAGUUGAACCGGCCUAAAAAAAUAACAUAAAUAAUGAGUAGGGUUUCCAAAAAUGAGCUAAGAGUUAAGCUCCACUUUUUUCCGUUCCCUGGUUGUGUUGGAUUGAAUCUUAUUCCAGCUUGCAAGAGUAAGAAACUUCUUCCCUUUUGAUGUCUAUUGCUUAAACUUAUGCUUUGUCCCUUAUUUGAUGCUCUCCUUUCUAUAUUCUCAGCUGAGUUCUCCAGUGUAAGGGUGAACGUUGUGGUUUUUAGUGCUAAAAUGAUGGGUCUAGUCUAUUGAGGCUUGUUCUUUUUUCCAAGUAAGAUGACUCCAUUAUUGAGCUUGUUGAUCUUGCUGACUGCCUUAUUUCUUAACCUUAUCAUUCUUGAUCUAUAGUUAUGGAUGGGAUGGAGAUUAUGAGAUACUCGAACCCACAUGUAAUUGGAUAGUAACAAACGUCUCAGACGUUUGCAGUUAAGAUCUAACCUUGUGACCCCCCCNNNNNNNNNNNNNNNNNNNNNNNNUUAAGAAGCAUACUGGGUCCCCCCCCCCCCCCCCAAUUGCUGAUUCCAUUUUUGUUGGUUGGUGUAGUUAGGCUAAGUAGCAAUUUCACUUUUUUUACCUUCUCAGGUUGUAAAUGUAAUGCAUGUGAAUUAACUUACUUUAUCCAUUCCAAUCGUUUUACCUUUUUCAUGGUGCUAACCUUAAAUAGGGACAUUAUUGUUUAUCACUAUCUAGAAUCUUCGUGCCUGCACUUGGUAACUGAUGGAAAGAUGUAUAUUUGAAUUUCCUUUGUUCCAAUGCUAAGUUAGCCAGAUAGUCUGCUAAUUGAUUACCUUCUCUAAAUAUAUGUUGUGUCUGUACUUGCUUAGCUGAAAGUAGUUGCCAUAUUCGAUUGAUUUUUUCUGCUAUGUUCCAUGGGAUAUCCCAUUCCUUUCUUAAAAGCUUUUGCAUGACUAAAGAAUCUGUGUCUAUGAUACCAAUUGGACUCUAGGUGAGUAAUCUAUCCUUAUAAAGGACAUGGCUUUAGUCUAUAGACACCUAGAUAAUAUAAUUGUAUUGUCUGGAUACUGGUGAUGGCAUGCAUACAUUAUGGCAGAUUAAGUCUCACUUAGUGGUACGAUUCCAACCAAAACUAUUAUUUCACUAUUAUUAUCUAAAAAUGGAUUUAUUCUUGUAUUUCACUUUUAUUCUUUAAUAAAGGGAAUCAUACCACCUUACUUAAUGAUUUAUGAGCUUUUAGAACUAAAUUAAUAUUAUGUAAAUUUGAUGGAGAUUGAUUUCGGUCCAUGGUUUAGCCAAUCUUUGAUCACUAUUAUUUACUUUGGUCUAGUGAGAUUCCAACCAUUUCAAUGCCAUUAUACUAAUCUAGUCAUGAAAUUAAUCUUGAUUAAUGGAUUUACAGACUUACUCUUUUAGCCAAGGUUCGAGUUUGUGCAUUUAUUAUGAAUACAUCUCUCCAAUACUAGAUGAAGUAGAUUUAUAAUGAUGAUGAUUAGAAAUCCUAGAUCGGAACCAGGUGGUAUAGACAAAUAUUCUUGAAUCUCCUAGGGUCCUCUUUGUCUAUGAGCCACAUUUUUUAAGAAGAAAGGUCAUUGUAGGUCCUACCUUUACGAGCUGGUAAGCUGGAGGAGAUGUAUACACUUAGUACAUUAUGACUCUUAGAUCAGAUAUGGUACUAUGGAUUUACUUUGUAUUCAUUCAUUCAUAUGCAUUUCCUAUCACCAGUAUUUUUUUUGUACUUACAUCUAUCAUCCUUAUAAGGGUUGCAUAGGUAUAGGCUAUGAUUGUUGUUUGCUGAGUGUUAAUUGAACCUUAUGGGUUUAUGAGGACCUAGUUAAGUAUUGUUUGUAUGGACUAUCUAGUUGCUUUAUUGUUGUUAUCUUUGUUAGUUCGUGGCAAGUUGAUUAUAGAUUGGUACCUGAGGUUGUUGAUAUGAAUCUGAGCAUACUUUGUUAUAGUAAAUUGCAUUAUGGUCAGUGUAUUCGUGGCUAGACAUUUUGACUAUAGGUCCUGAUCAUGCUAGUAUUAUCUUUCUUACUUGGUUAGAAUUCUCUAGAGAAGUUAGGUUGUUACCUUUGACUUAGUCAAAUAUACUUAGAUACAUGUGUGUGUGUGUUCUUACUGUAUAUCCCUUUUUUUCCUUGUUCAUUCAUAUUGUAUAUGUAUUUUUUGGCCUUGUAUAUUACUAUGUAUCAUUCUUUCAUUCUUCAUUGGUAUAUUGGUUGGUGAUAUAUGGUAUUGCACUUUAGACCAUAGUUACUAUUAUGAUAAGAUAGUUUAUCCUUAUUGCCUCACUAGCUAUAUUACGUUUAUCUUCUUGAAUAGUUUCUUGUAGCUUAUAUUCCUGCUUUACAUAUUUUUUAUGUUUGCAUUAUCUUUAGAGCUCAAUUGGUCGAUGUCUACUGAGUACCACGUCUUUGGUACUUAUACUACAUAUCUACAGCAUAUGAGUUCUCAUUGUUGUUGUGUGCAUUGUGUAGAGCAGCUAUGGAUCGGAGAUUUAGGGUGACCUCCUAGCAUUUAGAGUAUUACUACUCUCCCUCUUAUGGAUUGGGCUAAUCUAAUAUUGUAUUUAGAGACAACCUAUAUUUGUAUUCACUCUGUGUUUCACUUUAUGCUCCUAUUGUAUUAUAGGCUCUUGUAUUAACUUCACCAGGUCUUGGGGUUGCUUUAUAUAUAUUAGCCCUUUUAUUAUAUUUAUUCCACUAUUUCCCUUCAUUUCUUUUGAUAGUCUAUUAUCAUAGGUCCUGACGAUGGAAUGGCUUACCUACUAGUGGGUUAUAGCAGGUGCCAUCAUUAUAUGCGAAAUUGGAACAACACAACUUCUCAACUAAGUCUCCCCACUUGAAUACCACAUUUUAUCAUUUACAAAUUACAAUUCUCACAUGUUCACAUAGAGAUACUAAAGUUGAGUCUUACUACAUGUGCUUACCAUGUUAGAUCCCAAUUCAAAGAUAAAAAGUGCUACAUCUAAGGAGAUCAUGCUAGUAUGAAUUAUAGGAUAUUUUAUUCUAUUUCCCUUAGGAACAUUCAUUUUGAUCAGUGAUAUGCUCUUAGGCUUGUUCUAAAACUUAACAAAGUCUCUUUUGUAUCAAGAGUUAUCACAAGAAUAAUAAUUCUUCUUAUCAUGUAAAUCAACUAAUCUCGAGCUUUGAUCAAGAGGCCAUUAGUCACAUAAUGCAAACAUCAACGAGUUUAUCAAUAAUGACAUUCAAGCAAAUUCUAGAUUCACUUUAAAAAAUUUUGGUAACUAAACCUAUCUAAGAAUAUUCUUGAGCAUUCCUACAAUCAGCAACUUCCAAAAUUUCUACCAAGAGUCACAUCAUAAAUCCACUAUCUAACUAUUACACAAGAAAUCGUCAUCUCACUCCUUCUUCAUUAUUAGAACCUUAGAUGGAAUAAGCACAUCACAAUUGUAACAAAAAAUCUACUUUCUACCAUCUAAACCACUAUUAUCUCACUUCUCCAUGCUUAGAACCUUAGAUGGAAUAAGCACGUCACAAUUGUCACAAAAAAAUCUACUUUCUCUCAUCUUAAUCAUUACUUAUUUGCUUUCAUCACCACUUAAUACAUCAUUGGUGGGAAUAUAGAGGAAAAGGGGAUGAGUAGAAACCAUUUGGAAUACAAAUAAAGGCCUAUCUUUUCCUUGUAUUAAUAGGUCAUGAACUGAGCAUUAUUAUGUAAAGGACGAGCAUUAGGAAUAUGAGGAAUAUUAUCUGCUCUUGACUAUUACUUAUCAUAAGAUGGAUAUUCAAAAUGAGGCCUAUGAUGUAAGGUAUAAUAGGAGCGAAUACUUAUUAUUUAAAACAUAUAAAGAAUGGAUAGAGAUUCAUUCUAAGCAUAGACAUGACAUAAUCAUCCAUUACCAUCGUAGGUGGACAUACGUAGAGCUUAGAGCAAAGAAAUCAUAAGCAUGAACUAUUCAAGACAUCUAAUAUAAGCAUAUGCACAAUGUAGCAUGAUUUAACUAUCUAUUAAGGGCAUAUCAUGAGUUCAUAAGAUUGAGCAUAUUAGAAAGUAUAAGUUUAUAUACCAGGAGUUGUAUAGUAGAAGACUUGGAUUUCUAGAAUCAUAGAAUAGAAUUAGGAUCAUUAUUUGAAGUUCUUGCUUCUUACUCUAGAAACUGAGCAUGGAGUUAAAUUUGCAUGGAGUGCAUGAACCGGGGUUUAAGGCAUAACACUAAUAAGCAAGACCUGAGUAGAGUGUUAUCUUAUCUGAAGUAUAAGGAAUAUGUUGAUAUAAGAAUGGUCAUUGUUUCAUCAUGGUUCUUUUUGAUACUCUGUAUUGUAUGAAUCUCAAGAUCUAAUCAAGAAUUCAUUCUAUCAUCUCCAACUGAGCUUAAAAGUUGAUGAUGUAAGUCUAUGGACUUCUCCUCUAAACUGAGUUAUAACUAAAUUACUCUGUAUAAGUGUUGUGCCACUAUACAUCUAAAUGUUACACUUUCUCUUAUAGACUAUACUAGAUGACCCGAGCUCAUGCGAUGCACGAGCGAGAUUUUAAUGGUAAAGAAAGCAGUAAAAGUAAGUGAAGUAGUAAGUCAUAUCAUAGAAUAGUUACAUGAUACAAUGUUAUGCUUCAUAUUAUGUGGAACAAAGAUUACAUUGUGCAGAUUCUAAAAGUAUUACAUAGACAUAACAUUUGUUGAUCCAAAAAGUGUCAAAGCCUAAAAUGUGAAUUCAUAUAGUUGUUGGUACCAAAGUCACAUCUGCGCAUUAACUAGGAAAAUAAAAGUAUUAAUAAUGAUAAAUUAAGCAAUACUUGAGAUAGGAGGCAGACAGUCAUUUGCCAAGCAACCAAAUAGAGGGUCUAUGAAAAUCCAUUCCACUUACAGCAGAGAGUAGCUGAAGUGAGUGAUCUCUUUAUACAUACCAGAGAAAGAGAGAGAGAGUUGUUGCAAUACUAAGUCUCCCAUGGCACCAGCCUACAUCGCAUAUUCAACAUUUGUAAUUAUAAGUAACUGGAUAAGAUUCAAUGGCAUAAAAAAUAGAUAUAAUGCAAAAGUAACCAAGUAGAAUCAGCAAAAUAUAUGGCAGUAUUUUCAUAGUACAAAGAUCAUUAAAUAUUUGUUAAUUCUUAGUCAAGCUAGUAACCUUCUCAAGUGGAUAUUCAAUUAAAUAUUUAACUCGUUUGACCUUGAGACACUAUAACACACUCUUAAGACUAUGCAGAUGCACAUGAGCUGGUUUAUAAAACAAUAUUUUAACAAUUAUGUUUGAUCAACUUCAGAGUGACUCCACUUCAAACAAUAUUUUUGAAUGAUAAGGUAUGAAAAAAAUAUUGGGAAGCCACAAUUCCAUAGCAGCUAGAUCUGAGCCAACUAAUUUAGUGGUCUCCCUCUCUUCCUAUUGUUUGAACCAAAACUCUAGCAGUCUGUGAAGUAACAUGCAGUGAGGAAAAUGAAUAGAACCCUUUGAUCAUGAUUCCAGAUUAGUGAGGCAUUCUGACAUGACCUGAACUGGGUCCUAGUCGUUUCAGGUAUCUCAAGUCUAACCAGGACUGGAGACCACCCCCAAUACCCUGCCGUAACCAUCCUACACCCCAUGUCGAAUGAAUUUCAAAUAUAUAACAAGAUAAUACAAUAUAUUAAAUACAAUAAAAUAAGUCUAUAACCAUAGCCAAACAACCAUAGCCACAUGUCUAACCAAUACCAAUACCAAUCCCAAUGUCAAUACCAAUACCAAUUCUAACACUAAUUCCGACACUGCUCAUGCCCAUAGUAGUCCGAUAAAGCCUCUAACUAGAAUCAAAGAACAUUUGGUCAAGACAUGCCCCCGACCAUAGCCAAAACCAUAACCAAAGGAAUAACAAUAAUGAAAAGAAGUCCAUAGCAUGAAUGGAGCCUUCCAGAGGAUGGAAGCUCACCACUUCAAUCUAGCUCAAAAGCUGUCCCUAAAUCCUAGUCAUUGAGCAGGAGGAAUAGUAAUAUAGCCAGUUCCUACAUCGCGAGAGGAUAUGGUGCUCGAAGAUGGUUAGCGGGGUAAACACUAGCAUGUAACUUAGAGAUAAAUAUAAGAUAAUGCAAUCAUUCAAAACCAAAUCAAACAACCAUAUGCAAUCACAUAUAUACAUAUAUACCAUGUUGGGAUAGGGAACAAGGUUUAGCAUGCAUUGAAAAUCUUAACCUGGGUUGUGUAGCUUGGCCGUCCUAAAAUCACCCAUGGGCUAUAUGGGUUCAUCUCCCCCUGUUGAAAGGUCCCAAAUGCGUGUUAGCCGUAUAUUAGAGAAAAUAACUUGAGAUGAAUAGUAUAUCCCAAAAAUAUAAAGUGUGUCAUCAUGCACACGAUCACCGAGACCAUCAUCACAUCGGCAAACGUGAGUUUCCAAUGUCGGUCCCCCUGAGACCUCUACCUUCCAUGGCUUUUCUACUCAAUCCCCUUUAAUUCCAUAUUAAAUUAUUUACACAUUUUCAACCAUUUACCAAGGAGUCUUAAUUAGGUAUUAACCAUUGGUAUCGUCAUACCAAAAUUAGAGCUUGCAAGUUUAUUACCUUAUGCCAUAUCUACCAUUCAACCAAAUUAGGCUCCACCAUUUCCAAUUAUAUUUUUAUUUUGUAUAUAAAUGUACAUAAGUAUUUUCUAUACAAAUGCAUAAACUAAUCUAGUUACUAUAUUUUUCAGUGAAUAAUGUACCUGGACCAAUGAAGUAAGUGGUAAGCUAGCAAUUUGGUCAGGCUUCCAGUUUCAACAGUUGUAAUUAGUGAUGAUAGUAAGAUUUUAAGUACUAAAGUUGUAGUAAGAAGAUCAUUCCUUCAUAAUAGGAAAGAACUUUUUGCUUUACUAAUGGUAUAAAGAGAUUUCUUGCAUAAAUUUUUGGUCUAUGGCUGUAGUUUAGCAGUAGAUUGAUGCCUUGAAAGAAGAACACAUAAGAAGGGACAUUGAUAAGUAAAUUAAAUGCCAAAAACAUAAAAUUAGUAUAAUGGCACAUUGACUAAAGAACAACUUGAUAGGAACUUCAAAUUUUGCAUUUUGUAAAGAGAAAAAUAAUAAAAAAUUAUACCCGAAGAUAGAAACAUAAUUCUUGACAUUCUUCGGCAAAGAAAAUCUGAUAGUGCAGACCAAGUAAGUAGUAGAAUCACAGAUUUUAGCAAUAAAGGACACUCAUCUUGGUGUAAUAUCCAUUAAUGGUCCUUUUGUUGUUUUUGUUGUUGUUGUUGUUGGUUUUGGAGUAGGCUCAGAUUUGGCCUUCCUCAGACAAAGCCAAAGCGCUUCUCAGAGAAACUGGCAUGGUUGUAAGCAUCGAUUAGGCUUAUGAGAUAGAAAAGAAAUACUAACAAUGAAACUUUCUUCUCUACUUCUCACAGCCUCAUUGACCAACCAAGUGAAGAUACUAUUUUUUUCUAGUGCAAUGGAUAUGUCUGAUUCAUCUUCCAAAGAAGAUAGGGUUUGGAUUCUUCAUCACCUUAUUGAAGAAAAUUUACAAUCUAAGAGAGUAACAGGAAAAAGAAAAGAGAUAUGAUGGUUUAAUCCAUGCAUAAUUAGAAAUUAUUGGCCAAGUUAACUUAUGUGAAAGCAAUAUGGACUAAAUGUUCCCUCUUUAUAAAAAUCAAAGGCAAUCCAAUGCAACUAUGUGUAGAAUUCUAAAAGGUAGUCAUCCAAAUAUGCAAGAAAGGAUAAAAAUAGGAUUAAUUCUCAAGAUAUAAUCAAUGAAGUAACCAAACUUUAUCAUUAUUCAAGAUUAAAGAAAACAUAAAAUAUGAAAAAAGAAAAUUAAAGGUGCAAGCAAGCUGAAGGACAAACAAUAGGAUAAAAAAUACAAGAGAAUUUCAUUGUAGAAAUGCAAGGUAAAGAAAGAUUUGUAAAGUAGAAAAGACAAUCCAUAAAUGCAUUUCUAUACAUCAUGCAUAAACAAGUUUGUAAUAACACCGAUAUACACCAAUAGCAUGUGAAGAAGAGAGUUAUAUAAUCCACUUCUCUCAAACCUAUUUGAUCAACCAAGUGAAAAUACAGGUAUUUAGAGCUUAAUGGAUACAUGGUUGAUUCAUCUCUGUAGAAGAUAGUUUUUCAAUUCUUCAUUGCCUCAUUGAAUAUAAUUUAGAAACAGAAGCAAAACAUGAUUAAUAUAGCUAAAACAUUACAACGUUAUAGCUAGUAAUACCUAUGAGAAUGAUAAAUCAAGUAACAGUAGUAUAAAUAUUUCACCUUUUCUAAUACAAAAAUUAUCAACUUGAAAGAAGCAGUGGUAAAGAAUAAAGGAAAGUUAUAAUUUUGCUUACCUUGUUUCAUUGGUGCAACUUUUGUCAGAAUGUAGGAGUUCAAAAAGUGAUUGCAAAAGAUACUUAAUUAACCUUCAGAAAUUUUCAUAUACAAAACAAUGAAUCAAGGUACAAUAAACUUAUAUGUAGAUAAACCUACACUUAUUAUUAUUGAAAUGUAUUUUCAAUAGUCCAGUGGUACUUUACUAAGGCGAGAACUCUAAAGCAGCAAAUCCUAGACGAACAUAGUACUACAGGAUUGCUCAAAUUAGUAAUUUGUUUAAGAGAUAUCAAAGUAUAUACCAAGUACAAGAUUGAGCAAGAUAAUCAAAAAAUAUAAAAUAAAAGUCGACCAAAAAUGAAAGUAGAGGUAAGAACAGAAACUUAACACACAGAGAGCAAUAAGAAUGAAAAGACAGGGAAUAGUCUAUAACAAACUAAAUAUGUAGAUGAACCUAAACUUAUUAUUAGUGAGAUGUAUUUUCAAUAGUACAGUGGUGCUUUACUAAGGUGAGGACUCUAAAGCUGCAAAUCCUAAAUGAAUGUAGUACUAAAGGAUUGCUCAAAAAGCAAAAUAAUCAAAAAAAUUUAAAAUUAAAGUAUACCAAAAAAGAAAGUUGAGGGAAGAACAAAAACACAACACACAAAGAGCAAGAAGAAUGAAGAGAUGUAGAAUAGUUUACAAGGUUACACAAAAGAAAGCGAAGUUAAUAAAAUGAAUCCCUAAAAAACAAAGUGGACAAAUUGCAUAUAUGGAUCUUCUUACUUCAUACAUGUAUAUUAUGAUCCAAAAAUAUCAAAGAUAAAAGUAAGUCAACUAUGCAUUUCUUGUUUAAAAUAAUAUGACAUGAGCUUGGGAUAAGAGUUGGAGCUAUCCAGAAAUAAUAGAAUUUGCUUUAUCAGUACUACAUAGUUGACAAAAAAGGAGAACUUAGCUAAAUAGAUAGAGGAAAAUAAAGAUGAUGAAUGUAGGUAAAACAUAAAAUUUGGGUAAAAUUUAUGCUAAAAACGUGAAUGCAGGUUUGAGCCAAAAAUGCAGAAAUAAAUGCAACAUUGGCUCAAGGAAAAUAAUAGUUAAUAAUUAUAGAAGAAGGAAUGGUAAAGAAUAGUGAGAAGGUGUAAUUUUGAUUAUCUUGUUUCAUCAGUGUGACUAUUACCAGAACAUGAUAUGCAUAGAGUAAAAUUUAGCAGAAAGCAGCAAAAAGGGGUCACCAAAAAAAUGCAUAUAUGAAGGAAUAAGGUAUUAAUUCAUGUUACAGACUAAUUUAUAGAGAAUUAUUUAAUUAUAGAUUGUUGAUGGAAGAAAUUCCUUAAAAGAGACUUGCAUAAUCAUGGAUCGGGGAAAAUGAAAAAUUAUCCAUAUUUAUUACCUUUGUCCCACAAAAUCCAAAACUGAUUGCAAAAAGAAAGUUGAUGAACCUACAAAUAUAUUUAUCAAGAAUGAAAGAGGGUGCAAUAUAGAUAGAUGGAAAAUAUUAUAGUAAUUAUAUUGAAGGUAUUAUAAGUAUUGAGAGAAAGAAUAAGAAAGGAGUUUAUUGGCGAUAUUUAAUUCAUCUUCAUUGGAGUUGGUACUCCAUUUUUUGUUUCAUCUUGAGCAUGUCACGUUGUUUAUUUUUUUUUCAGUUUGUUCAGUAGAAUUGAAUUUAUUUUUGCCUAUUGCUUUCUUUUUUGGUGUGAGUUGUGGACGAUGCAGGAAGAUGAGAUCUGAUUUCUCCUUUUUAAUAUAGGAUAAAAUAAAGAUUUUUCUAGAGAUUUUGCGAUCGGUGGGGGGAAGUGUUUCUUUCACUUGAAUCGUGAACAAAUUUUGAGUCAAUUAGAUUUGAUCAUUUUGUGUUAACUGAGACUCAUUCUAUGGAGAAAUACAUUUAGUUUUUCUAUUUGUUAAAUAAUUAAGUUGAUAUGUUUAUUGAAUGGUUAAAUUUUUUACCCCAGUUGAACCAAGCUCGUAGAUUUGUUCUGGUGUAAGAGAUAAUAAUUUUUUUCCUUCUUUGCCACUAACUUUCCCAAUUAUUGAGCUUGUUUUAUCUUCAAGAUUCACAUCAAAUCGGCACUUGUAGUAAUACGUGCUAAUACUUUGGUUGAUAAAAAGAGAUAUCUUACUGAUAUUGUGGCUAAAUGUGUGUAUAAUAUUAGGAUAGAAGUACCUGGGAGCCAACAUAUUUCAUUGAAGACAAUUCAAACAUUGAAAUUUUCUCUUUGCUGAAUUUUUAACUUCUUGUGGAUAGUUUGGAUGGGUUAAACAUAACAACAUUUGGGCCUAUUUGGCAGGGUUAUUUUUGCUUCGAUGGUGAAGGCGAGGCCCUAUCGGAAAAGGUGAUAGCAAGCAUCACAAGGCUAAAUUUUACUGCAAAUUAUAAAUCAAGUGAAUAGAAAUUAUACUAACAUCUUGUUGUGACUGAAUAAUGGCGAUUAAUACUAUUUCUUCGUCUACUAGAGCAGAGACCAAAUAUCCAGAUUAGGAAGUGCUUCUUGCAGCAAAGAAGUUGAAUAUUUUACUAUUUUCCAUAACCCUAUUUGAGUUGGUAUUGAAGAUAUUUAGCAUAAUAAUAAUAAGGUAGAAGUCAAUAUGAAGUAGAGUAUAGUAAGUUGAUACCAUGAUUGCAGUUGUAGGCAUUCUGGAUAACGUGGAUCAAUCUGUAUCAUUGUGUUAAAUUUGAUUGUCAACAAUAUCCCUACAUUAAUUCUAAUAAUAAUGAAGUUAGUGAAGAAAAUAGAAUUUGAUAUAAAUUAAUUAAUUACAGUAAUGAUUGAUUCAAUAAAAAUAAAAUUUUAUGUAGCUGCCACGUAUAAGAUGGGUGGUUGAUGUUGUUUGCAAAAUUGUACUAUUUAUCUUACCAUAGAAUUUGGAUACCUAAUAUGUCUGAUACAUAUGAUCGGAUGUUGUUGAAACCGCGUAAGGAGUUUCUUGCCUUCGGCUUUGAUAAGAGCUUUCUUUCCAUAGUGUGAAUGUGUAAGCUUGUUAGCUUUGUAUAACAAAAUAAGUAAUAUGUUGUAUAUUUUAUAUUGUGAAGAAAUAAGAAUUGUGGAAAAUUUGGCUAAUAUACUUACUUGGUGUCAAUAACAAUUAGUUCUUGUAGUCUUUUUUGAACGUUUGUAACAUAUCUUGGUGGAAAGCAGUUAAAAACUAUUGCUAGUGCAUCUGUUGAGGGGAAAAUACAUGUUAGCUCGUGCUGAAGCGGAUAUUUAGUGGCACAAAGAGUGAAAUAAUCAUACUGUAUUUGCAGUCUUAAGUUGUUCUUUGGCAUCUCGGGUGGCUUGAUUAUUGAUAUCUUGAAAUGAUGUAGCAUUGACCAUUCUAGGUAGUAGCAACUCAUUUUUAUCUGAGUCAUCUCUAUCAAUUGGAUUCGCUAUGGUAUUUUUAUCAAUAAUUCAUUCAAAUAUAUGUAAAGGUUUUCAUAUCUUAAAGUUGGUUAUUGUGCGCAUUGUAUCCAUUAUCAAAUACGUGUGAAACAGUUGGAACAUAUCUUGAUAAGGGGAAGCAUCAUAUCACCUAGACAAUUAUUUUUACUUGAUUGUCCUGUAGGUAAUUUUAUGGGUAAUAAUAUGAGAGGCAGAAGUAAGGAAUGUAAGUAGUAGAUUUGAUUUUCAUAAUAGGAAAUUACAUGUUCAUCUUGAAACAUCAUGUUCAUAGAUUUUAUAUUUUGUUCUCUAUCUUCUCCUCCUAGCCUACAUAUAUCUACAACUUGCACUUUACAUAUCUAGUCUAAUAUUUCAAGAGUGACUGCAUGCAUAUUUAGUCUUUCUGUCAUUUUUUGUAUAGCCUGCGAGAUAAUUAAAGAUGAUUAAUACAAUAAAAGAUCAUAAUAGUAGGACCGUGGUAUAUGAGAAACAUAAAUUCAAGUUUUGAUUAGUAUUUAUACAACAAGCAAUGCUGAUUUAACAACUUGAAUAAACUGUUUUUAAAAGAGGAAAAGAAACAAUUAUAUUAACAGGCUUCUUCAUUUACAAAUACUAAUAAUUAGAAGCAAAGAGCAGGCUUGGACAGCUCAAAGGGUAUGCCGUUAAGGGGUAGAGGGGGAGAGAGUGUUAGUAAAGGCACGGGGUAUGCAAUCAUUUGGCUGGAGUGAGACAGUGAAACAGAACUUGUUCAACAUAACAAAGAUCAAAAGUGAAGGGUAUAAUUGGUGAUGAUAUCAAGUUUUGAGUACUGUUGUUGCAACUAGUACAUAAAAAAAUUGACACAGUGAAAGGGAUAGUGAAUUGAUAUCAUCAACUUAACAAACUCCAAUUUGGCAAAAUAAAGCAUUUAAAACUUUUGCAAGCAACGCAAUGACCAACAGGACUAAAUCAAUCAACAGGCAGGUAUGAGUUCUCAUUGUAAUAGCAAACUUCCCAUAAAAUGUGAUAUUGAUUCUAGAAUCCAAAAUCAACAGCCCCAACCCCACGAUAAUGUUCAUACAGAUGGUGAUGCCAAGCCAUAAAAUUCCAUGGAAAAUGGAAAUAAUCACACAAGAAAAAAGUUGAAAAAUGCAGCAGCAAAAGAUAUGCAAAUAGAUGCUGAGAAGAGGGCUAAUUAAAAGGUUGUGGAUGUAGAAAAUGUCCCAAAAGGGACCCAAAUCACUAGUGAUGAUAAUAUUCUAAAAAGAGGCUCAGAUAUUGACUCAAUGUUCCAUGAAACCAUCUAGAUAAUUUUAUUAUUUUUGUUGGGACUUCUAUUGAAGUUAAUGGGCAUAAGAAUGAUGGUCAGGAGAAGACUACUAAUGGCAUGACCUAAUCCCGGGCCUGGCUGUGAUGGGUAUCUGAAGCCCAUAGUGGGCCGAAGACCACCCCUAGAGUCUGUCCAAUCUAAACAUGAUAUAGUAUAAUAGCAGAAAAAUUCAAGUAAACAUAUGGAAGAUAAAUAACCAAUACAAAGGUUCUAGGAUCUCAAACAAACAUCCCAAUCCAUAGUUGUCCACAAACGCCUCUAAAACAACCCAAAUAUCAACUAGGUCGGGACAUGCCCACAAUCGUGGAAAAAAAAGAAUCCAAAAUAUGAAAAAAAAAAGAAUAGGAUUUCUAUACUCAUAAAGAAAACAAUGAAAUGUUUGGCCUUUUGGAAGAUGGAGGCUCACCACUUCAAUGUAGACCAACCGACGAACCAGAAUCCACACAAUGCUACAUGUGGGCAAAAGAGGUAUCUGCAGACCCUACAUUAUGAAACAAUGUAGCAUAUUAGGACGAUUAGCAGGGUGAGAACUGGCAUGUAAUAAGGAUAAAAUAAUGCCAUUUCAAAAUCAAGUUCGACUUAUUUUACAUGUUCACAUACAUGCGUACAUACAUAUAAAAGAUGUUCAGAUAGGAAACAAGGUUUAGCAUGAGAUUUAAAAUCAUUAACAAGGACUAUGUAUCUCUGUCCGCCAUAAAAAAACCCACGAGCUAUAUAGGUCUGGCUUCCCUCACCAAAAGGGCCCCAGUGCAUGUUAGUCGUACGAACUGGAGGUAUCAAGGAUGGCCAAGGAAUCUAUGACCCUACGCUACUCAUGGAUACAAAUAUAUAUAAAAAAAGUGUGACACAUGCACACGAUCAUUAAGACCAACCCUAUAUCAGUAAACGUGAUUUCCAGUAUUGGUCCCUCGGGGACCUCUACCUUCACGACAAGUGACACAACCCCCUUUAUUCCUAAUUAAAGCCUUUACACAAAAACUCAUCCAUUUAACCAAGGAAUCAUCCAUUAAGGCAUUAUCAAUGGUAUCGCCAUACCAAUUACGCUUGCAAGCUAAUAUCAUUAUGUCAUUUCAAUUAUCCAUCAACAUAGGGAAAUCCACGACCCCCAAGGUCCAAUUUAAAAUCAAAAUAUGUUCCAUUAACCCUUUUAUGCAAUGCAAGGUUUCAAAAAUUAGUUUCAAUAUGCAUAUAUCCAUGCUUCAAAGCCAAUUUCGUAAGGUGGUUUAAAGUUAUUACCAAUUCCAAUACCAAAUUCAUUUACGUGGGGAAAUCCAUGACCCCCAUCCCAAUUCCCAUGAUUAUCCACAAAUUCAAUUCAUAAACCAUGACAUAAAGCAUGAAUAAAUAUAACAAAAACCAUGAGAAAACCAACCAAGUAGUAGUCAUUCAAAACCCUCAACCAUCAUUCAAAACCCAAUAAGUAAAUCCAUAUAAACCAUAAUUAAGCAUAUGUUUUUCAUAAGGCAAGUUUUAGGGAAGAUAUAAAUGCUUGGGAUACCAAGAAUUUAAAGGAGAAAUCACAAAUUGAGCCCUAGAUGACCAAUCCCUAGAAACCCUAAGUUUGCUUUUAAUUAGGGAAUUUGAGAGAGAAGAGAAGUGUAUGUUGGCUAAAUGAUGAAAAUAGGGACACUUAGGUGUUUUAUGUUUGUGGGUAAUAUUUAGAGUAGGAGGGAAAUGUCCAAAGUGCCCCAAAUUAAAAUAUAGGAAAACUUUCGCCAGUGGCUAUGAGUCAUCUCAUGACUCAUGAGGACUGAUCACGAGUUGUCACCAUAACUCAUGGUAAGGGCAAAAGGUUUUAUCCAAUAUACUGGUUUGGUCAUGAGUCCCUCAUCACGACUCGUAACCUCACCAUAUGACUAGUGAGGUCCAAAUUGUGACCUCAACAGAAAUCAUGGACAAACUUACUGGUUAGGCUACGAUUAGUACCCUAUGACUCGUGAGGAGUAUUCACGACUCGUCAACUAAAGGCUAAGCAGUGAGCAUAACAAAAAGAGAAUUUUUCAGAGUUUAGAACCUGGGGUGUUGCAUUACCCCUCCCCCUCCAAGGAUUAUUUAUCCCCAAAUGAGGAAUCAACAUACUCAUUAGCACGAUACAAGUAAGAAUGUAACCACAAAAACUAAAGAUAAAUUCAAAAGGCCACAAGAAAAGAAUGGGAAUCAUACCUCAAGGAUUGUCAUGCAAUGCAGGGAAACAAGAAUGGAUAUUUGGACUUUGUGUCUUCUUCGGCUUCCCAAGUAACUUUCUCUACCUUUUGAUUCCUCCAAAGGACUUUUACCAAAGCCAUAUACUUAGUCUUCAAUCUCCAGAGUUGCCUAUCAAAAAUCUUAACCAGGAUUUCCUUAUAGGACAAGGAAUCCAAAAUAACAACACCUUACAAAGGAACAAUCAAAGAGGGAUCACCCAUGCACUUCUUCAACAUCGACAUAUGGAAACUCGGGUGAAUAGAACUCAAACUCACAGACAGCUCCAAUUCAUAAGCAACGUUCCCUACUCUCUUAAAAAUUAAAUACAGACCAACAUAAUGGGGACUACGUUUCCUCUUCUUCCUAAACCUCAUCACUCCCUUCAUAGGAGAAACUUUCAAGAAUACCCAAUUCCCUACAUCAAACUCAAACUCCCUUUGCCUCACAUCUGCAUAGGACUUUUGGCGACAUUGGGCCAUCUUAUGUCCCUCCCUAAUCACAUUUACCUUUUCCAUGGCUUGGAGAACCAAAUCAAGACCAAACAACUUAGUAUUGCCAACCUCAAACCACCUAAUGGUAGACCUAUACCUCCAACCAUAAAGAGACUCAAAAAGAGUCAUCCUAAUAUUAGAGUGACAACUGUUAUUAUAUGCAAAAUCAAUGAAAGGCAAAUGAUCAACCCAUCUGCCUCCAAAAUCAAUAAUACAAGCCCUUAACAUAUCCUUCAAAGUCUAAAUAGUCUACUCUAUUUAUCCAUCCAUUUGAGGAUAGAAAGCAAUGCUAAGGUUCACCUUAGUCCCCAAACCAUUCUAUAACAAGAGCCAAAAGUGAGAAGAAAAUUAUGUACCCUGGUCCAAAAGGAUGGACAUCAGUGCUCCAUGAAAUUUAAAUAUCUCCUUAAUGAAUAACUUAACAUAAUCCUCUCUAGUGUAGGUAGUCCUCACAGGAAAGAAAUAAGCAAACUUAGUCAUCCUAUCCACAAUGACGCAAAUCAAACCAUACUGAUUGCGAGAUCGUGGAAAACCCAUAACAAAAUCCAUAUUGAUCAUCUCCUACUUCCACAUAGAAAAAUCUAUCUAUUGAGACAUUACACCAAGCCUCAAGUGCUCAACCUUUACUUGCUGAUAGACCAUACACUAAGCCAUGAAGUUAGCCACAUCCCUCUUCAUAUUGUUCCACUAAUAAAUCUCACUUAAAUUGCGAUACAUCUUUGUCAAACCUGGAUGAAGUGUGUACCUCGACUCAUGAGCCUCAGUCAAAAUCCUCUCUCACAGCCUAUCAACAUCAGGAACACACAACCAACCUUGGUAACUCAGGAUACCACACCACCAAUCUCAAAGGCCAUAACUUUUUGCUGACCCACAUUACUCUUAAUCUGCAUAAAAAUGGGAUCUAAAGCUUACUUCUCCUUUACCUAAGCACCAAGAAAUGAUUUAACCACUUUUUGCAGAAUUUUCCUCCUUUCUUAGAGUCUAAUAGACGAACUCUCAAAUUAGUCAGCGAGUGAAUCUCCUUCACCAGUCCUCUUUUCUCUUCAUCUACAUGAUAUAAGUUCCCCAUAGACAACCUGCUAAGAGCAUCAACAACCACUAUACCUUUACCUAGAUGAUAGUGAAGACUCAUAUCAUAGUCCUUUAGUAACUCAAGCCACUACCUCUGUCGAAGAUUCAACUUCUUCUGAGUAAAUAUAUACUAUAAUCUCGUAUGAUCUGAAUAAAUGUCUACAUGCACUCUAUACAUAUAAUGAUGCCAAAUCUUCAAAGGAAAAAUCGUAUCCACCAGCUCCAAAUCAUGAGUAAGGUGAUUCUUCUCAUAAACCUUAAGUUUCAUAAAAGCAUAAUCUAUAACCUUCCCACGUUGCAUCAAAACACAACCAAGUCCCAGACGGGAUGCAUCACAAUAAACAACGAACCCAUCAGUACCCGUCAGGCAGGGUUAGAACUGGCGUGGAAGCCAACUUAUCCUUUAAAUUCUAAAAGUUGCCCUCACACACAUCAGACCACAAGAAUUUUACCUUUUUUGUGUCAACUUCAUCAAUGGAGAAACAAUUGAUGAAAAGAUCUCUAAAAACCUCCUAUGAUACCCAGCCAAGCCCAAGAAGCUCUAAAUGUUGGUCGGAGUUGUGGGUCUAGGCCACCUUUUUACCAUCUCAACUUGCUGUGGAUCUACUUUGAUCCCCUCACUAGAAACAACAUGCCUAAGAAAAGUCACAAUAUCCAGCCAAAACUCAUACUUAGAGAAUUUAGCAUACAACUUAUGAUCCAUAAGAGUCUGCAACACAAUUUGGAGGUGAUUGGUAUGAUCCUCCUUACUCUUGGAAUACACCAAAAUAUCAUUAAUGAAUACAAUAACAAAUAAGUCUAAGAGUUGUCUGAACACUCAAUUCAUAAGAUCUAUGAAAGCAGCCAAAGCAUUAUUCAAUCCAAAUGACAUCACCAAAAAAUCAUAGUGACCAUAUCGGGUUCGUAAAGCAGUCUUAGGAAUAUCAAUCUCCUUAAUCUUUAAUUGAUGAUAACCCAAAUAAAGAUCCAUCUUAAAAAAAUAUCUAGCACCCUAAAGCUGGUCAAAGAGAUCAUCAACCCUAGGUAGAGGGUAUUUAUUCUUCAUGGUAACCUUAUGCAACUAUCAUUAAUCUAUACACAUUCGAAGAGACCCAUCUUUCUUACACAUGAAAAGCACGGGAGCACCCCACAGAGAGAUACUAGGACUAAUAAAACCCUUAUUAAAAAGAUCUUUAAAUUACGUCUUUAUCUCCUUUAACUUAGCCAGAGCCAUUCUAUAUGGAGAAAUAGAGAUACGACGGGUAUCCAUUAAAAGAUCAAUCCCAACGUCUAUUUCCUUAUCAGGAGAAAUACUAGGAAGAUCCUCAGGAAACACUUCAGGGAACUCAUUAACCACAUGUAUAAAUUACAAAGAAGGGCCCUCAGAGCUAGAAUCUUUAACCCAGACCAAAUGAUAAAGACUCCCCUUGGAGAUCAACUUACUAGCUCUAAGAUAGGAAAUAAAUCUCUCUUAAGGUAUUAAGGAAUUUCCCUCCCAUUCAACUAUCAUUAAUUAGGGAAUUGGAAGUUGACUUUAUGAGUCAUUCAAUCUAAGGAAGCAUAGCACGAAUAGAGCCAAUCCAUCCCUAAGAUAACAUCAAAAUCCACCAUGUCCAACUCUAUCAAAUCUACUAAGGUCUCCUUAUAAAAGAUGAACACCAUACAAUCCCUAUAUACCCUUCUAACCAUAAUAAAAUCACCCACCAGAGUAGACACAGAGAAAGGAGCAGGAAUUGUCUUGAGACGAAAACCUAAAUGUACAGCUAUAUAAGGGGUCAUAUAAGAAAGGGUAGACCCUGGAUUAAGAAAACAAUAGACAACACGAGAGAAGAGUUGUAAUAUACCAGUAACCAUGUCAGGAGUGCCUCAAAUUCCUGGCAAGUAGCUAAAGAAUAAAGAUGAUUCUGGCCAGUGAUAGUACCCGAAGUAGAACCCUUUGGUGCAAGAGUUGAAGAAGUAGCAAUCGGAACCUUAUUAGCUACGGUGUCAACCUUAGCUGUUGAAAAAUAUCAUUGCAUAUGACCAGGCUGCCCAUAACUAUAGCGCUAAUUCCUCCUCUCAUCAUACUGACCAGGGUGAAGUUAUCCACAAAAUCAAUAGGGAGGAUAUAAUGGGGCUGACUGAGCUACACUAACUUGAUUUAGGCACCCUAUGCCUUAAAUCUACUGUCAGCCUAAAAACGAUGAUCACCAGACAGCUUAGGAUAAGGAGCAAUAGACAACGAAUAUAAACCAAAAUUUCCCCAAGUCUUCUUCUUGCCUCACUGUCUACCAUCCCUUGAACUAGCUUGUUGACCUCUACUUUGCUCUGAAUACCUGAACUUAUAAUUUUGCCUCUCUUCCAUCUUUGAUUUUUUUUUUACCUCCUCUACCUAUUGCAUAUAAACCAUAAACUUUAUAGAUAUCCAUAUCAUUGUUCAAUAUUGUGGCCUUACAUUCCAAUACCAAGUCAUGAGACAAACCAAAAGCAAACUUCCUCAUUUUGGCUCUCAUACUAGACACUAACUCCAAAGCAUAGCAAGACAACUGAUGAAAUUUCAAAGCAUACUCAUUCACACUCAUCCUAUGUUGCUUCAAAUUUACAAACAUCUCUGCCUUAGCUUCCCUAAACUCCUAAGUAAAGAAAUAAUCAAGGAAGGCACUAGAGAUCUCCUCCCAUAAAGCCUACCCAGCAUCAUCACCCCUCGACUUCCCCACUCCUCAUACUACUGAUAUGCCAUAUCCUUUAACUGAUAUGCAGCAAACUCCACACCCUAAGAAUCAAAAGCAUAUACCACCCUAAAGAUUUUCUCCAUCUCAUCAAUAAAUCAUUGAGGAUCCUCCUCAACCUUAGAGAUAGUGAAGGUUGGGGGAUUCAACCUCAUUAAAUGACCAACUCGAUAACCUCCGAAUAAGGAGCAACAGAACCACCCUGACCUAACUAAAAAGUCACCAACUGAGUUAAUAGAUGAAUAGAGUGGUGAAACUAUGCAUUGGAGAUCUCUCUUUGAGGUGACUGAGCAUGAGUGUCACUGGCCAAAGAAAGAAUAGUUGGGAUAGAUGGAACUCUAUUAGGGCAGUACAAUAAGAAGUAGGGAUCCUAGACCAGGUUUGCACCCCAUGAGCAGGUCGAGUUCCAUUGGCAUUGUCCUCAUGUAAGAAAAAGGGUCCAGCAGAAUUUCUACGAGCAUCAAAUCUUUUGGGAGGCAUGAUUUGAAAUGCGAGUAAGGCAGAGAUUAGAGGAAUUUUCAAGACACUAGAAAUAGAACACAAGAAAGGAAAACAUUCCUAAAUACCUUGUAGCCUCUCCCUUAUAAAUGUGGAGUGCUACAAAUCUGUAAAAGAAACUCUACUUGACAUAGAUUUGUGGACACCUUAAUGACCCUAAACCUAGUGCUCCGAUACCACGCUUGUCAUACUCUACCCUAUUCCUAGAUGUAAUGGGUAUCGCAAGCCCACCAUAGGCCGAAGACCACACCUAUAGUCUAUCAAAUCUAAACAUGAUAUAGUUUGAUAGAGGAAAUAAUUCAAUAAAACAUAUGGAAGAUAAUAACCAAGACAAAGGUUCUAAGAUAUCAAACAAAUAUCCCAAUCCACAGCUGUCCACAAAAGCCUUUAAAAGAACCCGCAUAUCAACUAGGUCGGGACAUACCCCCAAUCGUGGAAAAAAAGGAGUUCAAAUAAAAAAACUGAUAGGAUUUUAAUACUCAUAAGGAAAAUAAUAAAAUAUUUGACCUUUCAAAAGAUGGAGUCUCACCACUUCAAUGCACACCAACCGACAAACCAGAACUAUCUAAUACUACACAUGGGUAAAAGAGACAUCCUCGAACCCUACAUUAUGAAACAAUAUAGCAUUCUAGGAUAGUUAAUAGGGUGAGCACUAGCAUAUAAUUCAGGAUAGGGAUAAAAUAAUGCCAUUUCAAAAUCAAGUUUGACUCAUUGUACAUGUUCACAUAUAUUUAUACAUACAUGUAUAAGAUGUUGAGAUAGGGAAUAAAGUUUAUCAUGAGAUUUAAAAUCACUAGCCUAGAUUGUGUAGCUCCGUCUAUCAUAAAAAUACCCAUGGGCUAUAUAGUUCUGGCUCUCCUCAUUGGAAGGGCCCUAUAUAUAUAUAUAUAUAAAGUGUCACACAUGCACACGGUCAUUAAGAACACCCUCAUGCCAGCAAACGUGGUUUCCAUUAUUGGUCUCUCGAGGACCUCCACCUUCACAGUGAGCUACAAAACCCCCUUUAAUCCCAAUUAGAAGCUUCACACAUAGACCCAUCCAUUUAACCAAGGAAUCAUCCAUUAAGGUAUUAUCAAUGGUAUCGUCAUACUAAUUACGCUUACAAGCUAAUAUCAUUAUGCCAUUUCAAUUACCCAUCAACUUGGAGGAAUCUACAACCCCCAAGGUCUAAUUUAAAAUCAAACAUGUUCCAUUAAUCCUUUUAUGCAUUGAAAUGUUUCAAAAAUUAGUUUUAAUAUGCAUAUAUCCAUGCUUUAAAGCCAAUUUCAUAAGGUGGGUUGAGGUUAUUACUAAUUCCAAUAUGAAAAUUAAUUAAUUUGGGAGAAUCCAUGACCAUCGUCCUAAUUCCCAUGCCCAUACAAAAAUUUAGUUCAUAAUCCAUGUGAUAAAGCAUGAAUAACAAUUUCAAAAACCAUGGAAAAACCAACCAAGUAGUAGUCAUUCAAAUCCUUCAACCCAUCAUACAAAACCUAACAAGUAAAUCCACAUAAACUAUAAUUAAAUACAUAUUUUUCAUAAGACAAGUUUUAGGGAAGAUAUACAAGCUUGGAAUACCAAGAAUUUGAAGGAGACACCAUAAUUUGAGCCUUAGAUGACCAAACCCUAAAAAACCUAAGCUUGUUUUUUAUUGGGGAAUUUGUUAGAGAAGUAUUUGUGUUGGCUAAGUGAUGAAGAUAGGGACCCUUAGGUGUUUUAUGUUCGUGGGUCAUAUUUAGAGUAGAAGGGAAAUGUCUAAAGUAUCCCCAUUUAAACUGCAGAAAAAUAACACUACUGGCUAUGAGUCAUCUCAUAACUCGUGAGGACUGGUCACGAGUCAUCACCAUGACUUAUGGUAUGGGAAGAAGGUAUGAGUAAUUAUAAUGGUUUGGUCAUGAUUCCCUCAUUAUAACUUGUGACAUCACUAUACAACUCGUGAAGACAAAUCGUGAACUUAACAGAAACCAUGGACAAACUUACUGGUCAGGCUACGAUUAGUACCCUACGACUCAUGAGGAGUCUUUUUGACUCAUCAACUAAGUCGUAGCUUGAUUAGUGAGAACAAAACCAAGAGAACUUUUUAGAGUUCAGAUCUUGGGAUGUUACAACUAACUUCAGAAAGGGGUGUCCAAAGGUGGAGGGCUAAACUUCAAUACUCCUACAACCACUUUACCUAAACAACAUGCAACUGAAAUAAAUAUUACUACAGAAGUUCUAACUAGCUUGAUUGAUAAAUGUUGAGGUGCUGAAAUGAAUAAUAAAGUUCAAGAUUCUAAUUAUGUCCAGAAAAAUGAUAUGAAUGCUAAUUUUGAUGCAGAAAGGGUUGAUAUUAAUGAUCAAAAUUCUGCAUAAUUUUAUUUUGGUAACUAGGUUCAGUGUAUGGGUUUUGAUACUAGUCAAAGAGCCGAAUAUCAGAUUAUUACUCCUAUACAGGUGCAAGAUUCUUCAGGGAUUAGGAACUUGAAUAUUGAUACUCAAAGGGUUGAUUAUGAUGUUUAUUCUAUAGAAAUUCAGAACUAUUCUAUUCAUAGUCUCAAUAAUUAAUCUACUUUUGCUCUCAGUCAAAAGAGGAGAUGUUAGUAAAAGAAGCAAGAAAAAGGGGAACAACAACACCAAAAGGGUCAACAAAAUUUGGUAUUAGUGCAACAGCAAGUUGGUCUUGAUAUUUGUAAUGCCUCAAAUCCUAUUGGGGUGGACAGGCACCCGUGGCCGUGAAAGACCGAGAGACCUAAUCCAUAACAUUGUAAUUAUCAUGCAUGUAACUAUAAUAACCAAAGGAUUUUCCAUACAUGGAUAUAAUGCACUGAUGAGAAAUAAAUGACAAGCCUAAAACUAUAUAUACCAAAUUGGCCAUUGGGGCCAUAACAUCUAAAAGAUAAGAAGCUAUCAUUCUUAACUUUACAUUGGUAUACAAAGCCACUAAAAGAUACAUAGAAACUUGGUAAAGGUUGGUACAAACCCCCGCCUUACUCCUAACUACUAUACAGUACCAAAAUAUAUAAAACAAACUCAGAAAGCUCCCAAUCAAACUGGAUCUCACCAAUACUCAUUGGAUAUCCCUGCAACUACUGAGGGGGUAUAUGAGCUAAAGUACCUAUUCCUGUAGCAUAAAAUAUAGGUCCCCUGUGAGGGACGUAAGCACAAAAAUAUGUACUGAAUAUGUAAGGCUGAAGGUACUACACAUGAUACAAAAGCUUAUUAAAAAUCAAGUACAGUGCGUAAAUAGUGCUAGUAGACCACCUUUAUAUAUACUUGUGGGACUAGGUACAUUACAUUCUUUUAUUUAUUUUUGCCCUUCUUACUUCAUAAUCUUUAUAAUCCAUAUAAUACAAAAGACUAGCUGAUCAGUGGUAAAUAGACAAAUCGAGAUCAACCCAUGCAAGGCUUAUGCCUUGAGUUGCCACCUAUAUAUGAACAUUGGGAUCAAUCCAUGCUAGGAUUUUUCCCCUGAGCUUCCACCCACAUAUAAGGUAUCGAGAUCGGCCCAUGCUAGGCUUAUACCCCUGAGCUGCCAUCCAUUUUAUAGAUUUUUGUUGCUUAGUUUAUUUAGCCUUUGAGAUUAUUACCUUGGUGUCCAUAACAUUAUGGUACCUUAAAACAAUAAUCUUUCAAUAAGGGACAUAUGAAUAAACACUUAAUGCAAUGUCAAAGAGUUAUGGGGCAGAUUGUACAUGAAUGAAAUGUUUAGGAGCUGAAAAUAACAUACAGGUCUUAUUUGACUUAAAGGAGAACUCUUGAGACUUGCUAGUGAUUGUAAAAAUAUAGACUUGAUAAUAAGCAUGUGGUGAGGUAUUUUAACACAUUAGAGAGUGUGAAGAAAUUGGUUAGCUACAUGGGAGAUCAUAUGUUUCCAUUAUGUAUCAUCUACUAUGGGAGGGCUUUAGAGAGCAGCCUUACAUACCAGAUCAUACAACUCAAAUGUUAACCCAAUUAACAUCCUGACUUUAAGGUUUCUUAUCUACAAUAAAGUAUAUAGUAAAACUAGUAUUAGUAACCAACUAACACACUUGGGCUACUUAGCUUCACAAAAUAGUAGUCAGGCAGUAUGCCCAUAGUUUAUUAAUCAAGGGUGUUAUUUUAAUCAUUUUAUCCUCCAAUUACAUCCACAUAACAUACAUAUUUUUAUAAGAUUCCUCAAAAUAACUUUGGCUUCAUUACACCCUCCAAAAAAUGCAUAAAAUAGAAUGGGUAAUAAACGUAUACAAUAAUUAUGUAAUACCCUGGGAAAUUUUUCACUGAAAUUUUGUGCGUGUGUUGGGUUCUAUCUUCUAGAAUGAAUUAUAAAUUUUUCGUGUGGAAUGUCUUAGAUUAUGACCCACCAUUGCGUAGAUUAUCGAAUAAGAUUUCCAACGAUAUGUGGUUAAUCCAAAACGGACACUCGAGCGACGAGUUAUGAACAUUCCGAUCGAACCGCGAAUAGUAGUGAACAGUAAAACGUGCAGGAAAAAGUUCUGAGGCCUGGCGUAUUUUUGCACCAACUUUAAAUGAUCAUAAAUCCUUGUACAUAAUGAUCUGGGUGAUCUACUAUAUAUCAACAAAAAGCUCUGCGAGUCCUCUUUCCAAUGAAAUUAGUUUCAUCCAAUUUGUCUAUCGGAGCAAAAAGUUAUGGUCGAUCUACUUCAGCCUAUCAAAAGUGAAUUUUUGGGUCAAUUUUAAAUGAUCAUAACUCCUCGUACACAAUGAUCUGGGUGAGAUACUAUAUAUCAACGGAAAGAUAUGAGAGUCUUCUUUCUAAUAAAAUUAGUUUCAUCUAAUUUAGAUAUCAGAGUAAAACGUUAUGGUUGAUCUACUUCAGACUACCAAAACAAUCCACCAAAGGACAGAUUCGAGAAUUAUUUGAUUUUUAGGGGCGUUUUGGUCAUUCCUCCUCAUCCAAAAUCCAUCCAAACCCUAUAUUAAAGCCUAUUAGAAGCAUUAUAUGUUAUAUUUUAUCAAAUUUCCUCAAAAAGAAAACCCUAUACUCCUACAUCCAACUUCAAGAACCUCCAAAGUUCACCAUUAAUUCUGCAAAUUUAUUCAAGAUUCCAAGUUCCUAGUUCAAGAACUCCAAGAACCAUCAUUCAAAGGCACGAUUAACAUCUCAAAAAUGAGUAUCGAUCUAAAGUUCAUCAUUCAAGGUAUGUGGAGUUUUUCAACAAGAACUCUCUUUCGUUCUUAUGCCCAAAAGUAAUUUUCUUUACAAAGGCAUGAUUUUUAUUUGAUUUUUAUGAAUUUGAAGCAUGAACCCAUAUCUUAUGAUGAUUAUUAUGAAAUCUUGAUGUUUAUGAUUUUGAAAGAUGAAUUUACAUGUGUGGAGAUAUAAAGCAUGAAUCUUGAACGAUAUUUAUCAUGAUUUUGAUAUUUGGGUCAUGAAUCCCCAUUGNNNNNNNNNNNNNNNNNNNNNNNNNNNNNNNNNNNNNNNNNNNNNNNNNNNNNNNNNNNNNNNNNNNNNNNNNNNNNNNNNNNNNNNNNNNNNNNNNNNNNNNNNNNNNNNNNNNNNNNNNNNNNNNNNNNNNNNNNNNNNNNNNNNNNNNNNNNNNNNNNNNNNNNNNNNNNNNNNNNNNNNNNNNNNNNNNNNNNNNNNNNNNNNNNNNNNNNNNNNNNNNNNNNNNNNNNNNNNNNNNNNNNNNNNNNNNNNNNNNNNNNNNNNNNNNNNNNNNNNNNNNNNNNNNNNNNNNNNNNNNNNNNNNNNNNNNNNNNNNNNNNNNNNNNNNNNNNNNNNNNNNNNNNNNNNNNNNNNNNNNNNNNNNNNNNNNNNNNNNNNNNNNNNNNNNNNNNNNNNNNNNNNNNNNNNNNNNNNNNNNNNNNNNNNNNNNNNNNNNNNNNNNNNNNNNNNNNNNNNNNNNNNNNNNNNNNNNNNNNNNNNNNNNNNNNNNNNNNNNNNNNNNNNNNNNNNNNNNNNNNNNNNNNNNNNNNNNNNNNNNNNNNNNNNNNNNNNNNNNNNNNNNNNNNNNNNNNNNNNNNNNNNNNNNNNNNNNNNNNNNNNNNNNNNNNNNNNNNNNNNNNNNNNNNNNNNNNNNNNNNNNNNNNNNNNNNNNNNNNNNNNNNNNNNNNNNNNNNNNNNNNNNNNNNNNNNNNNNNNNNNNNNNNNNNNNNNNNNNNNNNNNNNNNNNNNNNNNNNNNNNNNNNNNNNNNNNNNNNNNNNNNNNNNNNNNNNNNNNNNNNNNNNNNNNNNNNNNNNNNNNNNNNNNNNNNNNNNNNNNNNNNNNNNNNNNNNNNNNNNNNNNNNNNNNNNNNNNNNNNNNNNNNNNNNNNNNNNNNNNNNNNNNNNNNNNNNNNNNNNNNNNNNNNNNNNNNNNNNNNNNNNNNNNNNNNNNNNNNNNNNNNNNNNNNNNNNNNNNNNNNNNNNNNNNNNNNNNNNNNNNNNNNNNNNNNNNNNNNNNNNNNNNNNNNNNNNNNNNNNNNNNNNNNNNNNNNNNNNNNNNNNNNNNNNNNNNNNNNNNNNNNNNNNNNNNNNNNNNNNNNNNNNNNNNNNNNNNNNNNNNNNNNNNNNNNNNNNNNNNNNNNNNNNNNNNNNNNNNNNNNNNNNNNNNNNNNNNNNNNNNNNNNNNNNNNNNNNNNNNNNNNNNNNNNNNNNNNNNNNNNNNNNNNNNNNNNNNNNNNNNNNNNNNNNNNNNNNNNNNNNNNNNNNNNNNNNNNNNNNNNNNNNNNNNNNNNNNNNNNNNNNNNNNNNNNNNNNNNNNNNNNNNNNNNNNNNNNNNNNNNNNNNNNNNNNNNNNNNNNNNNNNNNNNNNNNNNNNNNNNNNNNNNNNNNNNNNNNNNNNNNNNNNNNNNNNNNNNNNNNNNNNNNNNNNNNNNNNNNNNGAAUUAUUUACAUUUGAUAACUGAGUAUGAGUCAGUAAGGGCAUAUCUCAAUGGCUCGCUGGUUUUAUUGAUUCUCUUAGAGGCUUGUCAGAUUAGUAUAGAUGUUGGGAGUUGACUAAUGAGUCGUAUUUUGUUAUCUUUCUAAAAAAAAUUAUUCUUGGCUGAUGAUUACUCUGUUGAUAUUUCAGGGUUAUUUAUGGAAAGCCCAUUGAUUUGUGUUGAACUGAAUGAAAAUGGCUCAAAGGGUUAGCUUGGGGCUACUCAUAGCCUCAAGCACCGUGUGAUGCUCCAGGACCCAUUUUUUGGGGUGUUACAACCUUGGUAUCAGAGCCUAAGGUUUUAAGGUAUCCUAGGAAGUCUGACAAGCCGCGUUAAGUAGAGUCUUAAUUAUCGGUGUGUAGCGCACCACAUCUAUGAACAAGAGGCUACAAGACGUUUUAGGAAAAAGUGUGAUUCUUUCUUUCAGAAGUCUAUUGUGCUUAAAGUGUCUCUCUCUGCUAUUGAUUCGUGCUCUCCUCUUUCAGAAAUAUGCCUCCACAUCGAGUGAGAAGAAAUAAUGAUGGUCAGCAACCUCAACCAGCUGACCCAUUAAAUGACAAUGUGUCUCAUGCUGAAUUUCGGGUAGCCUUUCAGGCAUUGGCCCAAGCUAUUACUUCAAAUGUUCAGGCCAACCCGGCCUCGGCUCCACAGCAGAAGGGAGGUGAUUCAGCUGCUGCCAGGAUCCGUAACUUCAUGUGGAUGAAUCCUCCGGAAUUCUAUAGGUCCAUGUCUAAUGAGGAUCCACAGUUGUUUUUAUAAGAGGGGCAGAAGAUUACUAAGGUAAUGCAUGUAUCUGAGGAACAUAGUGUGGAGUUGGCUGCGUAUAGGUUGAAAGACCUUGCUUAUGACUGGGUUGUUGCUUGGAGGAAAGGUAGAGGUGAGGGAGCUGUCCCUACAACUUUGCAAGAGUUCCAGGUUGCAUUGCUGGAUAAGUUUUCCCUUUGGAGAUGAGGAAGGCAAAGGUGGAAGAGUUUAUGAAUCUGCGACAAGGCUCUAUGACUGUUAGGGAGUACUAUCUAAAGUUCAAUCAGUUGGCCAAGUAUUCUCCUGACUUAGUGGCUUUUAAUCGGGCUAGUAUGAGUAAGUUUAUGACUGGAGUGUCUAGUCAUAUGGUUAAAGAGUGUAGGUCUGCUAUGCUGAAUAGUGAGAUAAAUCUUUCUAGGCUGAUGAUGCAUGCCCAAUAGAUUGAGGUAGACAAGAUUAAUAAGAGAGAUAGAAUAAGAAGGAAUAAGAGAGCUAGUCCAAGCAGCACGGACAGGGUCAAACUAGAUCGCAAGGAGGGAGUCGCUCUCAGUAUCAGGAUUGUUCAUCUAUGCCAGCACCGUCAUCUGCUAGUGCUCCCAUGCCUAGAGGUAGGCAGGAGCAAGGUACCAGGUCAUAUGCAUCCAGGUCCUAGUACAGUGCUGGCAGUAAGCCAAAUCAUCCCCUAUAUCCUAAGUGUGGUAGGGCUCAUUCGGGUGAGUGUUGGGGUGAGAAGAGGGGUUAUUUCCGAUGUGGUAACAUGGGUCACAGAGUUAGAGAUUGUCCACAGGAUGGACAAGGGAAUCGUGACUAUCGCCCUCAGACCCAAAUCAGACUGUUAGUGCUCCAGUUCCAGCGACUCACCCAACCCCAGCUCAGGGCGCCUCUUCUAGCAAGAUUCUAUGCUUUACUGUCCCACCAGGAACAGGAGAACUCUCCUGAUGUUAUUACUGGUAUGCUUCAUAUAUUUCAGUUUGAUGUGUACGCUUUGUUGGAUCCUGGAUAUAGUUUCUAAUAUGUUACACCUUUGAUUGCUGUGAAUUUUGAAAUGAGUCCUGAGAUUAUUCCUGAGCCUAUCCUAGUUUCUACCCUAGUGGGUGAUUCGAUUGUUGCCCAGAAGUGUAUAAAAAGUGUCCUGUUACCGUUCUUCAUACAGUCUUGUUGGCUGAUCUGAUUGAGUUAGACAUGGUAGAUUUUGAUGUGAUUCUGGGUAUGGACUGGUUGUAUUCUUCUUAUGNNNNNNNNNNNNNNNNNNNNNNNNNNNNNNNNNNNNNNNNNNNNNNNNNNNNNNNUUAUUUCCAAGGGGUGUAUUUACCAUUUGGUUAGAGUCAAAGACACUAAGUCUGAGACUCCAACUCUCCAGUCUGUUAACGUCGUCAAUGAGUUUUCUGAUGUCUUUCCAGAUGAUCUCCCAGGGAUACCUCCUGAUAGAGAGAUAGAGUUCGAGAUUGAUCUUCUUUCCGAUACUCAGCCCAUUUCUAUUCCUCUUUACCUUAUGGCCCCUGCAAAACUUAAGGAGUUGAAAGAGCAACUCAAAGAUCUACUAGAUAGGGUUGUCAAAAGGCCCAGUGUUUCUCCUUGGGGUGCUCCUGUGUUGUUUGUAAGAAAGGUAGAUGGCUCUUUGCGUAUGUGCAUUGAUUACCACCAACUAAAUAAAGUCACCGUAAAAAAUAAGUACCCUCUUCCGAGAAUAGACAAUUUGUUUGACCAAUUGCAAGAUGCAAGUUAUUUCUCAAAGAUAGACCUUCGUUCCGGCUAUCAUCAACUCAAAGUUAGGGACUGUGAUAUCCCAAAAACUGCUUUCUGAACUCGUUAUGGCCAUUUUCAGUUUCUUGUUAUGUCUUUCGGGUUAACUAAUGCCCCAGCAUCUUUCAUGGACCUCAUGAAUCGAGUGUUCAGACCAUAUCUGGAUAUGUCUGUCAUAGUGUUCAUCGAUGAUAUACUGGUGUACUCUCGUAGUGNNNNNNNNNNNNNNNNNNNNNNNNNNNNNNNNNNNNNNNNNNNNNNNNNNNNNNNNNNNNNNNNNNNNNNNNNNNNNNNNNNNNNNNNNNNNNNNNNNNNNNNNNNNNNNNNNNNNNNNNNNNNNNNNNNNNNNNNNNNNNNNNNNNNNNNNNNNNNNNNNNNNNNNNNNNNNNNNNNNNNNNNNNNNNNNNNNNNNNNNNNNNNNNNNNNNNNNNNNNNNNNNNNNNNNNNNNNNNNNNNNNNNNNNNNNAGUUGAUCCCCAAAAGACCGAAGCUGUUAGAAAUUGGCCUAGACCUAUUUCUCCGACUGAUAUCCAAAGUUUCUUGGGUUUAGUUGGCUAUUACCAUUGUUUUGUUGAGGGUUUCUCCUCUAUAGCGUCUCCUAUGACUCGGUUGACCCAAAAAAAAGUGAAGUUCUUGUGGUCCGAAUCUUUUGAGAAGAGUUUUUAGGAGUUGAAGACUCGACUCACUUCAGCCCCUGUUUUGACUUUGCCUGAUGGUGUUGAUGAUUUUUUGGUGUACUGUGAUACUUCGAGCGUUGGGUUGGGUUGCGUAUUGAUGCAGAAGGGUAAGGUGAUAGCUUAUGCUUCUAGAUAGUUAAAACCCCAUGAGAAAAAUUACCCCACCCAUGACCUUGAGUUGGCUGCUGUUGUGUUUGCUUUGAAAAUUUGGAGACACUAUUUGUAUGGUGUCCAUAUUGAUGUUUUCACUGAUCAUAAGAGUCUGCAAUAUGUGUUUACCCGGAGAGAAUUGAAUUUUAGGCAGAGAUGAUGGUUAGAAUUGUUAAAGGACUAUGAUAUAAGUGUGUUGUACCAUCCGGGCAAAGCCAAUGUUAUGGCGGAUGUCAUAAGUAAAGUGUCCAUGGGUAGUGUUUCAUAUGUGGUAGAAGGUAAGAAGGAGUUGGCUCGUGAUGUACAUCGUUUGGCUAGAUUAGGGGUUAGGUUGUUUGACUCUGCUGAAGGUAGUAUAGGGGUUCAGAGUAGUUCCGAAUCCUCCUUGGUUUCGAAAGUGAAGGAAAACCAAUACUUAGAUGCUAGUUUGGUCAGACUGAAGGAGUCAUUCAAGGACCAAAAAGUAGAGGUUUUUUCCCAAGGGGGAGAUGGUGUGUUGAGAUUACAGGGUAGAUUGUGUGUCCCGAAUGUUGAUGAUUUGAGACAGAGGAUUAUGGUUGAAGUGUACAGGGCGAGAUAUUCUAUUCAUCCUGGUGCCACCAAGAGUAUUGAGACUUACGGGAAAUCUAUUGGUGGAGUGGCAUGAAGAAAGAUAGAGCAGCGUUUGUAGCUAAGUGUGCAACAUGCCAAUAGGUUAAGGUUAAACACCAACGACCUAGUGGUAUGAUGCAAGAAUUUAGUAUUCCCACCUGGAAGUGGGAAGAGAUAAAUAUGGACUUCAUGAUUGGUUUACUCCUUCCCGAUGCCAUCAUGAUUCCAUUUGGGUUGUGGUUGAUAGAUUGACUAAGUCUGCUCAUUUCUUACCUAUUCAUACUUCAUAUACUGCUUAGUUACACUAGAUUGUAUAUCCGAGAGCUAGUCAGACUGCAUGGAGCUCCCUUGUCUAUCAUUUCGGAUAGGGGUACUCUUUUUACUUCACAAUUUUGGAAAGCUUUUCAGAAGGGUCUUGGUACCCAAGUGCUUUUGAGUUUUGCUUUUCAUCCACAGACCGAUGGUCAGGCUGAGCGGACCAUCCAUACCUUAGAGGAUAUGUUGAGAGCUUGUGCACUAGACUUUAAGGGAAGUUGGGAAGAUCACUUAUCGUUGAUAGAAUUUGCUUAUAAUAACAGCUUUCACUCUAGUAUUGGCAUGGCUCCGUUUAAAGCCUUGUAUAGAAGAAAGUGUAGAUCACCCAUAGGUUGGUUCGAGGUGGGUGAACCAGCUGUGAGUAGUCCUGAUUCGGUAUUCGAGGCUAUGGAAAAAGUUAAGUUGAUUAGGGAAAGGUUGAAAACUGCGCAGAGCCAUCAGAAGUCAUAUGCGGAUAUUAGAAGGAGAAACCUUGAGUUUGAAGUUGGUGACCUAGUGUAUCUGAAAAUUUCACCCAUGAGGGGGGUAAAGAGAUUCAUAAAGAAGGGGAAGCUUAGUCCCCGUUAAGUUGGUCCUUAUAAAAUUCUUAGCCGUGUUGGUAAGGUAGCUUAUGAGGUCAAGUUGCCUUCCGAGUUGUCCUCUGUUCAUCCAAUAUUCCAUGUCUCCAUGCUUAGAAAGAAUAUUAGCGAUGCUGUGGUAGUGAAUUCCUCUGUGAGUGCUGACAUUCAAGAAAAUCUUUCUUUUGAUGAGAUUCCUGUUGAGAUUCUUGAGUUCAGUAUCCGAAGACUAAGGAACAAAGAAGUUCCCUUAGUCAAGGUGUUGUGGCGAAACCAAUCUGUUAAGGGUGCAACUUGGGAAGCUGAGGCGGAUAUGCGAUCCAAGUACCCGCACCUAUUUUUUGCGAACUCCGAUCAAGCCAAAGGUACCGUUCUUUUCUAAAUCAUUCACUUUUGAUAAAAGUUGCAGUAGUUCAGCUGUUAUUUAUUAUGUGUUCAGCUGUAGUUUCUUGAAUUUAUGCAUUCUAUUUUGCAUUCGGAGUGAGAAAUGAUGUGGUGAUGAGUCUAACGAAUGGUUUCAGCUAUAUGCUCUAUUCCCUAUCUAAUCGUGGCAUGUCUAGCGUUAACGUUUUGAAAUUUUGUGCGUCGUGUUGGGUUCUAUCUUCUAGAAUGAAUUAUAAAUUUUCCGUGUGAAAUGUCUUAAAUUAUGACCCACAAAUGCGUAGAGUACCAAAUAAUAUUUCCAACGAUAUGUGGAUCAUCCAAAACGGACACCCGAUCAACGAGUUAUGAACAUUUCGAUCGAACCAUGAAUACUAGGGAACAGCAAAACGUGCAUGAAAAAGUACUAAGGCCUGGUGUAUUUUUUUCUCCAAUUUUAAACAAUCAUAACUCCUUGUACAUAAUGAUCUGGGUGAUCUACUAUAUAUCAACGGAAAGCUCUGCGAGUCCUUUUUCUAAUGAAAUUGGUUUCAUCCAAUUUGUCUAUAGAAGCAAAAAGUUGUGGUCGAUCUACUUCAGCCUAUCAAAAGCAAAUUUUUGGGUCAACUUCAAAUGAUCAUAACUCCUUGUACAUAAUGAUCUGGGUGAUCUACUAUAUAUCAACGGAAAGCUCUGCGAGUCCUUUUUCUAAUGAAAUUGGUUUCAUCCAAUUUGGAUAUCGGAGUAAAACGUUAUGGUUGAUCUACUUCAGACUAUCAAAACAGUCCACCAAAGGACAGAAUCGAGAAUUAUUUGAUUUUUAGGGGCAUUCUGGUCAUCCUCCCUCACCCAAAAUCCGUCCUAACCCUAUAUUAAAGCCUAUUAGAAACAUUAUAUGUUAUAUUUCAUCAAAUUCCCUCAAAAAUAAAACCCUAAGCUCCUACAUCCAACUUCAAGAACCUCCAAAGUUCACCAUUAAUUCUGCAAAUUUAUUCAAGAUUCCAAGUUCCUUGUUCAAGAACUCCAACAACCAUCAUUCAAAGGCACGAUUAACAUCUCAAAAACGAGUAUCGAUCUAAAGUUCAUCAUUCAAGGUAUGUGGGGUUUUUCAACAAGAACUCUCUUUCGUUCUUGUGACCAAAAGUAAUUUUCUUUACAAAGGCAUGAUUUUUAUUUGAUUUUUACAAAUUUGAAGCAUGAACCCAUAUCUUAUGAUGAUUAUUAUGAAAUCUUGAUGUUUAUGAUUUUGAAAGAUGAAUUUACAUAUGUGGAGAUAUAAAGCAUGAAUCUUGAACGAUAUUUAUCAUGAUUUUGAUAGUUGGGUCGUGAAUCCCCNNNNNNNNNNNNNNNNNNNNNNNNNNNNNNNNNNNNNNNNNNNNNNNNNNNNNNNNNNNNNNNNNNNNNNNNNNNNNNNNNNNNNNNNNNNNNNNNNNNNNNNNNNNNNNNNNNNNNNNNNNNNNNNNNNNNNNNNNNNNNNNNNNNNNNNNNNNNNNNNNNNNNNNNNNNNNNNNNNNNNNNNNNNNNNNNNNNNNNNNNNNNNNNNNNNNNNNNNNNNNNNNNNNNNNNNNNNNNNNNNNNNNNNNNNNNNNNNNNNNNNNNNNNNNNNNNNNNNNNNNNNNNNNNNNNNNNNNNNNNNNNNNNNNNNNNNNNNNNNNNNNNNNNNNNNNNNNNNNNNNNNNNNNNNNNNNNNNNNNNNNNNNNNNNNNGAAAGAUUUAAAUGAUAUUUACAUUAUGAGAAUUGAUAUUCUUGAUGACCUGAAAGUGAUUGACAAAUUAUAUGAUAACUCACAUGUGUUAUUGUACUUAUUUCAUCCUCUUAUGAUUAUGAUGAUUUUCUUCGAGCUAUGUGAGUCUUUCAUACAUCCUGCAUAUUUCUUAUAAAUACUUAUGAUGAUGAUGUUUAUACAAUUGUAUACACCCCCAUAUACUCGAUUCCUUUCCAUGGUACUGACCCACAAAUUCGGCUGUGGGCUGCAUUUUCUCAGAAUGUAGGUUCAGGUGCUCAGUUCCAGGUUCGACAGUGAUUCUUCAGGCACGCUGUUCUACAUCCUCUAUUGUGGUGAGUCCUCAUGUUCUGAGGACGUGAUGUCUGAUGUUGGUUUUAUGGAAUUGUUUACAUUUGAUAACUGNN
rnacentral:lncRNA from 1 species